AUACGGAGAGGGGAUGUUCCGAAAUCGAUCCAGUGUUACAUGCAUGAAACUGGUGCCUCGGAGGAAGUUGCCCGUGAACACAUCAAGGAUAUGAUGAGACAGAUGUGGAAGAAGGUGAAUGCAUACAGAGCUGAUAAAGAUUCUCCCUUAUCGCAAACUACAGUCGAGUUCAUAUUAAAUGUUGUGAGAGUGUCCCAUUUUAUGUAUCUACAUGGAGAUGGGCAUGGUGCUCAAAACCAAGAGACUAUGGAUGUAGUUUUCACAUUGCUUUUUCAGCCAAUUCCCUUGGACGACAAACACGUGGUUGCCACAUCAUCACCUGGCACCAAAGGAUGAUGAAUUAUAGUGCAUGAUGCGUUACGAAUCCCAAGAGUGCAGUUUCAAUUGAUGUUGGCCUCAACUUUUCCUGUCAGUUUCUAUUUCUUUCCGAUGAUGAGGUCUCUUUUCGAUGAUUCUAAUAAAUUCCCUCACUCGUCGAGGUUUAUAAAUGAAACAAAAAUGUCAUAUAUGUUACUUUUGUUGGAUCAUAAACUUGAUCCAAGAUGAUGAUGAUGAUGAUGAUGAUGAUAAUAAUAAAAAAUUCAAACCCAAAUUAAUAAGCUCAACCUAUGGAAGGUUCCAUGAGUAAGUAUGAUUGGUGAUGUUUGAAUUAUUUGUGAUAGGUGUGGUAGGUUUGGUAGGUGAAGAUAAAUAGUUAUUAAUUUUUUGUAAUUUCUUAUAGUUUAGAUUUUUUCUCAUGUACUAUAAAUACCCCCUUGUGUCAUUUGGUUAUGCAUCAAGUAAAGUAACAAAAUCUCUAAGUUGUAGAGAGUGAAAAAUAAGAGUUGUAAUUGGUGAUGACUGUUUUGAAGAAAUAAAAUAGUGUGUUUUUUAGUGUUUAAUUUGUUAAUUCUCCAAUAAAAUGGUAUCAGAGCUAGUGUUCAAUGCUAUAUAUAGUCGUAUAACAUAUCAAAUCGAAUAUCUCAACGAGAGGAACGUGAAACCGCAAAUAUCAGCCCGAUCAGAGACCGCGUACUCCCACACUCGCUGCCGGAAAUUUUCUGUCCUAAAGCUGAGUCGACUCACCGACUUGAACCAAGCUGAACCGAACAGAACCAAGUCGAACCGAGCUGACCAGAUCCGAACCGAGCCACAGAGCCGGACCGAGCCAAGUCAACUAAGCAGAAACGUUGACCGUUAAUCGACAUUGACCAUUGACCGCACAUUGACCGUUGACCGAAAGUUGACUCGAGUCCCUCCCAGGGUUUUUUGACGUUCCGGAUUCAUCCGUACAUUUAAAAUCUCCAUAUUCUUGCUCAAUUUGUGAAUUAUGAAAAAUGGUGGCAUGAUGUCAUUCCAAGUUCCACAAUUAAAGGGAAGUAAGUUCGACAACUGGAGUAUUAAAAUGAAGGCUCUAUUGAGUGCACAUGACACAUGGAUGUCGUAGAGAAAGACUUUAUUGUGCCAGAAAAUGAAGUCACUUUAACUACGGCGCAAAAGGAGAAUUUAAAAGACUUGAAGAAGAAAGAGAAUAAAACAAAAUAUCUCAUCUUUCCAUCAUUAGAUAAAGAUGCUUUUGAAAAUGUUAGUGGUGCAACCUCCUCAAAAGAAGCAUAAGAGAAGUUAAAGAUCUUUUACAAAGGAGCGGAGCAAGUUAAGAAGGUUUGUCUCCAAACAUUACGAGGAGAAUUUGAGUCCUUACACAUGAAGGCAUCGGAGUUAAUUUUUGACUACUUUACUCAGGUUGCAACCGUUUCCAAUGAAUUAAAAAGAAAUGGCGAGGAGUUAAAAGAUGUAAGGAUUAUUGAAAAGAUACUUCAAUUAGUAGACUCAAAGUUUGACCAUAUUGUUGUGACAAUUAAGGAAACAAAAGAUUUAGAGGAUAUGACGAUCGAGCAACUUCAAGGAAAAUUGUAAACCUAUUAACAAAAACUAAAAAAGAAACAAGGAAUCGAAGAACAACUUCUCAAGAUAGAAGUCAAUCCAAAGAAAAGAGAAGAAAGCUUCGACAACGAGAGAAUGCAUUAUAUUUAAGGUUGAGGUCAAGGAUGAGGUAGAGGUCGUAGUUAUCGACGAUGUUGGAAUUUUAACAACAACAACUCCAAUUAUGCCAAAGAAGAAAGCUUAACCAAAGGACGAGGCAGAGGCAGAGGCAAUCUAAGAUCAAGGUAUGACAAAUCCCAAGUACAGUGCUAUAAUUGUCAAAAGUUUGGGCAUUAUGCUUCAGAAUGUAGAGCUCCAAGUACCAGAAUUAAUGAGAGAGUGAAUUAUGCUGAAGAGAAAAAUGGUGAAGAUGUCACCCUUUUACUAGUACGCAAUGACACAAAUGGAGGUCAAGAAAAUAUAUGGUAUCUUGACAAAGGUGCUAGCAAUCAUGUGAGCGGAAACAGAAACAUGUUCGUGGAACUAAAUGAAUCUGUGAAUGAUAGUGCCGCUUUUGAAGAUGAUUCAAAAGUACCAGUAAAGGACAAAGGUAAUAAUCUGUUUUGUGCAAAAGAUGGUAGCCACCAAAUAAUUUCGAAUGUUUACUAUGUGCCUAAUAUGAAAAGCAACAUCUUUAGUUUUGGUCAACUCUUGGAAAAAAACUAUGAUAUUCAUUUAAAAGAUUGUAGUCUUUUCCUAAGAGAUGACAAAGGAAAGGUUGGUACCGAUUUAAAGCUUGAGAGACGAGCAACGUAUCCAUACUGUCCUUGCUGCCGGAAAUCGAUCGGAAAGCCACCGAUCGAAGCUUUGAAGUUCCGCGGAAUUGCCGCCUCAAUUCGCCGUGAUUUCACCGGUUUCUGGUAAAGCCAUCACUUGGGUUUUGUUCCUUACCGUUCCCUCUACCAUUUCCGACUAACCACUGACGCCGGGACGUCGUUUUGCCGUUGAUCGGCCGUUGAAGGAUUCACGACUUCGGGAGCUCGAUCCGGAGCCAGCACCGCACGUGGGAGGUCACCACCGCCAUCAUUGGACUCAGCGUGGCUUGAACUUUCAGUUCUGAGCUUCCCGUCGCCGUCGAUUGAAUUCCGGUGACCGUUGACCGGCAAGGGUAUUUCGGUAAUUUCACAGUAUAAGGGCAAUUUUGUAAUUUCAGAUUUUGUGGGUAUUUUAGUAAUUGCUGAAAUUGAGGAUAAAGUUGGUAAUUUAUGAUUUUGAGGUUAAUUUGGUAAUUUUGAUAUGAGGGUAUUUUGGUAAUAUUGAAUUCAAGGGCAUUUUGGUAAUUUUGAUAUUUGAGGGUAAUUUCGUAAUUUCAAGAAUUAUGAGUAUUUUGAUGAUUUAUGAUUUAAAUUAAGAUUAUUUGAGGUUACGUAUGGAAUGUGAUUAUAUUGAGGAAUUUGAGAAUAUUGGAGUUUAUGAUUAUGGUUUAAUUUUAUUCUUAUGAGAGUAUUUUUAUUGGUUUUUAAGCCGAUGAUAUCGAUGUGCAUUUGUUACUCGAGGAUACCAGGAGGUAAGUAAAUUAGAUUUCCAAACGAAUCACAAUAAACAAUAUAUAUGUUUGACAUGUUUGAAAAGUCUAUUUUGAUAUAUAUACGUAUAUUGAUUAUAUGCUUUGCCCAUGUAUUUAUGUGAUGUGUUGGUAAGAUGUGUUGUUAUGUGUUAUGUGUAUUUAUGGACAUGGGCAUAUGUAUGUGUGAAUAUUUUAUUGGCAUGAGCACGAAAAUGCAUUAUGUUUUCUGUAAAAUGAGAAAGUUGAUUUUAGCAAACGAAAUUUGAAGAAAGAAAGAUUGUUUUACAGUUUUAGCUUGGAUGCUUAAAUUCGUUACUGGCUUAGUGGAGGAUACUCUAGAUGUUUAUAUAGUUAUGAGAUAAGUGGGCGAAGGACGCAUUGGCAAGAAGCCCAAAGAGUAUGAAAGUUAUGAAAGUUAAGAGUGUCCUACUAAGCGGUAAUCGAAUGAAGUUAGCUCAAGUAAGUGGUUUGAAAGAGAAUGUGAAAGUUUGAGAAAGACAGACUGAGAUUUCGAUGAUUUGUUUUACGAUGUUUUCGAAUACCAUGGCACGUCAUUCAUUUGCACUAUAUAUAUGUAUGUAUGUAUUUUGGUAUAUGCAAAACCGGUUUACUUACUGAGUUUCGUACUCAUUAUAGUUUAUUGUGAUUCAGUUUUCGUAAAUCAGAAUUAAUUCGUGAUGAGCAUCGAGAAGGACUUGAAUGGAGGAAUUAGAUGGUUUGGCAUGAAUUUUAAAUUAUUCUGCUGUAGUUUGUGUUUUAUAUUUGUAUUUUCAAGGAUAUAAUUUUUAUGGAUUGUAAAAGGAUUAUUAUUAUUAUUUAUUAUUUAUUAUUAUUUUAUUGUUAAGCAUCUAUCAGUAAGAUUCGCCCUGUGGAGGUCGGGGCGGGUCGUUACAGAGAUAGUUGAUCCUAUCUCAUAUGUAUAUUGGUGCACUAUUUGAACAAAUUGGACAUUGGCAUUCUAACGUGUACCGCAUUUUUAUGAAUACAAUAUUUUUUAACUAUAUAUUAGGCUGUUUUUGAGAGCUUCGAUAAAUUGUGGGAUUCAAUUAGAUUUUGAAACUAACAAAAUAAUUUAAUCUAAGGUAUGUUUGGUUGUCAUGGACUAUUAGAGUAAACUUAAAUUUAGUCUAAACCUAAUAGUAUUAUUAACCCUUAUUUUUUUAGGCAUUUAGGUGAGGUAAGAUUAAAUAAAAACUUUGUGUCAUCUUUAUCACUUUUUUCUUUUUCAUUUAACCUAAUAUUUUAAUAUAAAUUAAACAUAGAAGUGAAUUUCACGAAUUUUUAACCAAGUAAUUUUAUAUUAUUGUAUAGAAUAUCAGAAUUUUAUUUAAUAAUUUAUUAAAUUAAAUUAACAAGUUCAGUCCACUAUUAUACCAAACAAAGAUCGUACUAUAUAUAAGCUUUUAGGUUUAACCACCAAUUUUGUUUCCCUCAUGCAAAUGACUAUGCCCACAGUAUCAUGAUUUCAGCAUUCUGCCGGGGUGGGUGUUUUGAAGAGGCAAAUUGGCUGGGUAUUUUGAAGUCAAGUAUGACAAAUAUGAUUUAAAUUGCAUGCUUUAUGCCUACUGCAGAGCUGGUGCUAUGGAGAGCGCAAUGCAUGUUAUGAAGAAAUUGGGCGAAUUAGUCCGGAUAACAAUACCCAUCAUAUUGUAAUCAAACAUUUCUCCAAUAAGAAGUUUUAUAUGCUUGCUUAUUGGACUAUUAUGGACGAUGCAUAAAUUAACAAGUGUACUAGUCAACACAAAUAAUAUAAUGAAGAGUAGAAUAUUAUCCUACAAAGAUUGUAUAUCCUCUUAGCUACUGAAAUUAUUCUAACCCUAAUUUCUUUGAACAAUCGAAUAGACAGAUUUAGAAAAAAAAAUUAAAAUAGAGUAAAAUAACUAAAAAUUAAAUAAAUAUGCAAGCAGUAAUAGAAAUCACGUAGAGAUUAUGACACUAUGACAUCCGAUUUUAUCAUAAUCAAUUCAAUUUUAAUUCUCUAUUUAUGCUAUUAAAAUUUAUUACUCAUGUUGACAGUGAAUUUUCCUAAUCUAUUCAAUAUCCUUUCUUGAGUAAUAUAAAAAAUAUCUUCACAUAUUAACCCACUAUAUUUCUAUGUGAAUUUAAAUAUGCAAAGAUUCAUUAAGUUCUAUGAAAAUUCUUCGAAAAAUUACAUGAAUCAUGUUGGCACAUCUCUGUCUUUCGUUCAACUCAUGGCAUCCAUUACAUAGAGCAAAAAUACAUAAAUCUCCUCUUGGUCUUAUUAUGUAUCCUUAAAUCAUUUAAAUAUUGACCAAAUAUUUAAAAGCAUUAAGCACAAUAAUGAACACUCAACCAUGGAAUAAUAAACUAAAAAUAACAUAUAUUUAUGAAAUUAAAUAUUUAUAGUUAGGCUACAUCAUAGCCCUAACAAAAUAAAUUAGUUCAUGAGAAUAUAAAGAGAAUCAAUAAAUUUAAUUGGAAACAUUCAAGUAAGAUAAUAGAAAAAGAGAAAAGAAAGAAUAAACUCAAAAAGUUCUCUCUUCAAUCUCUGCAAUCGACUUCUCCAAAUUAUUGCUUCUCCAAAUUUGCAGCGGCGGCUUCUCUCUCUCUUUUUUCUUUUUUCUUGCUCUCGGUUAUUUGUUUUUUCUCUUGGCUUCCAAUUUGUGCGGCUUCCCGCCUCUCUUGUGGCUUCCACUCGUGCCCUUUUAUAUUGUUUCAAUUGUGGCCUUUAACUCCUUAUAUGGAAAGAAUUAAAAACAAAAGCCAAGCCGCUUCUUUUCUUUCAUGCAUGCACGUGACUUGUUCAAUUAAUAAGCCAAUAAUGAUUUGGCCAAAGCCCAUCACCAGAAUGCUUUCUUUUUUUACUCUAUUCUUCACAUGAUUUACCUUAUUAAUUAACUUAUUUCCAAUACUAAUUCUUCUCAUCUUCACGUGAACUACAAUUAUGCCUUGGCUGCUUCGAUUUUCUUCCAUUUUAACUCCCAUUACUUUCCUUAAAUUUCCAAUCAAUUUCUUUUUUAAGCUCUUUCUAUUUGAAUAUUGUAAUUUAAUGCUUCUUCAUUCCCAAAAUGUACCUAAAAUAAAAAAAAAAUAAAAAUUAAGAUAAAAUUAAUAUAAUAAAAUAUAAUUUAACAUAAGAUUAAAUUAAGAAAAUAUAUAAAUAAUAUAUAAAUUAUUAUCACAUCAAUGGACAUGCACAUUAAAAGCCACCAGCUAGAGGAGGUAUGAAAGUGGUCAUAGACAAAUGAACUUUUACUUCGGGAUUGCAACACGAAAGACUUAUCGCAACUAUGCUAUUUUACAGGAACUCUACUCCUCCCUAAUUUUUCAUCUUGGUAAAAUGAGAGCGACACUUAGAAGCACUCUUUGUUCACAACAUGUUAAGAGGCAACAAAAGAACGAUGUGCAAGGCCCAUCAUGAGAAAAUUCUUCAUAUUUUAAUAUCUGGAAAACUUCCCAUGUCUUACCAUUUUAGUUCAAUUCUUUAACUGUCAUUUUUAUGCUUUUUUUAAUUAAAAAACCCAAAGUUGGUGGGGUUAGGCGGGACCCCCUUACCUAUAGAUUAUUGAAAUAUAAACAAAAUUACAUAUGGAGGGGGAUGUAGACCAAAAUCUCCAAGCAAAGGAACAAAAAUAACCAACUAAUGAAAAAAAAAACGAAAACAAUAAUAGAAUAAAUAAGAAGCUAAAGAUAAUUAAUUAAUGCAAACGCCGAGAAAAAUACUUACAAUACUUACGACCAUUAACUAAUUUGAAACCUUUCUUAAAACUAGAGGAAUGCAUGCCACCAAUACUGAGGUCGAAGUCAAGAUCAUGGCCAGUUAUACCCUCAGUCUUAGACGCAAAAUAAUCAUCGACUAUAGGAUUUCCGUCAGAGCUAAACUCCUCAUCCGACUGAUUAGGGAUAUCUUUAGAUGGUAAUUAAAAUCACAACCAUGGAGUGAAUAUCAUCCACUGUAGACUUGAAAAAUGUAAAGCUUGUGGAAGCCCUUAGAGCACUCAGAUUAUCCAAAACAAGAGAAUUAGCAACCUUAGUGCAUCCAUCAGUAUCUCUCAGAGCAACAGUAUAUUGCAAACCAUCAUCAUCUGGAACUCACAGAGUAGAAAUCGAAUUAGAUGCCGCGUCUAUAGUAUCCUGAGGAAAAAGAGCAGAUGGCCAAGCAACAUCAUCGAGGGGGCUAGGCCCAAAGACUGACCUUGGACGAGAGUAGGCCUCUGUAGUCAAUUAUUCUUAGUAACCACAUAUGUAGCACAAUUCCUAGUAGGCUAGACAACAACAUUAGUAAUAGGUACCGUACUUGUAUCAUGAGCAAAUACAUCCUUCACCUAACCAAUAGGUUAUUAGGGUUUAUGGAGCCCAUGAUUUGUAGUAAAAUAAGCAUCAUCAAAGCGACCAAGAUGCUUAGACGUGGCAUAAUAUAACAGAACAUGCUCAUAGAUGAUAUCUUGCCAAACCCCAUUAUCACAUUUACCAAUCCAAAGUCUUAGCAACAAUAGUUGUGAAACAUCAUACUCAAUGAGUACAUGAGCCACCAAGGGCCUAUUAAUAGCAGUAGUGGCAUGGUCCACCCGUAAAGGCUUUUUAAUAGCAUUCACAAUAAAAAAUAAAGCAUCUCUACAAUGAAUGAAAUGCACAAGUAAAUAAGGCAAAGACACCUAGACAAGAACAACUGAGACUCUUUAGAGCAUAAAUGUAGACUACUUAAAAGUACGUGUGGACCUGCUGAUAACUCUAGGAAAUGAGAUUUAUUACAUCUAUUCUAGACUUGAAUAAAGGCCAUUUAGAAAGCAAAUAAUGUAUUUUGAUUACAUUUUGGUGAACUUUUGCAUAAACAUUCAUUUUAGUUGAGUCUUAACAAGUUUUGCGUGAAUCAUAGUAAUUUGUGCUAAAAACAAGUUUUUAUUUGUAGGUUUUAAAUUCAUAAAAGGAUGCGGAGACAUUAGAUGAGAAAGAGGAGGAAAGAAGAUGAUCGCAAAAGAAGGAAAGCACAAUCGGAAAUGACACAAGUGCUGUGGCGGAUGUUAGAGCAACCAAUGCUGCAACAAUCUGGGAGAAACGCGGGAGAAAAUAUAGGCGCGGGUCAGGAAUUAAAUUACAAGCUGCAUGUUUCCUAAUUUAAACACAAGCAUGUGCAGGGGUGUUGGUUCAGAAAACCUAAUUUGCAAGUAUAUAAAGGAGGCAUGCACCACAAAGAACGGCGGAGAGUGGAAUAAACAUUCAAAAGCAAUUACAACAAGCGAGAAGAAGAUCAAGGUUAAGGAGGGCUGUUCGGCAUCAUUGAAGAAGAGGAUCCUUAAACUUUCAUCGUGCUCAACUCAUAUUAUCUUUCUUCCUUUGAUUGAUUGGAUGUAUUCUGUGAUCAGUAUAUUUAUGUUUAUUUUUCUCAUUCAGAAUAUGAACUGAAUUUACUUGUAGUUGAUUGACAAAUAAUCCAAUGGGUUUUUGACUGUUCUUAUAUGAUGUUAUGAUAAUGUUGUAGCAUUAUACUCUAAUAGUUUUUAUGACAUAAUUGUUAUUUCGGUUGACCACCCAUUUUAUAAUUUCAGUUAAGAUAGAGCAGCAAAAGGGCAUAUCUUAGCGGACAUUAUUAGAGUAUUACUUGUUCUUGAAUUGAGUUUCCUGGAUUAGGUUAUCUUAAAUCUCAUAAGGGCAAUGCUUGAUAUUAAGAUUUGUGAUAUCCUAGACAUAGGAGUUCACCUUGUAGGGUAGAGAGAUUAAAGUUCGUAAAGCCAUACAUUAACUUUAUGAGCAAUUGGUCAUUGUUAGUAGAUUUAAAGGUAUGAGAUUUCCAACAUGCGACAGCUGCGGAUGCAGAUUUGUUCUACCCAGUGCUGCAGCACUUAUCAUAACAACUGGUGCUAAUUCGGUAAACAACAGUCACCCCAUUAGGAGAGUUUGAUCAUUCAACUACUAUCUUCUCAAUUGAACUUUGGAUACAUUUAGUUAAGUUUAUUUUAUUACGAUAUUGCUUCAAUUCUCAUCUCUCACAAUUGUUAUUUACGAUAGAAUUAUUUAGUAAUUGUUUGUUUCGGUCUUUAGUUGACGUGCAUUAUUGUGAUUGCUUUAACAUUUUGAGUAACAUCAAUCCCUGUGGAGACGAUCUUGAACACUCAUCACUUUAUUACUUGUUGUGUAUACUUGCACAUUGGUAUUGAUAAUAAUUGAUUAUAUAAAUCAAUCAACAAGUUUUUGGCGCCGUUGCCGGGGAUUGAUUGUUUAUUUUUGGAGUGUGAAGUAAAUUGCGAUAGCACCAAACUUAAUUCAAUUUAUUCUUUUGAUUGGCAGAUCAGAGCGUGCAUGCGCAAAGAAAGAUCUGAGAUAUUCCAAUUCGAUCCUGAGAUUGAAAGGACUAUCAGGAGAUUGCGAAGAGAACAAAGAAAUUCAAAGACUACUUCAGACAUGAAUAACUUACAAGAUGAGGGAAAUUUGAACCCUCACGGACCUUUACAACCAGCCAACAUUCAAGAAGAGCAAAAUGAAUAUGCUAACGGGAGACAGCCAGGAAAUAAUAAUAUUAUUUACAUGGCAGACGACAGAGACAGAGCUAUACGAGAUUAUGCUGUGCUAACUCCUCAAGUCGUCCAUUAUGGCAUCAUUAGACCUGAAGUAGAUGCUGCCAACUUUGAAUUAAAACCAGUGAUGUUUCAAAUGUUGCAAACAGUUGGGUAAUUCAAUGGAUUUCCAAAUGAAGAUCCUCAUCUCCAUCUUAAAUUGUUCUUGGAAGUGAGUGAUGCUUUCAAAAUUGCUGGAGCAACGCAAGAUGCCCUAAGGCUGAGGCUUUUUCCUUAUUCCUUAAGGGAUCGAGCAAGAGCAUGGUUAAAUUCAUUACCAUCUGAUUCCAUCACUACAUGGAAUGAAUUGGCCGAUAAAUUCCUAAUGAAAUAUUUCCCACUAACAAAGAAUGCAAAAUUACGGAAUGAAAUUACCUCUUUCCAUCAAAUUGAAGAUGAGAGUUUGUACGAGGCUUGGGAAACUUUCUACAAUGGGUUCCUUGUUGCUUCUGAAAUUACCUCUUCUGAAAUUACCUCAGAAGAUGUCCUCAUCAUGGUAUUCCUUGUUGUUUUCAAUUGGAAACUUUCUACAAUGGGUUGAAUCCGAGUACAAAGUUAAUGGUGGAUGCUUCAGCAAAUGGAGCUCUGUUAUCAAAAUCCUACACUGAAGCUUAUGAAAUUUUGGAGAGAAUUGCCAACAAUAAUUACUAGUGGCCAUCAGCUAGGCAACCAGUAGCAAGAGGAUCAGCAGGGGUACAUAGCAUUGAUGCGAUUACAACCUUAUCAGCUCAAGUAACUUCAUUGACUAACAUGGUAAAAGCCAUGACAGCUGUUCCAGCAACAGUAAAGCAAGUGACUGAACUUUCUUGUGUCUACUGUGGUGAAGAUCAUGAUUUUGAUAAUUGCCCUGGAAAUCCAGCCUCAGUAAAUUAUGUGGGUAACUUCAAUCGACAACCUCAGAACAACCCAUACUCAAAUACUUAUAACCCAGACUGGAAACAACACCCAAAUUUCUCAUGGAGCAAUCAGAAUCGAAAUGCUCCAGCAUUGAAUAGACUAAGUAGAAACACACAACCACAACCACCUGAUUUUCAUCAACAAAGUCAAGGGCAAAAGCCUAUCAGUCAGGAUCCAAUCACUUCAUUGGAAGUAUUAAUCAAGGAGUAUAUUGCAAAGAAUGAAGCAAUUGUGCAGAGUCAAGCUGUAUCCUUGAGAAACCUUGAGAACCAAAUGGGACAGUUAGCUACAACAAUGAGCAGCAGAACUCAAGGAAGCUUACCUAGCAACACAGAAGAUCAUAGGAGAGAGAGCAAAGAACACUGCAAAGUGAUUAGUCUGAGAUCUCGGAAGCAUAUUGAUAUCCCAGUUGAGGUGACCAAAAAUGGGAUGGAAGGCAUUUCAGCUCAAAAACCAACUCAAAAGGGAAGCAUGUUACAGCAGACUCCCCAUCAAGACACGGAUGCAAGGGACCCAGCUACAGCAACUGCAAAAGAAAAUCAACCAGAUCUUGCUGAAAAAGAAGUUACAACACCAGUAGCCACAACCUGCACCAACUUAAACAAACAAAGUUUGGUACAUCCUGAAUCUCACCAGCAGUUUAGACAUCUACCACAUUUCCCUCAAAGGUUCCAGAAGCUAAAACAAGACAAGCAGUUCAACAAAUUCCUGGAAGUGUUGAAGCAACUGCACAUAAACAUACCUUUUGUGGAAGCUUUGGAGCAAAUGCCAAAUUAUGUAAAAUUUCUAAAAGAUAUUUUGGCACGAAAAAGAAGGCUGGGAGAGUUUGAAACUAUAGCUCUAACACAAGAAAGCAGCCAUAUGCUUCAGAGUAAAAUUCCCACAAAAUUAAAAGAUCCAGGGAGUUUUACAAUACCCUGCUCUAUAGAGAAUAAGUAUGCUGGCAGAGCACUUUGUGAUUUGGGAGCCAGUAUCAACUUUAUGCCAGUAUCUGUAUUUAAGCAGCUUGGAGUAGGGGAGUGCAGACCAACAACUGUCACUCUGCAAUUAGCUGACAGAUCCCAUGCAUACCCCGAAGGAAAGAUAGAGGAUGUACUGGUGAAGGUUGACAAAUUCAUUUUUCUAGUGGAUUUCAUUGUGCUAGAUUUUGAAGCUGAAAAAGAGUUACCCAUUAUACUUGGCAGACCUUUUUUAGCAACUGGAAAAACGUUGAUAGAUGUGCAGAAAGGAGAGCUGACUAUGAGAGUGAAUGAUCAGCAAGUCACAUUUAAUGUACUUGAAGCUAUGAGAAACCCUGAUGAAAUAGAAGAUUGCAAUUUCUUAAGUGUAAUGGAUCUUGUUGUAACAGACAGACUAGACAGAUGCUGCAGUAAUGUACUUAACAAAGUCACCACCUUUGAGGAGGUUGAAGAGGAAGAUGUUGCAGAAAUUCAAAUAGAUUGGAUGAACAAACAACAAUCUAAUAGGCACAGCAGAGUUAUUGAACACCUGAAUCUUUCAGACAGGGAAGUACCAACAACUUUACCAUCUAUUGAAUCACCCCCUAGUUUUGAAUUAAAACUGUUACCUUCACAUUUAAAGUAUGCAUACCUUGGUCAAAACAACACACUCCCUGUAAUCAUUUCUUCUACUUUGGAUGCAGGUCAAGAACAAAGCCUAGUGGAUUUGCUGGGAAAAUACAAAAGAGUAAUUGGAUGGACCAUGGCAGAUAUAAAGGGUAUCGGCCCAUCAAUAUGUAUGCAUAAGAUCCUUUUAGAAGACUGUUCCAGCAAUUCGGUGGAGCACUAGAGAAGGUUGAAUCCUAUUAUGAAAGAAGUGGUGAAGAAAGAAAUCAUCAAAUGGUUAGAUGCUGGAAUCAUAUACCCAAUAUCAGACAGUUCAUGGGUAAGCCCAGUUCAGUGUGUUCCAAAGAAAGGAGGGAUAACAGUAAUGGCUAAUGAGAAGAAUGAACUUAUUCCUACAAGGACAAUGACUGGAUGGAGAGUGUGUAUGGAUUACAGAAAGCUCAAAAAAGCAACAAGGAAAGACCAUUUCCCACUUCCCUUCAUAGAUCAGAUGCUGGACAAACUUGCUGGAAAAUAAUUCUACUAUUUCUUAGAUGGGUAUUCAGGCUACAACCAGAUUGCUAGAGCACCAGAGGAUCAAGAGAAGACUGCAUUUACUUGUCCUUAUGGAACAUUUGCCUUCAGAAGAAUGCCAUUUAGGCUGUGCAAUGCUCCAGCAACUUUUCAGAGAUGCAUGAUGUCUAUAUUUUCUGAUAUGGUAGAAUAGACCUUGGAAAUUUUCAUGGAUGAUUUUUCAGUUUUUGGAGAGACAUAUGGUAAUUGUUUACACAACUUGGAAGAAGUUCUUAAAAGAUGUGAGAUGACUAACUUAGUACUUAAUUGGGAGAAAUGCCAUUUCAUGGCGCAAGAAGGAAUAGUGCUGGGUCACAAGAUAUCCAAGGAUGAUAUUGAGGUAGAUAAAGCCAAGAUAGAGGUAAUAGAUAAACUGCCACCCCCAACUUCAGUAAAGGGUAUUAGAAGUUUUCUGGGUCAUGCUGGAUUCUACAGAAGAUUCAUCAAGGAUUUUUCCAGAAUAGCCAAGCCUCUAUGUUCAUUGCUGGAGCAUGAUAAACCAUUUCACUUUGACAAAGAAUGCCUUCAAGCAUUUAAUGAAUUAAAGAAAGCCUUGAUCACUGCUCUAGUAGUUAUAUCUCCAUAUUAGAAUUCACCAUUUGAAUUGAUGUGUGAUGCUAGUGAUCAUUCUGUGGGAGCAGUAUUAGGGCAAAGAAAGGAUAAGGUUUUUCAUUCCAUAUAUUAUGCAAGCAAAACUCUUACUCCAACUCAGAUCAAUUACACCACUACAGAGAAGGAGUUGCUAGCAGUAGUUUUUACUUUCGAUAAAUUCAGAGCUUACCUGGUAGGUACUAAAGUCACUAUUUACACAGACCAUGCAGCCAUUAAAUAUUUAAUUUCAAAUAAGGAUGCCAAACCAAGACUAAUCAGAUGGAUCUUAUUGCUUCAAGAAUUUGAUCUGGAAAUUAAAGAUAGAAAGGGGACUGAGAAUCAAGUGGCAGACCACUUGUCACGGUUGGAAGCAGACACUAGUACAUUAACAAGGAAGGGCAUCACUGAAACUUUUCCUGAUGAACAGCUGUUGGCAAUACAGCAAGCACAGAUGCUGCAGCAGUCAGAAUCUCCAUGGUAUGCAGACUUUGCUAACUAUCUAGUAAGUGGGUUACUACCAUCUGAGUUGAAGUUUCAAGAGAAAAAGAAAUUUCUUCAUGAUGUUAGAAGCUACCAGUGGGAUGACCCACAUUUAUAUAAGCUAUGCUCAGAUCAGGUAAUAAGACGAUGUGUUGCAGCAGAAGAAAUACCUCAUAUACUAGAGUCAUGUCAUGCUGCAGCAUAUGGAGGACAUUUUGGUGGUCACAGAACAGCUGCAAAAGUUAUGCAAUCAGGUUAUUAUUGGCCCACUAUUUUUAAAGAUGCUUAUGAAUUUGUUAAAUGUUGUGACAGGUGUCAAAGGACAGGGAACAUAACCAGCCGACAUGAGAUGCCAUUGACCAACAUACUGGAAGUAGAAGUUUUUUAUGUUUGGGGAAUAGAUUUUAUGAGACCUUUUCCCCCAUCCUUUGGCAACUUAUAUAUCCUUGUUGUUGUAGACUAUGUCUCCAAGUGGGUGGAAGCAAUAGCAUUACCUACCAAUGAUGCUAAACCUGUGGUGACUUUUCUUCAAAAAAAUGUUUUCUCCAGGUUCGGUACUCCUCGAGCAAUUAUUAGUGAUGAAUGAGCACAUUUUUGCAACAAGAUCUUUGUUGCAGCAAUGAUGAAAUAUGGAGUCAGACACAAGAUAACAACAGCAUAUCACCCACAAUCAAAUGGUCAGGCUGAAGUGUCCAACAGAGAAAUUAAAAAGAUCUUAGAAAAAGUGGUGAACCCAACAAGGAAGGAUUGGUCUUUACAUUUGCAUGACUCUUUAUGGGCCUACAGAACAGCAUACAAAACCCUACUUGGCAUGUCUCCUUACCGAAUUGUUUAUGGCAAGGCUUGUCCUUUGCCCCUAGAGCUAGAGCAUAAAGCACACUGGGCACUGAAGAAACUAAAUUGGGACAUGCAUGUUGCAGCAGAACAAAGGAAGCUUCAACUUUGUGAGCUUGAUGAAUUAAGGCUGUUUUCAUAUGAAAAUGCAAAAAUUUAUAAAGAGAGAACAAAACAUUGGCAUGACAAGCAUAUUCAACACAGGAAGUUCAUCCCUAGUCAAUUAGUGUUGCUUCACAAUACAAGACUAAGGUUGUUUUCGGGAAAGCUCAAGUCACGAUGGUCAAGCCCGUUUAAGCUAUUAAAAUCUUAUCCUCAUGGAGUUGUUGAUCUUUUAGAUGAACAAAUAGGUCACGAAUUCAAGGUUAAUGGGCACAGGACUAAGCAUUACAUACACCCAGCAGCAGAAGGGUCACAGGAGGUGUUAUCCCUUUAAGAACCAGACUAUUGAGCAAAGACAGAAGGUCAGGCUGAAGGACCUUAAAUCAACCGCUUCAUGGGAGGCAACCCAUUGAGGAAGCAGCAACUUCAAACCAAUCUCGAUAUCCUUUGGUUUCAAUAAACAACUCUCCCUCUUCACCAUUUAAUCUAAUCUUGUUUUACCAUAUUCACCAUUUAAUUUUUUUCCUUUUUUUUUUUUACAUUAUUGCAUUCCUUAUUUUCGAUUUAAGUUCAUCUAUUUUAUUUUAAUAAGUUUAGACUUAAUUUUUGUUUGAAGUAAAUGUGACAAUUGAAUUUCAUAUUGACAAAUGCAAAUAUCUGGUGGCAGAAUUUAGAGGACAAGAACAACCACGUGUUAGACGCUUGGGUAUAGAUACCGUGGCCGUUGUUGGAAUAAGUGAAUGGGGGCUGUAGCAACAAAUUUUUUCGUUACAGUACAUUAAAGGCUGGAGCUUUCACUUACCGUUGGAGAUGAAAUCGUGACAGAUGGACGCUCGGAUACGGAUAGAAAUUGCGGAAACAAAUCUCUGAAAUCACAACUUUAAUUUUAAUAACUGAUAAUUUUGGGAUAUGCACAUUUAAUUCAAAUAUUUUAUUCCCUCAAUUAUCUCUAAUUACUGUCGUUAUCUUCAAAUUACAGCCCACUAUAAAAUGGAGUCACUGUGCUGAGUGCCCAAGCCACUAUUCUCUAUCUCCUUCGCAAGUCCAACUCUCCUAAUUCAUUAACACUUCUUCCCUUUUGGCUCUCAGGAACAGUAGCCUACCUUUGUUACUGCUACAGUAAUGCCGCGAUAUAAGCAAACAGCGAAACGCCUCAAAGAUCCAUCACGAUUCCAGAGUUACCAUGCCGAAGAAAAAUACGAAGAAUUCAUAGAGCCACGCAGGAUUCUGGAAGAAAAAGGGUUUCAAUUUCCAGACCAACUCAUUGGAAUUGUGAAAUCAAUUCAUAAUGCUGCAGCAAAGCGAGGAUGGCUAGAGUUUUGCAAACACCCUCGCAAUCCGGUACUACCGGUGGUAAAAGAAUUUUACGCCAAUUUGGUAAGCCCUGAUCAGCACAACAUCUGGGUAAGAAAUACACUUGUUCCAUUAGACUCUCGUGUUAUCAAUGCUUUUUAUAACCUACCUGUUGGGAUUACUUGUGAGUAUGCUAAAUUGCAUGAUAAGUUAACCCCGAAAAAGUGGACCACCAUCUUUACAACUCUUACCAUCGAAGGGGCAUCAUGGGUCAACGAGGAAGGGCGUGUAGUUCACAGGAUAGAUUUGAAACCUAUUGCUAAGGUAUUGGUGAAAUUUUUGAAAUCUAGACUUAUGCCCACCACUCACACUACUACGGUUUCACAAAAUAGAUUGGUUUUGAUAUAUGCCCUUGUUAAAGGGCUCCCCAUAGAUGUGGGUAGCAUCAUUGCAAAAGAAAUCCGAGAAUGUGCAGCCAAAACUCAUCGAACUGCUGCUUUGCUAUUUCCUUCACUUGUCACUAGUAUUUUUGUAGUUUCAGGUGUUCGUCUUGCAGCCAGCGAUGAUCACGUCAAGAAUGAGGGUGCCUUUACGGCUCGAACAAUUGAAAGAGUUGCUGGCGAGAGUGCUGGAGCAACCACUAAACCAGCUGUUGUAGCAGGAGCACGACGAACUCUUGGCUUGGAACAGACCAUCCAAGCACUCAGCACCAGUAUCAAUCAAUGUGUGGAAGCUCAGCAGAGAGAAAAUGGUCGGUUUUGGAGCUAUUUACAGCACCUGGAUAGACAGCUACACAAAUUUGCUGAGUACAUGCAACGCAAUCAUCGGAACUUCCCUACUUCUCUGCUCCAGCAAUACAAUUUUGACAUCAGCACCACAGGUGCUCCAGCAGAAACCAGUGAAGAAGCCACUACUUCAGAUGAACCAGCAGAGCAAGCUGCAACUGAACCACCAGCAGAAGUUGACUCAGAAGAUGUUGAACCAUCUGCACCACCUAAGGAGGAAGGUGACAAAUCUGAGACGGAUAGCUCACCCUCAGAGGCAGAGGAUAAUUCGGAGCAAGCACGUGAGGCAACACCAAUCCCCACCCAGUCCAAAACUAGGAAGCAGCACAUUAUUCAAGAAGAGGAGGAAGAAGACCUUGAUGUGGAACCUCCUAUUCCAGUCUUUGUAGGCAAAGGAAAGGCCAAGGGAAAAGCCAAAAUGGCCACACCUCCAGCCUUUGAAGAUGAAAUGGAGCAAGUUGAUGCUGAGUUAGCUGCUGCAGCAGCUAGAGCCAUGCCUACAUCUGAGCAAGCCAAGCAACUACUUGAGGUAAUAGCUGCCAUCACAGCGGAGGGCCAGGCAGCUGACGCAUUGACUCAAAAGACUCCACAGCCAAGUCCAAGCCAGCCUAUCCGCACCAGUCCAAGAUAACCCAGCAAACGAAAAGGCAGUACAUCUGCGGGUACUGCUGCAGCAACCCCAACCACAACUCCUCUUACCAGCCCUGCAGCGGAAAAGACAAAGACAUUGCCAGCUACCUCCCCAAAGGCUUCACCAAAGGAUAAGUUGCGCAGUGCAUCCAAGAAGCGCUGAUAACAUCACAUCCUGGGCUGCAGUCCCCACCACAGGGGAGUACUUUUCUCUCACUAGUUUCUUUCUUGUUCUUAUAAUAAAAAAAGAAAAAAAAAAGAGAUUUGUUUGUCCAUUUGUGUUUUUGUAUUUUGUUUGCUUGUGAGGACACAUCAUCUCUCAAGUUUGGGGGGGUUGUUUCCGAAUGCAUGUGUUUUAUGUAUGUGUUUAUGUUUGUGUUGUGUGAAGCUCUAUUAUCUGUUAUUUGUGUAUGGAUUUGAGAAUCUAAUGAAGAUAAAUUGAGUGCUAUUCAGUAUUUAUGAGAAUGCCAAGUAGAGAUAGUUAUAGAUAGAAGUGAAAUUAUGUCCCAACACUUAGCCGGUGAUUGAGUUUUAUGGACUGCUAGAGCAAACCAGAAGAAUAGAAAAUGUCUUAAGAUUUGAAAGGAGAAGCAUGUUGAUUGACUGUGGUGUUUAUGAAAUAAAACUCUGCUCCAAUGGCUUAAGUUGCUGAGUAACCAGAUCUGAGUAUGCACCCCAUAUGUAGAAUUGUGUAAAAAAGUAGCGAGAGUUAUGAGCAGUGUUGUAGCAUAUAUUGUUCUUAUAAAAAAAAAAAGAAGCAAAGAAAAGAAAAAGUCCUCUGUCUAAGGCAUUGAGUAGCCAGGUCUGUUCAUGACCCCUAUGUUCAGCCUUAAGUCAAAAAUACCUCGAGAUAAGAUUAGACUAUAGAUAUUGCUGCAGCAACUCUGAUCUGGACAUGGCUUGAGUAAUUGGGUGUCAUCAUUACAAGUGAUUGACAUUCACAUGAAAAAUAAAUGUUACAGUGAGGAGGUUGAUUAUCCCCCAGGUUAUCAAUGUCAAAGCUAUCACAGUUUGAAUAUGUGAAAAAAAUGCUACCCCUUGUAAGAAUGAAGUAUAUCAAUGCUAAAAUUUCUGCAGCCCUUGGGUAAUGUGACAGCAUCUCUGGAAAUCAAUCAUAAAGGCAGCACACACACAAUAUAGAUAGAAAGAAGCUUACGUCUAGAACUGAUUUACUAUGGGAAUUUUGUAUGAUUGGGAUUAUGAUCUGAAGGUGGAAGAAUCUUUGCAAAUUUGAUAAAAGAGCUGAAAUUGUGUGCAUGUUUGUUUACGAGAAAUGUUAGUAUAUGUCAUUACUUGAGGACAAGUAAUAAUUUAAGUUUGGGGGUGUGAUAACUCUAGUAAAUGAGAGUUAUUACAUCUAUUCUAGACUUGAAUAAAGGCCAUUUAGAAAGCAAAUAAUAUAUUUUGAUUACAUUUUGGCGAACUUUUGCAUAAACAUUCAUUUUAGUUGAGUCUUAACAAGUUUUGCGUGAAUCAUAGUAAUUUGUGCUAAAAACAGGUUUUAAUUUAUAGGUUUUAAAUUCAUAAAAGGAUGCAGAGACAUUAGAUGAGAAAGAGGAGGAAAGAAGAUGAUCGCAAAAGAAGGAAAGCACAAUCGGAAAUGACACAUGUGCUGUGGCGGAUGUUAGAGCAACCAAUGCUGCAACAAUCUGGGAGAAACGCGGGAGCAAAAUAUAGGCGCGGGUCAGCAAUUAAAUUACAAGCUGCAUGUUUCCUAAUUUAAACACAAGCACGCGCAUGGGUGUUGGUUCAGAAAACCUAAUUUGCAAGUAUAUAAAGGAGGCAUGCACCACAAAGAACGGCGGAGAGUGGAAUAAACAUUCAAAAGCAAUUACAAAAAGCGAGAAGAAGAUCAAGGUUAAGGAGGGUUGUUCGGCAUCAUUGAAGAAAAGGAUCCUUAAACUUUCAUCGUGCUCAACUCAUAUUAUCUUUCUUCCUUUGAUUGAUUGGAUGUAUUCUGUGAUCAGUAUAUUUAUGUUUAUUUUUCUCAUUCAGAAUAUGAGCUGAAUUUACUUGUAGUUGAUUGACAAAUAAUCCAAUGGGUUCUUGACUGUUCUUAUAUGAUGUUAUGAUAAUGCUGUAGCAUUAUACUCUAAUAGUUUUUAUGACAUAAUUGUUAUUUCGGUUGACCACCCAUUUUAUAAUUUCAGUUAAGAUAGAGCAGCAAAAGGGUAUGUCUUAGCGGACAUUAUUAGAGUAUUACUUGUUCUUGAAUUAAGUUUCCUGGAUUAGGUUAUCUUAAAUCCCAUAAGGGCAAUGCUUGAUAUUAAGAUUUGUGAUAUCCUAGACAUAGGAGUUCACCUUGUAGGGUAGAGAGAUUAAAGUUCGUAAAGCCAUACAUUAACUUUAUGAGCAACUGGUCAUUGUUAGUAGAUUUAAAGGUAUGAGAUUUCCAACAUGCGACAGCUGCGGAUGCAGAUUUGUUCUACCCAGUGCUGCAGCACUUAUCAUAACAACUGGUGCUAAUUCGGUAAACAACAGUCACCCCAUUAGGAGAGUUUGAUCAUUCAACUACUAUCUUCUCAAUUGAACUUUGGAUACAUUUAGUUAAGUUUAUUUUAUUACGAUAUUGCUUCAAUUCUCAUCUCUCACAAUUGUUAUUUACGAUAGAAUUAUUUAGUAAUUGUUUGUUUCGGUCUUUAGUUGACGUGCAUUAUUGUGAUUGCUUUAACAUUUUGAGUAACAUCAAUCCCUGUGGAGACGAUCUUGAACACUCAUCACUUUAUUACUUGUUGUGUAUACUUGCACAUUGGUAUUGAUAAUAAUUGAUUAUAUAAAUCAAUCAACACUUGCCACUAACAUACCAUGUCUGCUUAACCCAAAUACAUGAGUAAUCUUCUCUAAGUUAAAGCUUGAUCAAUUAUCUAGCAAAUAAACCUGUGUACUACCUUUAAAGCUUAAGAAACAAAGAAUUUGAAAAAUCACAUUUACAAGAGGGCGGUUAAACAAAAACUUACUAAUAAGGGAAAGUUUGAAUGGUUGUGCUAUGGACUGAAUUUCUAGAGCUAAAAAGCAGAUAAUAGGUUUACCAUGAAAUAAUAAAACUAGCUUUUUCCAAAUUGAAGAUUCAAGGGGGCCAAAAAUAGCAUUAAUAAAAGACUUAGCAUUAGGGUUGAUGAUAACUUCAGAAUUUGUAAUAGAUGCAUAAGAGGCCUUUGAGAGUGGUUGGAUGUACGACCAAGAGUGAAGGGUGGAAAAGGGUCACGGGUUUGGGCUUGAUUUUUGGUUUAGUUUUGUGUUUGGAAAGCUGGAUGUUAGCUAGGGUUUCUUUAUUAUAGCUAAGGUUUUUUGCAUUUAGCAGCUGGUCUCGGUUUUCAACAGCAAAAUGGGUUUGAGUGGGCAAAAGUGGCUGAUCUGAGGUGGCUGGCAGAUUGAUGGUGCCACUAGCAGUAGCCAAAAUAGAGAUAGUGAGUUGUUGGUGAGAUAUAUUGCAGUUAAAAAAUAUUUGUCUCAGUAAAAGAAGUUAGAAAUAAUGGCCAAUAAGUAGUGCCUGAGUUUUGAUUGUGCUAGUGCAAACUAGUGCCUGAGGGGGUUGGUGGUAACUAGAGAGUGAGAGGUAGUUGUUAGGAGUACAUAAGGUUCAACAGUGGUUCCGUUAGUAAAUAAUCGCCACCAACAGAGGUAGGCAAGGUGGCAACAGUAUGAAGCAUAUUUUGAAAGGUUUGUUGCAAUCUAGGGUUUAUGGUUUGAAGUGUUAAUCGUUGUUGUGAGGGUUGUUGAUCAGUUGGGAUGUCGCCAGCAAUUAGAGAAGGUUCUGACAGUGGAGAAUCACCACCACUGGUGGACAAUAUGGUCAUAGGAAUUAUCGCAUUCCAUAAUACAAUACUUGAUGCUUUUCAAUCAUAGUUAUUCUCUUUUUAGGAAAAUUUAGAGUCAAUUUCUCAUCGUGCUAUUAAGAAGUUUGCACCUGCAUUUGUGAAGUUGGGCAUCAUUAACUGGGUUAAUGAUGUGCUAAAGGCAGUCCAUGCAACUGCCUAUAUGAUUGAUCAAGGAAGCAAUCAAGAAUUUAUAAAGCAAAUAUAAUCUCACAUGCGUGCAGACACAGACACAUACAAACGAGUACUAGAAGUAAUAAUUUAGAAAUGUCUUUUAAUUCCUUUUCUUUUAUUAUCUCAGGGAAUAUUUCAUAUAGCAAUACCAUGCUAUAUAGUGAAACCUGAGAAGAAAAGAUUGCUACUCAAAUUGCUAUAAUAGAUGACAGGUUAAGGUUAUUUUGAUGAAUCAACAGAAAACCUGAUACUAAAAAAUUCACGGUUAUUCGAAUGGCAACUUAUUGCUGAUGUAUUGUCCAAGCAACAUAAGAUGUAAAAAUCGUUAAGAACUGUGAAAGAAUGAGCAAUAUAGAGUAUGAUUUACCAUAUCAUGACAUAAUGUUGCAGACCACCCAAGUUGUUAGCCCAAGUGUCCACAAAUUCAGGCCAAGAGUGCUAGCUUGGCCCGAUUCUAGAAUUUUCUAGCUAACUCUAGCACAACUCAGGCUUGUACAUAUCUAGAAUUCUCUACACAUUUCUAGCACAUGUAAAUAUCUAGAUAUCUAGGUAAGUCGGUAGAAUUCUCUAGAGCUUGGCAAGCCUCCCUAUUAAUAGGGCAUGGCAUUUGGCAUUUGAGCAUCAAACUUUAAACAAGCAACUCAAGUACUCUUGUAAGCUCUCUUGUAAUAUCUCGUGCGAGUAAUAUAAUUUUCCUUAUUCAGCACCAUUGCCCUCUUCUCUCUAAUUCUUUCAAAAACCUCCAGGCUUAGCUAGUCGAGAAAUUCAAAUGCCUACUAAGCAACUUUCGACAAGAGUUGUCUAAGUGUCGCACGCGUUCGUUGCACAAAACACUAAUCCUGUGACAAGUGGUAUCAGAGUUAAGGUUUACACCCAUGCAAGUUAGCUCAAGAGCAAUGGCCAACCCUCCAAACCCGGCACAAGAGGGCGUUGUUAGUGUUGUGUUCCACUGGAGCCAUCCCGCGGCUACAAAGACGGAUGCACUCAAGGCAAGCCUCGCGGCAAGUCCAAGGCCCCAUCCGUUGAUGCCUUCGAGCCUCGUAUGGCUACGCUCGAAAUGGCUAUGACCGCCGCUCAAGACACCCUUGAAGGAUUAGAGGAAAGAGAAGAUGGUCUCGAGGUCACUAUGGCAAUCAAUACCCUUAUCCAAGACCAAGCCAACACCCUCUAAGGGGAAUUUUGAGCCUUUCACGAAGAGUUGCUGAAACUCCGCAAUUUCGUCCAAGAGGAACUACGAGCAGUCCAUGCAGAAGGGGAAGAAGUUCGCUCGGAUUGGGCAUGGCACAAGCGCACACUCUCCGCUAGCCCGGCAUCCACAAGAACGAGUGAUGCAAGACGCAUCAACGUACCGAAGCCCGACGCCUAUAAUGGCACACGCAAUGCCACUAUCGUGGACAACUUUCUCUUUAGGCUAGACCAAUACUUCGAUGCCAUAAGUGUACGAGAUAAGGCAUCGAAAGUGGGCACAACACCCACUUAUCUUUGAGGCGUCGUACAACUAUGGUGGCGUCGAAAGCAUGGCGAGAUGGGCAAAGGCAUUUGCACCAUCGACACUUGGGCUGACUUCAAGUAAGAACUUCGAAAGCAAUUUUCCCCAAGCAAUAUGGAUAAGGAAGUGUGAGCGUGCCUACGUCGCCUCAAACAAACAGGUAGUGUUCUACAUCAACAAGUUCACUACCCUCAUGCUCAAGAUAAGUGACAUGUUUGACAAGGACUCCAUCUUCUAUUUCUAAGUUGGCCUCAAGGAUUGGGCCAAGACCAAGUGUGAUAGGAAUGGCGUUCAAACACUUGACAACGCCAUCGCCAUUGCGGAGUCGCUCAUCAAAUACUCCACCCAAUCAAAAGAUAAAAGGCCCAACCAAGGCAAAGGUGAGGGAGAGAGUCACAAGGACAAGGGCAAUAACUGCAAGGAUUAGGGCUAGAAAAAGUCUCCUAGCAACAAAAGCGGGCAUGGAAAAUCAAAGGGCAAGAAGGAGCCAUCAAAGCCUCGAAGCAUAUGCUUUAUAUGCAACGACCCUCAUUGGGUACGUGACUAUCCCGGAAAGAAGUCGCUUAAUGCUCUCGUAACCCAACUUAAGAGCAACCUCACAAUGUUCGUGGAAGAACCCCAACUCAGCAUGGGUUCUUUCCAAUAUCUUGGCGCACUCAAGACCUAACAAACCGUAUUCAAUAAGAAAGGGCUCACGUACGUGAGUGCGAAAAUAAACAGUCAGUCCAUUCGCGCACUGCUAGACACGGGAGCUACUCACAACUUCAUGUUCGUAGAUGAGGCCAAGUGUUUAGGCCUCAAGACCACCAGGGAAGAAAGCACCAUGAAGGCGGUAACCUCACCCGCCAAGCCCAUUGUAGGUAUCGCACAAGGUGUGCACACAACACUUAGGAUAUGAAGCGGAAAUCUUGACUUCUCCGUCGUGCCCAUGGAUGACUUCAAGAUGGUCCUUGGCAUGGAAUUCUUCGAUCAAGUUCAUACCUUCCCACUGCCCAUUACAAACUCUCUAAGCAUCCUCGAUGGGAGUAAAACAUGCAUGGUUCCCACAGAAAGUGGCAAGUUCGAGGAGAAGAUGCUCUCGGCCAUGCAAUUCAAAAGGGCUUUUAAGAAAUACCCAAGUUUCUUGGUGUUCAUUUGGGACUUAAACGAAGAAGUAGAUUGUGGAAAUUUGUCAAGCCAAGUCCCUCCACAAAUACAAAAUGUCAUCAACGAGUUCAAGGACGUGAGGCCUCUCGAACUUCCGAAGAAGCUCCCACCUCGAUGAGAGGUAGAUCAUGCGAUCGAGUUGGAACAAAGCAUGAAGUCACUAGCUUUGGCGCCCUACUACAUGGUGCCACCUGAACUUGAGGAGUUGUAGUGACAACUGAAAGACUUGCUGGACGCAGGCUAUAUUUGCUCCUUAAAGGCUCUAUUCGGUGCACCGGUCAUUUUUUAAAAGAAAAAUAAUGAAUCGCUGUGGAUGUGCAUAUACUAUAGAACGCUUAAUAAGAUCUUGUAUUUGAUUCCCUUGAUAGCGGAUCUUUUCGACCAGCUUGGCAAGGCGCAGUACUUCACCAAACUUGACUUGCGCUCCAGGUACUACCAAGGGAGACGAACCCAAGACAGCGAGCACAAUAAGUUACAGGUCCUUUGAAUUCCUUGUCAUGCCAUUUGGCCUUACCAAUGCACCCGCUACUUUUUGCACACUUAUGAACAAGGUGCUCCAAUCGUUUCUCGAUCAAUUUGUGGUCGUGUACUUAGACGACAUCAUGGUCUAUAGUACCACGCUCGAGGAACAUGCCCAACAUUUGCGACAAGUCCCCCAAGUACUACGAGACAACGAGCUCUUCCUCAAAAUGGAGAAAUGUUCAUUCGCUCAACAAGAAGUGGAGUUCCUUGGCCACAAGAUUGUGGGCAGAAAACUCAUGACGGAAAAUGCUAAGGUGAAGGCGAUCCUCGAAUGGGAACCUCCCACGAAAAUGCCUAACCUUCGCUCAUUUCUUAGAUUUGUGAACUACUACCGAUGCUUCAUCAAGGGCUACUCAACCAAGGCGGUACCCUUGACAAAUUUACUCAAGAAAAAUCGAAUGUGGCAUUGGUUCGUAGAAUGCCAACGCAUAUUCGAAGACUUGAAUAAGGUAUUUCCUGAGGAACCUGUCCUUGCUCUUCUGAACCACACUAAGCCCUUCGAAGUCCAAACGGAUGCCUCGGAUUUUGCCAUAGGUGGAGUUCUUAUGCAAGAAGGCCACCCAAUGGCGUUUGAGAGUCGAAAGUUAAAUGAUACAGAACGCUGCUAUAAAUACCCCCUAACCCUUUUCAUUUUCAAUCCAACCUAGAAAUUUCAUUCUCUUCUAUUAUAAGUCAUAAUAUCAAGUGCAGAGAAAUCCUUAAUUUAGAAAGGUCUAGAGAAGUCAAUGCCAAGAGGUAAGUAACACUUCAACUGCAAUGUAAGGACAAAAUUCUUUUCGUACUUAACUUCAGUUUUAAUGAUUUCCUUAUGUUGUGAUGGCUAUUAUGAUGUUAUUAAAAUAAAUCCUUAAUUUAUGUUGUGAUGGCUAUUAACAAAAUUCUUUUCAUACUUAACUAUGUUUUAAAUAUUUUUAAAAUAGAUAUGGACGGUCUUCAGAAUCGCUUUAAACCUGGCUCUAAUACCAAUUUGUAACACUCCACUUAAAUAUCUAUUAUGAUGUUAUUAAAAUAAAUCCUUAAUUUAUGUUGUGAUGGCUAUUAACAAAAUUCUUUUCAUACUUAACUAUGUUUUAAACAUUUUUAAAAUAGAUAUUUAAGUGGAGUGUUACAAAUUGGUAUUAGAGCCAGGUUUAAAGCGUUUCUGAAGACCGUCCAUAUGCAGAAGUCAAGGGGAAGGACAAGGCUCAACUUUUUAGUAAAAACUUGGAAUUAGGUAAGUUAGAGAUUUUCAUUUGAUUUGUUUGACACGCAGAAAUUAGAUUAAAAACUUGUUGAGAUGUCAAGCAUUAGGGGUAACAGAAGGAGAAGGGCGGAAGGAAGUGCAAGGGAGUAAUCUGCAAUUGAUCGACUUACAAAUAUUGUGGCACGACUUUUGGAAAGGGAAGUUAGAAGAGAUGAACAUGCUCAUGCAAUGAACAACGCAUGAAGCAAAUUUUAAAGAUUAAAUCCACCCAUGUUUGAAGGAGGUGUAGACCCUAUUGCAGUAGACUAAUGGUUGCGGACCAUGGAAAAAAUGAUUGAAAUAGCAAAAGUACCUGAAGAAGAAAAAGUCACUUAUGUCUCCUUUAUGCUACGGGGAGCGGCAGAAUAUUAGUGGGACUCUAUCAAACAAAUCCAUAAUGAAAGAACAAUGCAAUGGAGAGAAUUUAAAGAACACUUCUAUAACAAAUACUUUUCAAAGACUGUUCGCUCAGCCAAAAGAAGAGAGUUUGUUUAUCUACAACAAGGAAUGAUGUUUGUGCUAGAGUACAUCCAAAAAUUUGAUGAGCUCUCUCUAUAUGCCCCAUAUAUGCUUGCAAUGGAAGAUUUGAAAAAUGACUAUUUUAUGCAAGGAUUGUGAAAAGAUCUCGCAAAAGAUUUAAAGGUGGCGGGAGUUCGUGAUGCUUCCUUCAAUGAACUCAUCGAUUGAUCUUUGGUAAUUGAGCAAGCAAAUGAAGAAAAAAAAAAGGAAGAAAAACAAAAGAAUAAAGGAAGUAUGGACCAGAGAAAUUUUCAAGCUAACCACGAAGGACAACGCUUAAAUAAUAAUAAGAGAAAGGGAAUGCCAGCGAUCCAAGAUCAUAGUAAAAGCAAGCGCCCUAAGAAUCAUCAGUGGGAAGUCCCACAGAAACCAAUGUGCAACUAGUGCGAUAGAACUCAUCCUCGGGAAUGUCGAGCAAAUACCAGAACAUGUUUCAAAUGUGGAAAAGAAGGACACUUUAUCAGGGACUACCCAGAAAAUGGUAUGCAACAAGAAAAGACUAAUGCUCGAGUAUUCACACUCACCAAGAUGGAUGCAGAAGGAAACCCCUCAAUAAUAUUAGGUGAACUAUCUAUUUUAAAAAAUCCUACAUAUGUAAUAAUAGACUCAGGAGCUACACAUUUAUUUGCCUCACCAACAUUUAUUAGGAAAAUGUAAAAUGCCCCUGAUAUAAUAAAUAGGCCUUUUAGUGUCAUGGUACCAUCAGGUGAAACAUUAAACUUGGGACAAUUAAUUAAGGCAUGUGAGGUUAGCAUUUGUGAUAAUACACUAUGUGUUGACUUAAUAAUCCUUGAGAUGCAUGACUAUGACGUAAUUCUUGGCAUGGAUUGGCUAUCAAUGCACUAUGCCAUGAUAGAUUGCAAGAAAAAGGAGGUAACAUUUUGACCAACACAAAAAGAAUCAUUUACAUUUAAAGGAGAAUGCAAAAAGAAUAGAAUGCCUAUCAUCAAAAUAGAUAGGCAUUAAAUAGAAGGUGUGAGGGGUACUUGGCAAGUGUGGUCAUCGAAAUAGAAGAGCAAAGACCAAAGUUGGAAGAUAUUCUAGUGAUGAACGAAUUUCAUGAGGUCUUCCCUAAAGAACUUCCAGGAUUGCCACCAGAUCGAGAAAUUGAAUUCAAAAUUGAUUUGUUACCAGGAACUGCUCCAAUUUCAAAGGUGCCCUAUAAGAUGGCCCCAUCAGAAUUAAGGGAGUUAAAGAGUCAAUUACAGGAGUUACUAGACAAAGGCUAUAUACGUCCAAGUCAUUCACCAUGGGAAGCACCAGUACUAUUCCUAAUAAAGAAGGAAGGAUAAAUGCAAUUGUUCAUUGACUAUCGAGAGCUAAAUAAGGUAACUAUCAAGAACAAAUACCCACUUAUGCGCAUCGAUGACUUGUUUGAUCAGUUGAAGGAGUAUCAGUAUUUUCAAAGAUUGAUCUACGAUCAGGAUAUCACUAGUUGAGAAUUAGGGAAGAAGAUAUUCAUAAAACAACAUUCAGAACACGUUAUGGACAUUAUGAGUUUGUUGUCAUGCCAUUUGGACUAACUAAUGCCCCAGCAGCGUUCAUAGACCUCAUGAAUAGAGUAUUUAAAGACUACCUAGAUAGAUUCAUAGUGGUGUUCAUUGAUGACAUUUUAAUCUAUUCAUAAAUAAAGGAGGAGCAUGCUAAGCAUCUAUGGAUCACUCUUCAGACCUUGAAGGAGAAGCAACUUUAUGCAAAACUCAAGAAAUGUGAAUUUUGGCUUGAAAAAGUUACAUUCCUUGGACACGUCAUGUCUAAAGAUGGAAUUUCAGUAGACCUCUCGAAGGUAGAAGUUGUAAGUCAAUGGUCCAGACCGACUAAUCCCAAAGAAGUCAGAAGCUUCUUGGGUUUGGCUGGAUACUACCGAAGAUUUGUGAAAGGUUUCUCUAAAAUCACGAUACCAUUGACCCAGUUGACAAAGAAAAAUGCCAAGUUUGCAUGUGAUAAACCCUGAACUGAAAUGGUUAGAUAAACAACACAGUAGAGAGCAUAAUGUUGUUGGAUGUAGGAAAAAUGAUAUUUAUCUGCAGAAAUAAACCAAAACACCUAAGCAUUCGAGAGGCUUGGUAUCUCUCCCAAAAAUGAGCAAGCUCACUAAAAAAUAAUUCUCUGGAUCUGUUUCCCAAAAACCAGCUCCUCUCCAUAUAACCUCCUCACUUCUACGCCCAAAUAGAAUAACAGAAAAAUCUAACAAAUUAUCAAAACCGAAUACCAUCAACUUAUUACUAACAAAAAUGCAUAACAAACUCUUCUCUAUAUACUACUUGAUGACACGUCAGCCACGAUUGGUAUUUCCGAAAUUACCCUUGCGCCUUGCAUAUGUGAAACGCACUUGUGGCCUAACAUUACCAUCCGCCCAAACUUUCACCUUGUCCUCAAGGUGGAAAUCGGGAAAUUGUUGUUGGAUCAGAUGAAAAUCCUCCUAAGUUGCCUCAAACUCAGGCAAGGAUUUCCAUUUGAGCAGCACCUCCACUUCACCGUAUUGACCAUUAACCUUAGGACGAACUCCCAACAAUUUUUUAGGUUCCACCACGAGUUCAAGCUUAGGAGUCAACUGUGGGGGGAUAGUGGGGGAAAACGAUGACACACCAAAUGCUGCCCUCAACUGCGAAACAUGAAAGACAUGGUGGAGUUUUGCUGUUUGAGGCAGUUCUAGUUUGUAUGCCACAUUCCCGAUACGCUGAAGAACCUUAAAUGGACCGUAGUAACGUGCAGCUAAUUUCUCAAACUUACGUUGAGCGAGGGAGCGCUGCCGGUAAGGUCUUAGUUUCAAAAAUACCAAAUCACCUGCAUUGAACUCUACAUGAUGGCGCUUUUGAUCAGCUUGCAGCUUCAUCCGCUGCUGGGCACGAAGCAAUUGCAUCCUCAGAUCGUCCAGUAUGGUAUCACGAUCCUUCAUUAACUGUUCCACCAAAGAUACCGAAGCAGCUCCUUACUCAUAUCGAAUAAGAAGGGGUGGAUCCCUUCCAUAGAGAGCACGAAAUGGAGUACAACGUGUAGAGGAGUGGAAGGAAGUAUUAUACCAAUACUCAGCCCAUGCCAACCAGCGAGCCCAACUUCAAGGUUUUCCAGAAGCAAAGCAUCGUAGAUACGUUUCCAGACAACGAUUGACAACUUCUGUUUGUUCAUCAGAUUGUGGAUGAUAGGCGGUGCUUCUUUUGAGAGUAGUUCCUUGCAGCUUGAACAAUUCACUCCAAAAAUAGCUCAAGAAUAUCCUAUCUCGAUCAGAGAUAAUUGACUGUGGUAUCCCAUGAAGCCUAACAAUUUCACGAACAAAGAUUCCAGCAACCGAAACAGCAGAAAAAGGAUGUUUCAAUCCUAUGAAGUGAGCAUACUUACUCACUUCAUAUUCUGCUGGCAGAUGGUGCAUUCCCGUACAAAUCUAGUGACAUCCUUGCGCAUACCUAUCCAAUACAAUUCUGCUGCUAAGCGUAGGUAAGUUUUUGUUUCUCCCGAAUGUCCCCCAAUCGGAGUGGUGUAAAACUCUCCUAUGAGAGCAGAAAGAAGCUUAGAAGUCUGAGGAAUAACCAGUCGACUCUUGUAGAACAAUACUCCAUGCUCAACUGAGAACCCCACGUGAGAUUGUGUACCCGAAGUUAUGUCUUCCCUUAGUUUCUUCAGAAAGGUAUCCUCUGCCAAUUCAACCUUUAAGGAAUCCCAAUGUUGCCACUGAGGAAUCGCCAAAGCUGAACACUCUGCUGGUUCUGUUAAGCGUGAGAGUGCAUCCGCUACUCGAUUACUUGCCCUACUACGAUAUUGAAUAUCAAAAUCAUAUCCCAUGAUUUUGGUGAUCCAUUUUUGAUAUUCAACUCCAACAAUCCUCUACUCCAAAAGAAAUUUUAAGCUCUGUUGGUCUGUUCGCACAAUGAAUCGCCUUCCCAGCAAGUACGGCUGCCAUUUCAGGAUUGCAAACACUAUGGCCAUUAGUUCUUUCUCAUAUAUGGACUUAAGGCGAGCCCGGGGCCCCAAAACUUGGCUGUAGUAAGCUACUGGUUGUUGCCCCUGUAGUAGAACAGCUCCUAACCCAAAACCAGAUGCAUUAGUCUCAACAAUAAAUGGCUUUGUGAAAUCAGGCAUUGCCAACACUGGGACCGAAGACAUAGCUUGUUUGAGUUCUUCAAAUGCCGCUGCAGCCUCUGGACUCCACCCAAACCUACUUUCUUGAGCUGAUCAGUCAAAGGCGAUGCGAUUCUAGCAUACCCAGCCACGAACAUUCUAUAAUACCCCGUCAAUCCCAGAAAUCCCCUUAACGCUUUCAGAUUAGUGGGCGUCGGCCACAAGUUCAUGGCUUGGAUUUUACUUGGAUCCGCUGCCACCCCUUGUCCAGAGAUGAUAUGGCCUAAGUAUGCCACUUGAGUCCUUCCAAACUCAUAUUUUUUUCGGUUGGCAUAAAGGCUGUUGGCCUGCAAUUUUCCCAAGACGAGAGCCAAGUGCUGCAGAUGGGAUUCCACUGAAGGGCGGUAAAUUAGAAUGUCAUCGAAGAACACUAGCACAAACUUCCAAAGAUAAGGCCGGAAGACAUCAUUCAUCAAGGAUUGGAAAGUCGUCGGGGCAUUCGUUAGUCCGAAAGGCAUGACGAGAAACUCGUAGUGUCCAUCAUGCGCUCGAAAAGCAGUCUUAUGAACAUCCUGACUACUGACUAUGAUUUGAUGGUAGCCCGACUUUAACUCUAGCUUGGAAAAAAUUCUGGCACCAUGUAAUUCAUCUAGGAGUUCAUCAAUGACAGGGAUAGGAUACUUAUCUGGUACCGUCGCUUUGUUGAGAGCCCUAUAAUCCACACAAAAACACCACGAUCCAUCUUUCUUCUUAACCAACAAAACUGGGCUCGAGAAUGGACUAUUGCUGACUUGGAUUAUUCCUGCAUCUAACAUCUCCUGAAUCAGUCUUUCAAUCUCAUCCUUCUGAGCAUGAGGAUAGCGAUAUGGUCUGACGCUAACAGGUUCACUGCCGUCUUUGAGCAAAAUGGAAUGCUCAUGUCCCCUGGUAGGUGGUGAGCCCAUGGGCAUGUUAAAAACCAAUUCGUAUUCUGCUAGGACUUGGUUUAGAUUCGUUGGCACCUCAGGGCUCACUUCGCACAGACCUUCAAAUUGAUUACAUUCCACCAUAAUUCCAGCCCCCUCGUGCUUAAUGGUGCGCAUCAUUGCCUUCAAUGAAACCAAAGUCUUGCCAAGGGAAGGAUCCCUUCGUAGAGUAACAGAUUCAUUUCCGAGCAUGAACUUCAUCACCUGUGUCUUCCAAUUUGUGUGUGUCAUCCCCAAAGUUUCAAGCCACUGAACUCCUAAUAUAGCAUCCGAGCUCCCCAACCCAAGCGGCAAGAAUUCCUCUACAAUAUCUAUUCCCUGUAGAUGAAUAGUCACUCCCCGACAUAAACCUUCUCCCCUUACAGCCGCUCCAGUACCCAUAGUCACCCCAUAAGCCCCAGUUUUAACAAUGGGUAUCUGCAUUUUACUAACCAAAUCUAGAGAAAUAAAAUUGUGGGUUGCACCUGAAUCAAUCAGUACCACCACCUCUUGCUCCCCGAUAGUCCCCUUAAGCUUCAUCGUCUUUGCUGUAGUCAGACCAACCACCGAGUUAAGAGAGACCUCUACCACUUGAUUAAUUUCGGCCGUUUCCAGUUCGGGAUCGCCUUCACCCGAACCUUCUUCCUCUUCCUGCUCUGCUUCGUCCAUGUCGUAGGUGAGAAGGAUAGUCAAUUCUUUCUUCUUGCAGCGAUACCCAGGUGCCCACUUUUCAUCACAUCGAUAACAUAGUCCCUUAUCUCUUUUCUUCUGUAAUUAUGAAUCGGAAAACCUCCUAACCUCUCCCAAAAAUCGAGCCGUGUUAUGAUUUGUCCCAAACGAAGAUCGCGAAGCUUCAGAAUGGAAGUUCACACCUCGCGUUGACCCUUUUGCUCGAUGAAACCCACCGCCUGCUUUGUGGGCCUUGGUCACCCACAGUUUCUCCUUAAUCUUUUGGGCUAAGUCCAUGGCCCGGCCCAAAUUACUGGGUUCCAUGAUCCGAACCUCGACCCGAAUUUCAGGCUUCAACCCGUUGAUAAAAUUUCCCAGAGCUAGUUCGUCUGUAAUGUUCUCCAACGGCACCGAAAGUUCGAUGAAUUUCCGGUGGUAUUCUCGCACACUGCUAUCUUGAGUAAGGGCUAGCCAUUGUUCAUAGAGAGAACCGGCUUGGAUUACUCGGAGUUGUUUCAAGAUUAGUACCCUCAUCUCUUCCCAAACCACUAUGGAUCUCUUCAUAUUCUCCCAUUAAUACCACAACAGGGCAUCUCCCUCGAAAGCUAGUAUCGCCGCCUCAAGUUUUUCUUCAUUGGAUAACCGAUUUACGGAAAAAUAUCGUUCAGCCUUCAUAAUCCAGCCAUCCGGAUUUAAGCCAUCGAACAGUGGCAUCUCAAGUUUCCGGAAUCAGAAAUCAGGGCGAGUUCCGCCUGAGCUCGACCCACCGCCGAAGUUGGGGCUGAGCAUCUUUUCCCCUUUAUACGAAUUCGAACCUCCCGUAUCCUCCUGAAGUUUGAUGAACUGUUCGAAUCGUUUGUUCAUCGUCUGUAUUUCAUCCUUCAACGAUCCCAUUUCCCGUUGAAACUCCUCCUACGCAGCAACCAUCGCCUCCUCUAUGGAAUCCAUUCGUUGAGCAACAUUUUUGCCGGUCAUUUUCCAAGUACGUGACUUCUCUGAUACCAAUUUGAUAAACCCUGAACUGAAAUGGUUAGAUAAACAACACAGUAGAGAGCAGAAUGUUGUUGGAUGUAGGAAAACUGGUAUUUAUCUGCAGAAAUAAACCAAAACACCCAAGCAUUCGAAAGGCUUGGUAUCUCUCCCAAAAAUGAGCAAGCUCACUACAAAAUAAUUCUCUAGAUCUGCUUUCCAAAAACCAGCUCCUCUCCAUAUAACCUCCUCACUUCUACGCCCAAAUAGAAUAAUAGAAAAAUCUAACAAAUUAUCAAAAUUGAAUACCAUCAACUUAUUACUAACAGAAAUGCAUAACAAACUCUUCUCUCUAUACUACUUGAUGACACGUCAACCACGAUUGGUAUUUUCAGAAUUACCCUUGCGCCUUGCAUAUGUGAAACGUACUUGUGGCCUAACAGCAUGGACACUAGAAUGCGAGAAAAGCUUUAAAGAACUAAAACGACGGCUGGUCACUGCUCCAAUCCUAGCCAUUCCUAACAGCUCUGAGGAUUUUGUCAUCUAUAGUAAUGCCUCCAAAAAUGGUAUUGGAUGUGUCCUCAUGCAAAAUGGAAAAGUCAUUGCAUAUGCUUCCAGACAAUUAAAUGAAUAUGAGAAAAACUAUCCAACGCAUGAUUUGGAGUUGGCAGCAGUGGUGCACGCAUUAAAAUUAUGGCGUCACUGUUUAAUAGGGGCGCAUUGUAAGAUUUACACUGAUCACAAGAGCCUCGAAUAUUUCUUUACCUAAAAGGAGCUGAAUAUGUGACAAUGGUGUUGGCUAGAGCUUGUCAAGGACUACAACUGCGAAAUAAACUAUUAUCCUGGAAAAGUAAAUACGGUAGCAGAUGCACUAAGUAGAAAGUCAAGCUUGUCAGCUUUACGGAUUCUACCUAAGCCAUUACAAAAUGAUAUAUGCAAGGCAGAGAUCGAGCUAGUAAUAGGAAAAUUAGCCAAUAUGAAGCUUUGCUCAACCUUAUUAAAAAAGAUUAAGAAAGGGCAGGAAAGUGAUUCUUACUUGAAGAACCUAAAGAUAGAGGCCAACUCAAAGGAGACGUUGUUUAAGAAGUCAGAGAAGGGAAUCAUCUUGUUCAAGGAUAGAAUAUGUGUACCAGAUAAUGCAAAUAUAAAGAAAUAUAUUAUACUUGAAGAUCAUAUAACCCCAUAGUCACUUCAUCCUGGCACAACAAAGAUGUACAAAGACUUAAAGAAGCAUUAUUAGUGGCCUGGAAUGAAGAAGGAUGUAGUUGAGUUCGUGGCAAAAUGUCUCACUUGUCAACAAAUCAAAGUAGAACACCAGAGACCAGCAAGACUUUUGGAAUCCAAUUAAGUUACUCAAUGGAAGUGGGAAGAAAUCACAAUGGAUUUCGUCAUUAGUCUUCCAAGGACUACCAAAAUACAUGAUGUUAUUUGGGUGAUCAUUGAUCAACUCACAAAGUCUGCUCACUUCUUGCCUAUUUGAAUGACGUACACCAUAGACCAGCUUGCAGAAAUAUAUGUAAAAGAGAUAGUAAAACUGCAUGGUGUACCCAUUUCUAUUAUUUCUGACCGAGAUGCAAGGUUUACUUCGACAUUUUGGGAAAAGUUACAUAAGGCUAUGGGGACAAGAUUGAAGUUUAGUAAAACAUUUCACCCUCAAACAGACGGCCAAUCAGAAAGAACAAUUCAAACGCUUGAAGAUAUGUUGCGAGGAUGUGCUAUCAACUUUCAAAGAUCAUGGAGCAAGUAUUUACCAUUGGUUGAAUUUGCCUACAACAAGAGUUACCAAGCAACAAUCAGCAUGGCACUACACGAAGCUCUAUAUGGUAGAAAAUGUAGAUCGCCUAUUCAUUGGGAUGAGAUGGGCGAAUGAAGGCAUCUAGGACCCAACUUAAUUACUGCCUCAUCUGAAGCAAUCGAGAAAAUACCUCAAAGAAUGCUGGCAGCUCAAAAUCGACAAAAAAGUUAUGCGGAUAAGAGGUGAAGGCCUUUGGAAUUCCAAGUUGGUGAUAAAGUAUUUAUAAAAGUUGCCCCAGUAAAAGGAUUGAUGAGAUUUAGAAACAAAUGAAAAUUAAGUCCGAGGUUUAUUGGGCCAUUUGAAAUACUCGAUCGCGUCGGGAAUGUUUUCUACCGACUUGCCCUCUCACCAUCGUUAUCAAGAAUACAUAAUGUCUUUCAUGUAUCCAUGUUAAAGAAAUACGUCCCCGACUCCUCUCAUGUGCUAGAUUAUAAGCCCCUACAACUAGAAGGAGACCUAACCUACGAAAAAUGUGUAAUUCAAAUUCUUGAUAGAAAGAUAAAAGAGUUAAAGAAUAAGAAGAUUCCUUUAGUUAAAGUACUAUGGCGAAAUAGCUCAGUGGAGGAGGCAACAUGGGAACGUGAGGAAGAAAUGAAGAAUAAGUAUACUGAGCUAUUCAGUAAGUAAAUUUCGAGGACGAAAUUAUUUUAAAGAGGGGAGGAAUUGUGAGGUACAAUUUUCUCACUUAAAUAUAAUAUUAUUUAUUUUAAGGUAACAAGCCCCCUUAAGUAUUAUUAUUAUUAUUAUAUAAAAUAUUAAAUUAUAAGUUAUGAUAACAUAAUCAAUGACAUAAGUAAUGAUGACAUAAGCAACGACAUAAGUGAUGAUGUAAGAGAAGUGUGUAGAGAAAGUUAAGAAUUCUAGAAUUUAAUAAGGUAUUUAUGAAGGUUAAUCUCAACCAUUGAUCAAGAGUUAUGGUAGCAAAAUCCUAAUCAUUUAUUGGCCUUAAAAAAUCCUAUAAAUACCCCCUAACCCCUUUCAUUUUCAAUCCAACCUAGAAAUUUCAUUCUCUUCUAUUUUAAGUCAUAAUAUCAAGUAUAUAGAAAUCCUUAAUUUAGAAAGGUCUAGAUAAGUCAAGGCCAAGAGGUAAGUAACACUUCAACUGCAAUGUAAGGACAAAAUUCUUUUCAUACUUAACUUCAGUUUUAACAAUUUCCUUAUGUUGUGAUGGCUAUGGAUAACUCUAGGAAAUGAGAGUUAUCAAGACACUUUUAUACUUAAAUCGAUAUUAUUUAGAGAGUGAAUGUUGUGUUUCUAUUGCAUUUUUGUUAUACUUCGCAUAAACAUUCAUUUUAGUUUAGUCGUAAUAAAUUUUGUUUGAUUUAGAAUAAUUUGUGCCUAGAUUGUGUGUGUAAUUAUAGAUGUUCGGAAGCUCAUGUUUUAAGAAAGGAAUGCUGAUGCAAUCAACUUGCAAAAGAUGGAAAAGAACUUAGUCACAAAAGUCUUAAAACAAAUCUGGAACAGUGCAAUUGUUUUAGCCGUUGCUGUAGCAGCCAUUGUUGUAGCAAUCCUAGAACAAUGAUAGAGAAAAUUCCACGCAGGAUACUUGGAGAAUCGUGAUCUGCAGUUUUCUAAUAUGACUCAUGCGUGCCCUAGGCUUCCGUUUACCCUAAUUUUCAAUUAUAAAAAGAGCACGCAUCAUAUGGAAGGGGGCGGUGAAUUAACAUCGAAGAAAUCAAGAGAAAAUAAGGAAAGAGCAGAAUUCAAGAGAGACAAGUCUGGUCCAUUGAAGAAAUCUACAGAACUAUUUGGAUUCAAUUUUCAUCAUUCUUUACUUGUCCCCUUACUUACUCCUAGAUUAAAAUGAUGUAUUUCAUGGCUGAUACUUUGCUGUUUGUUUUUCUUUUACAAGUUAUGAGUUGAAAACGAUCUAAAUGGGUUCUUGGCUAUUCUUAUGAGUUGUUGCAACAUUGCUGUAGCAUUUUACUUUAAUAGCUUGUAUUACAAUCAUUAUUUCGAUUGACCUCUCAUCUAAUGGUUCAAGUUAAGAGAGAGCUGCAAAAGGGUCUGUCUUAGUGGAAAUUAUUAGAGUAAUACUUGAUCUUAAUUUAAGUUUUCUGGAUUGAGUUUAACUUGAGUCUCAAGAGCGCCACACUUGAAUUAAGAUUUGUGAUGACAUAGAUAUAGGGAUUCACCUUGUAAGGUAGAGAGAGUAUAUGUUUGUAAUAUAAUAAUUGGUCAUUGUUAGGUUGCGUAAGCAACAGUUGAGGAAGCAAAAUAAGUCUGCUCAGUGCUAUAGGAGUUGCUGCACCAACUGGUGUUAGUUUGAACAAAACAGUCAGCCCAUGAAGAGAGUUUGAUCAUUCAACUACUUUAUCUUUAUUGAAUUUUAUUUUUGCAAGCUAUUCAGUUUACUUCAUUAUUGCAGUUACUUUAUUACGUUGUUAAUUUUAUUAGUCAAUCAACUUUAUUUGUAUUCCUUUUAGAUAGAAGGAAGUUUGCACUAUCGUGAUUACUGUAGCAUUUCUAGUAACAACAAUCCAUGUGGAGACGAUCUUGAAUAUUCAUCAAUUUAUUACUUGUUGUGUACACUUGCACAUUAACAUCAAUAACAAUCGAGUUAAAUUAACCAACAACUAUUCCGCCUAAUCUAUGAUGCUUAGUUAUGUUAUGGUCAGCUCUGCCGCCUAAUCUGCAAUGCUAAGUUAUGUUAUGGUCGACUCUGCCGCCUAUUUACGAUGCUUAGUUAUGUUAUGGUUGGCUCUGCCGCCUAAUCUGUGAUACUUAUAAUUAAUUAUGCUAUGUCGGGUGUGCCGCCUGUAUUCAAGAAUAUUGUUCUUAAAUACUGUUGUGUGUUGAUUCUUUUAUGCAUUUAGGAACUUCAAAUAUUAUGACAUAAUUUGCAUUGAAUGCAUGCAUAUCAUGGAUUACAUUAUAAAGAAGACGUUUCAGAAAAUGAAUUUAUGAAAAAUAAGUGGUUGUACCACCAAGUGGCAAAAUUUCUAAGGAGGGCAAGCCCUUAAAGCUAACUUUAAAAAAAUCUUUUGGGGACGGCGAUACAUAACGCCUAAAAGAUCAACUAAUGAGGCCUAAAGGCAUAUUGUUUAAAAUAGUAAAAGUGCCAACCUUGUAGUGCAACAUACCUAGGGCCUUAAUGAAGUUGUUUUGUAUUUUUUAAGUUUCUUUUAAAAGCUUAAGAUGGUCAUCCAUAUGCAUCAUAAUUUAUACAUUCAUAAAAGUAUUAUCUUAUUGGGCAUUAGCUCAUAAAGUCCUUACAUUGCAGAUAAUGAUGAGUAAGGCAAGCUGGCGCCAAGUCUUAACCAAGAAAAAAUGCAUAUGGACAUAACAGACCUUGGGAUUUUAAGAUGGGCUCAGCUUUGUUUAAAUAAAAAUUAAACAUCUUAGCUUUAUGUAAUAAUCAAGUUUUGAAAUAAACUAUGAAAUCUCUGUAUGACUUUUACUUUAUGAAGAAAUUUUUGUUUGUUGUGUUAAGCUUUUAGAAAUCGUAUUUAACUAUGUUUUAAACAUUUUUAAAAUAGAUAUUUAAGUGCAGUGUUACAACAUCAGUCUCCUCCUCUUCGAAAAAAAAAACUCAUCCUCGAGUUUUGCUGAAAAUAAAGGACAAUCUGGAGGAUAAAUCUUUUAAUUAAGGAGUAAUUGAUCUUGCACUGCAAAAGUGUAGCACUUUGCAUCAACUUUUCUUAAAACUCGAAAGUACUAAAACUUCAAUUUCUUCUUGUUUUUUAGUAUGGUUCUUCUAAAAACUGUAGACUUGUAAGGGCAAACCAUUAGAAGUUCUCUUUUAAUUUGAGUCACAGGUAAUCCUCAUAGGAGGUAACUUGUUAAGAAGCUCUUUAGGCACGAUAUCCUGAAAUUAUGAGAGUAGUGAUUGGACUUAUUCAGGCAUCGAUUCUUCUUCAGCUAUCUCUUUUGUAGUAAAAGAUAAGUUCCCUUGACAUUUGACUUUAUCGGAGCAAGGAUAACUUUCAAGUUGUCUUUAUAGAACCUGUAUGUGUUAUCUUUCCCAUAAUGUACCAUAUUAAGAUCAAAUUGCCAAGGUCUCCCGAAAAGCAAAUGGCAAGCAUUCAUGUCAACAAGAUCGCAAGUAACUUCAUCUUUAUGUCUUCUGAUGGAAAAACUGAAUACAACAUUGUUGAGUAACCUUUAUCUCUCCAACAUCUUUUAUCCAUCUAAUGCAAUAAGGGGAAGGAUGUUUGUGAGUUUUAAGCUGUAACUUGUCAACUAUAAUCUUCGAAACUAUAUUCUUGCUACUAUCACUGUCAAUAAUCAUCACAUACCCUCUCAUUGAUUGUGCACCUUGUUUUGAAGAUAUUAUGUCUCUGAGUCUCUUCGUCUUUCUUUUGUGUGUAUAACGAAUGUUGUGUUACUAGUGAUACUCCUAUGUCUCAAUAUGUCCACUCUUCCUCCUUUUCUAUGUCGACAUUGUCUUCAUAUAGUUCAUCCUUAGGCUUUCCAUUUUCCUCUGCAUUAGUUUCCAAAUUGACUAUUUGAUGUCUUCGUUCUGGACAUUGGUUUGAUGUAUGGCCUAGCUUUGAAUAACGAAAACAUUCGUCACCUCGAGGAAAUUCAUAAGGAUUGCUACUACAUAGUGUAAAACUUUCUUUCUUUCAAUUCCGUUUGGCUGAAAUUCGUUUUCUCAUUUCACAAAAAACAUAAUACAUUUUUGUGCUAAUGCCAUUGAAACAUUCACACUGACAUAUGUCCAUGUCCAUAAACACACAUAACACAUAACAAUACAUUCUAUUAACACAUCAUAUAAACACAUGGGCAGAGCAUAUAAAUCCAUAUCCGUAUAUAUUAAAAUAAGUUUUUCAAACAUGUCAAACAUGUACAUAUUAUUUAUUAUGACUCAUUUAGAAAUCUAGUUUACUUACCUUCUAGCAUCCUCGAGUAACAAAUAUGUGUCGAUAUCACCGACCUAAAGUCAAUAAAAAAUACUCCUAUAAGAUAAAAUCAUAUCAAAUCAUAAACUCUAUUGUUCUCAAAUUCCUCAAUAUAACACCCUCUAAACUUAACCUCAAUUAAUCUUAAUUUGAAUAAUUAAUUACAAAAAAUACCAAAAUUUAAAUUACUAGAAUGCCCCUUAAAUCUCAAAAUCACAAGUUGCCAAAUUAUCCUCAAAAUCAUAAUUUAUCGGACCACCCUUAGAUUCUUAUUCUCCAAAUCAUAAAUCACUGAAAUAUUCACGAAAUAAAAAAUUUAAGAAAUUACCCACAAAUUCUAAAAAAUUACUAAAAUGCUCUCAUCGAUCAACAGUGAUCUAAAUUCAUACGGUGGUGAUGGGAAAGGUCGGGAUAGAAGCUUCAUGUCGCAUUGAAUCCAACGGUGGCGACGGAGGCACCAGAUUGAGCUCCCAAAGCUGUGAACACUUUGGAGGUCGAUUGGCAGCAAAUCAACUAUUUGUGGUGAUGUGGGUGGUAAAACAAUGCAAGUAGUGACCUAAGGAACGAAACCCAGUCGGUGGCGUCACCCAAAACCAGUGAAAUCACAGUGAAUGGAGGUGGCAAAUACUGCAAGUUUUGCGGGCCCAAAUGACGGCUGUCUGGUCGUUAUUCAACAGUAAUGAUGGCGGGGAAGUGACCAUUGGUUCUAAAGCUUCUAAUCGGUACCUCCCGUUGCUGGUGGGGUGGUCGGGAACGAGAAAUGGUGACCAGGUUGGUUCAUGGGUCAGGUUUUCCGAGUUGGUUUUGGCAGCUUUCUCUCUUUCUCACGUGUGAAUAUGCUUCCUCUUCUUUAAACAAUUUCCAGCUUCCUUUUUUUAUAUAAUCAAAUAUCGAGUCAAAAUUAGUCAAAGCAGCGGGGUGGGGUAUUACAAAGUAUCACUACUACAAAAAUGUAAACCAAUAACCCAUACAUUAUGACGGUUUAUUUAAAAAAUCAUCAUUAAAAAUAUUUAAUGACAGUUAUUAUAUGAACGGUCAUAAUAUAUCAUAUUUAUAAUGACGGUUCUAUUAUAAAACCGUCAUUAAAUAUCAUGCCAAAAUGUAAUUUUACUUUUAACGAUGGCUACUUGUAAAAACAGUCAUUAUAAAUUUCAAACUUUUAAUGACGAUUUUAUUAUAUAACCGUCAUUAAAUAUCAAGUUAUUAUUUUUAAUGACGGUUUAUAAAAAAACCGUCAUUAAAAGUCAUUACAUAUUAAACUAUUAUUUUUAUAACGAUUCUAUUAUAUAACCGUCAUUAAAUAUCAAGUUAUUAUUUUUAAUGACGGUUUAUAAAAAAAGGUCAUUAAAAAUCAUUACAUAUUAAGUUAAUACUUUUUAUGACGGUUCUAUUAUAUAACCGUCAUUAAAUAUAAAAUUAUUACUUUUAAUGACGGUUUUUAAACAAAACCGUUAUUAACAAUCAUUAAUGACAUUAUAUAUAUAAACUGUCAUUAACUAUAAAAUUUUAUUUUUAAUGACGGUUUUGUUUAAAAACCGUCAUUAAAAAGCUACAAUAUUUUUAAUGACGGUGUUUAAUAGGCUUGGCAAAAUCCGGAUCAUGUCCGGGUUUUGGUGUUGCCCGGGACCGGACCGGAUGAGAGAAAUGUAAGUCCGGAACCGGGUUAAAACCCGGUUUUUCCAGGUGCGGUCUGGGCUUGAGCCCGGUACCUUCCGGGUCCGGGUUUUGAUCCGGGCUUUUAAAACCCGCAUGUGAUAAAUUUAAUUUUUUUUUCAAUUUUUUUUUUCAUUUCUCUAACAAUGCAAAUUUUAAAAAAGAAAAUAAUCAAAUAAACUCAUUCAAUCUCAAACUUUAAAAAAGAAAAUAGUCAAAUACAAAUAUAUAACACAUUAACAAUGCAAAUUUUGCACAAAUGAUAAAUAAAAAUUAUUUCAAUCUACUUUCUAAUACCUAAAUUCAUCUAAUUUCUAACUUAAACUCAUUCAAUCUAUAUUAAAAUAAGUAAAUUAAAUUCAACAACACAAUAAUUACACAAUAAAUUUAAAUAACAUCCAAUAUAUCAUAAAUUCAUAAUUAUAUAUUUAUAUAUAAUAUAUUUAUUUUUUAAAAUUUAUUUAAAAAACCGGGUCCGGUCUAGGUUCCGGGUUUUUUGUGUUGAACCCGGACUCGGGACCGGAAAUGUCCGGGUUUGAGAAUUUCAAACCCGAAUUCGAUUUUUAUAUGCAUGCGGUCCAAAUUUUGCCCGAACCGAAUUGGCCGGAUCCGGGCCGGGUCCGGUCCGGGCAGGCUUUUUUGACACCCCUAGUGUUUAAUGACCGUCAUCGAAUAUAAAGAAUCGUUUUUAAUACAUUUCAUGACCGUUUUAUAAUAACCGUCGUUAUAUGUUAUUUGCCUUAAAAAAUUAAAAAAAAAAAAGCCGAUAAAAGGAAUCAAGGUAACGCGCAAUCCCUAACCACUCACAUUCCUUAUCUUCUUCUUCAAUUUUCACGAAUUACAAUCACAACGACUCACUCAGUCACACACACCAGCCCUAACCCUACCUAAGCUAUCAAACGCCAAUGACGCUGCCGCUGUCAAAUCGAUUCAAGUGCUCCGGCGCUGAGUCUAGCCGUCCUUGAGCCGAUUUGCUUCCUUUUUCUACCGCCGCUGUCAAUCUCUGCCAUUCUUGAGCCGAUUCACUUCCGCAAAACAGCUGCUGUCAUCUCUGCCGACAUUGCCUCUGUGUUCGUUCACCGUCAGAUGCAGGGUUAUUGUGGUGACACUGCCUCCGCUGUCAAGUCAGUUCAAAUUUUCUGGGUGCUAUCUUGAAAAUGUUGGUGAGAUUGUUGCCAAUGAUUUUCUAAAAUUUUGAAUUCAGGGUUAUUGUUUCACCACUGUGAGUUGCUUUCUCCAUUUUUGCAAUUCUUUCCUCUUAAUUUGCUUUGAAAUAUUUGCUCGUUGGAUUUAUUUCCUCUUCAUUUAUAAUCGAUUAGGUGAUUUUGUGAUGUGUAGCUUGUACCUUAGUCUCUUCUUUUCCUUUCAUAAUAUUAUAAAAUAUGUCGUGCACUUUGGCCUUUCGUUUCUUGAUUUUCUUGGUUAAUGAAUUUGGAAAAAGAGUGAAUUAUGGGUAAGAGGAUAGAAAAUCACAUUGACAGAAAAGAGGACUGAAACGCCCUGAUUUUUACUAAGUGGAGUUUACUUAUUUGUUAAAAAAAUAAAUUUUAAAUUAUUAAUGAUUUAAUUGUCUUAUGCUUAUUAUAUUGUUCGUAAAAUUUUUGUUACAAGUCCAGCCCAUGAACCUCUUUAUAUUUUAGCAUUUCUUUAUUUAUUUACGAAACGAAAACCAGCGUUCGGAUUCAAAAGGAACAAAACAGAAAAAGGAAGAAAGGAAACAAGAGGAUAACAGGACGUGAGAGAGGAGAAGAGGGAGAAAGAAGAGAAAGACAAGAGAGGCUAGGUGAAGGAUCUGGAUUUAAAGAAAGAGAAUUCAAUUUCAGAGCAAAAUAUUAAAUAUCUGGCUUUUUGAAUUUGUAAGCCUUCUUUCUCAGUUCACUUUAUUCUUUUAUUUUUCUUCAAAAUUCUUGUUUAAAUUGGCAUGCCUGUUGAUGUUGUUAAGUCAUUUCUAAAUUAACUUGCAUGCAUGAUUAAAAUUCUGUUUAUUUAGGUAUUAUGUCAUUGAAAUUAGUCUCUUUUCCCAUGCUUGUUUCAAGUUCCAAUUCUUAUUUGAAAAAAAAAAAAAAAUUCGCUGUUUGUGCCAUAAUCUGUUUUGGGUAUUAAAGUUGAUACUACCUAGCAAAUUCUAAACUGUAAUGGCUGAUUUCUUCUCUUAUUUUUGUUUAAUCUAUUCAAAUUCAUGUAUAAAUUUUACAGGCGUUAGAUAUUUGUCUAAUUAUCAUGUAUGUGUUAAAUUCAUUUUGGGUGAAUUUUCAUACUAUUUAAUCAAGUUCAAAGUUACAUGGGUUUGGCCAAUUAUCACAUAAUCUCUUCUUUGACUAAUUGAUUAGAUUUUUGUUCAUGCGUGGCUUAAUUAAUUUCAAAAUCUUCUUACUUAUAAAGCAUUAAUAUCUUUUGCAAUUAAAUUCUCUAAAUUUUCCUGGCUGCUGUAUGAACAACUCUAGUUUUUUUUCCUUAAAUAAAUUUGUUUGAAUUCUAAUUAAUACUUUAAUUUAAUGGAUUAUAAUUUAAAUCUUGCAGCAGAUUAUAAUUUAUGGUGCUAAUGGUAUUUUUUUUAUUUAAUCCAUUGUUUUGUUCUUCAGGCUAUUGAUCCUAGGACUUGCAUGGUUUUAUUCAAAAUGCUAAAUUGGGUUGUAUUCCAGUGGCUGUAUUUUGACGGGAAAAGAAGUAUGUAGUGCUACUCUUCUUUUUUAUUUUUUUGAUUUUAUUGUCAUUAUUAUGUAGCUUAACGGCAACCCAAUUCUCUCCCUACCCUUGUGAGUGUGGUCAAACCCCAAACAAAUGAAGAAGUUUUCUGGUUUUAUGUCUUAAAUAGAGUGCCUGUAAAUAUAAAAUCGAGAUUGAGCUAAUGAGUGAAAAUGGUGAUACUUGGAUUUUUUGAGGCUCUGCUUUUUUUUCUUUACUUUAAAAGCUAAUUUGUUUAGCUUUACCUUUGAUUUGAAUUUUUUGUUUCUGUUCUUUGCAGCCAACCAAUGAAGAUGGUGAUAAUCGGGCUCCAAUAAAUAUUGAUUUAAUAGGAACCACAUUGGUAAGCCUAGUUGCAAGACAAGAACUACUUUGCAAAGCAUGCUAUGUGUAUAAUUCUGAGCAUUAAGGAUUCAGUUUCUGAAGGGCAAGCUUGCUGGCUGGGUAUAAAUGUUCCAAGUGCCAAUCCCACCUUAUGUAAGCACAAAAUAUAGUCUCCAUUUCCUUUUUGGAUUAUAUUUGUUUGUAUAGUUAUAUGAUACUGGAUUUUAAUUUAAGAAUUUGUGCAGUACAUUUUUUUACUGUUAGGAGUUAGUUUGAUCAAGGUUAUUUAAGUACUAAACUGUUAUAAUUGAGCUUGCAUGCAUUUAAAUUUUUUUAUAUGUAAAUGACAAUUAUAUCAAUGUGUAAUGUAAAUUGAAAUUUGCCAAUGUGGCUUCAAUUGGACAGUUUAGAAUGUGAAAACAACUAUCUAAAUUUUAAUUUAAAAAAACAAUUGAAGUAUAGUAAUUUUAAAUUGUUAUCUUUUUUUAUUUUUACUCGUGCAAAAGAUGACGGUUCUUAUAUAAGAACAAUCAUCAAAGAACGAUAUAAGAUGACUGUUAUGAUACAAAACCGUCAUUAAAAUUUGAUAUUUAAUGACGGUUAUUAAAAAACUUUCAUUGAAAAUAUAUAUGUAAUGACGAUUAUUAAAAAAAUCUGUCAUUAAAAAUAUAUAUUUAAUGACGGUUAUUAAAAGCCCGUCAUUAAAAGUAUAUAUUUAAUGACAGUUGUUGGCAAAAAACCGUCAUUAAAACUUAUGUACCUAUAGCAUAUAAUGACGGUUUAUUACAAUAACUGUCAUAAUAAGUAGACAUUUAAUGACGGUUUUUAAACCGUCAUAAAAAAUGUACCCCUUUAAAUGUUGCUGCCUAAGAUGACGGUUUUAAAACUGUCAUCUUAUGUCUUUUAAAAUUGUCAUUAAAGGCCAAUUUUGUAGUCCUGUAUGAUCUUGAAAAAAGAACACGUACAUACUGAUAUUGCCAUAGAUAAGCUUAAAGGUCUUAUUUCUUUCUUUGAAAGCCAUAGAAAAGAUGGAUUCAUGUUUGCUGUGAUUUCAGCAAGAGAACUUGCAAGUGAAAUGGAAAUAGAAUCUAAAUUUCAUGAAAAAAAGUAUAAUUUGUAGAAAAAGAAACAAAUUUAAUGAAAAUGUUAGUGAAGAGGAAAUGUUGUCUGUUGAAGAGUCCUUUAGAAUUAAUUAUUUUAUUUAUAUAGUAGAUCAAGUUAUUUCUACAAUAAGACUAUAUGUGAAUAAUUUCAAAUAUAUGAUAAUAUGGUUGGAUUUUUGUUUAAUUUCAAAAAAUUACAAUCGUUAAAUGACUACGUUUUAAAUAUUUAUUCUGUUAAUCUCGAAAAUACUUUAAAACAUGCUACACUUUCUGAUAUAGAUGGUGCAUAUUUAUUUUAAGAGUUGAGAUUUUAAAUGAAGUAUUUCAAGGUAAAAAAAAUACUAAUUAAUUAUUUGAAAACAAAUUGAUUUUUUCUCAAAUGCAUAUAUUGCAUAUAGAAUAUUAUUAAUAGUACUACUAACAGUUGUUUCUGUAGAAAGAAGUUUUUAAAAUUAAAAUUUAUAAAAACAUAUUUAGAAUUAACAAUCUCGCAAGAGAGAACAAAUGAAUUAGCUAUAUUGAUUAUUGAGAGAAAUAUAUUCAUGAAAUUAGAACAUAAAAAUUUAAUUAAUAAUUUUGCAUUUCAGAAAGCUAGAAUAAAUUGAUCUUAAAUAAAUAAAAAUUUUAGUACAAUUCACCUACGACUUUAAAAAUUGGUUGAGUGGUUCUUGCCUACAAGACUUGCGAUGAUAAAGACACUAAAAUGUACAUUGUUAGACACAUGUAUUUCUUUCUUUUUUUUUUAAUUUUUCAUCAGACUUAUCAAAUUGUAAUUUGAUGGUUAAUAAUUUUUUUCAUAUUGUGUCAAAAAAAAAAAAAAAUAGAGAGGCUCCUCGAACAAGCCUCGCACCACUAGUCUAAGUUUGUAUGCGCAUGUGCUUAUGUACUGCACACUGAUAUACUAUGUUAUCACUGUGUCAGAAAGGAAAGGCUCUGACUCCUCGACAUGCCCUAUACCAACCAGUCUAAAUUUUCAUAUGCAUGUGGCUCAUGUGCUACACUUUAGUGUAAUGCAGUAAAAUCAAGAAGAAAAAAAGUGAAAUAUGUUGUGUCUUUUCCGUGAGAAAUUCUAAAAUGCAUAAGAGAUAAAGAUUUUGCUAAGUUACUGCUGCUGUAACUUUCAAUUCCUUUAAUAAUCAUAUGGGUCCUACCACCUAUGACAACUAUUUACAUUAUUUUGAAAGGUUGUAAGUUACAGUAGUUGUAACUUAGUAGCACCCAAGACAUAAUAUAAUCAAUUAAUACAUAUAUGACAUAUGUAUUUAAAUUUUGUAUAACCACUAAUUACUUGUCGGUUCUUCAAAAUAAAUAUACUUAAUUAUUUACUUAUUGCAUAGAUGAUAUGGUACUUUAGAGGUAUUCUAAAAUAUCUCUUAUGCCCUUCUGUUCAUUUUCAACUACUAGUCAAUGAAGUGGCAUUUUACAUGUUGAUAUGGUGCCUCGCAAAAACUCUUCUGUUUCGAGAUUGAUGAUCCCAUGGAAAUGGUACAAGUAUCUCUUCUAAUGGUAUUUUACAGGUUGUUGAUGAAAAGUUGCAUGUGUUUUAGAAGACUAAUGGUAUUUGCAUUUUACUUGCACAUUCUAGUAAAAUCAGCUAUACAUGGAUUCUCUUUGGAUGAAUUUGGAUGAAAGCUCGUUUAAUUCCUCUAUUUUUAGGUUAGUAUCUUUUUAGUCACUAUAUAUUUAGAAAUACCUCAAAACAUCUCUAUUGUUAAAUUAUUGACACUCCUGCCGUUACUUUUUGUUCUUUUUAGCUUGCUUUUACAUAUUACUCUCUCGCAAUAAUGUUUAUUUUUUGGACAUUAAUAAAAAUAAAUAAAUUAUCAAUUUAAUCCCAAAAUAUUAAUGUAGAACAUUCUGCUGAGAAGUUAAUAUAUUUAUGUUUUUAUUAAUGUCCAAAAAAGUUUGUAAUUUAAUUUAUUUUACAAUAUUACUUUUUUUUACAUAUGUGAGCUUUUAGAAAAAUUAGUGUAUAUAUGUGUGUGUGUGUGUGUCAUUUUUAGGUUUAAAUUGAUAAUUUAUUUAUUUUUUAUUAAUGUCCAAAGAAAUUAUUGUAAAAGGGUAAUAUUAUAGAAGUUAAAAAGAAUAAAAAAUAAAAAGGCAGAUGUGUCAAUAGUUUAACUGGUAGUGUCGUUGAGGUGCACUAAAUUUAAAACCUUACCACUAAUAUAAAUAAUUAGUACAGAGCGAGUAAGGAUCGAUCCCACAGAGACUAUGCUAGUUGUAUUUAUUAUCAACUCUAAAGCAAGAUUUAAAAUAAAAUAAUAGUAGUAAUAAUAAUAGUAAUAAUAAUAUAAAUUAAUCUAACUAAAGAAAAUGCCAAUUAUAAAUAAAAGGGGGGAUUUAUGAAUUUUUAACUAAAUAGUAAGAAAUAAAAAAAACUAAAAUUACGAACAAAAAUUUAAUAAAAACUCUAAUUAAAGGAGAAAGAAAUAAUAAUGAUAAAAACUUUAGUUAAAGGAUCAUUCGCCACCACCAAACAUGCACAUAAUAUAUCAAUUCAAUCAUCAAUUUAUAUUGAAACUAUCAAUCGUAAACAACAAUAAGCUCUGUUAGUCUCAAUAUUUCCUUAGUGUGUCGUUAGGCAAAACAAGCUCUUCACCUAAUCUCUAACUAUUAAAUAAUUUAAAACAAGCUCUUUAAAUUUAAGUUAAUGGAAGCAUUAAACAAAGAAAGAUAUUAGGUUGAUCUAAACAAUAAACACACAAGCUCGGAUUAUUUAACCUAGGUUAUGUUCUCCAAUUGAAAUCACUGAUUCCAACCUGCUACUAAUGAUUAAAAUAUCAAGACAAUUACGGAUCAAGAAUUUUAAUCUAGCAAUAGAAUUUAUUCAAGUUCUAUCUAAUUGGCCACUCAAACAAGACAAGAAUAAACCAUGAACAUUAAUUAUAGAAGAACAUAAACAAUCUAAAUUAAAUAAAUUGAAUGAUAGAAAUUAAAAAUUAAUCAUGUGACAUAUUCGGGGUUUUGAAUUCACCCUCAACCAAAUAAAAAUCUAGCCUAACACAAUUGAAUUGAGAAUAAGAUAAUUGACAAAACCAAUCAUGGAGAUUAAUUCAAGCGACUGCCUUUGCUUUAAUUUAAUUCCGACUGCUGAUUUUUUUCUUCUCCUUGCGGCUGCUGAUUUUCCUCUGCCCGAAUUGCGUCUGCCCUCUUCUCUCUCGCUCUCUGGCAGCUCUCCUUUUAUAAUGCUAGUCGACCAAAUUCUUCUCCAACAAUUCUAAAGAAAUCCUUUUUCAAUUCUAAUUGAAAUCCUUUUCCAAUUUAACGCCACCAAAAGCCAUUAAUUCCAUCUUUUGAAAGUCAAUUGCGGGCCCAUUUAAAUUGCUUUCCACUUUUGCAAUGCCAUGCACGUGCACUCCAAUUGCCAAUUGGAAAAAUUAAAUCUUUUAAUUAUUCAACAUUUCUCAAUUGGAUUAAUUGCUUUGAUUUCUUCCACUCGGUUCUAUCAAUUCUUGACUAUAUUUUUGUCUUCCAAUUUAAUCUUUAUUCCUUUUCAAUUUGAAUUUCUUCAUGCCUUUUUUAUCCACAAUCUCCAAUUAAUUCCCUAUUCAAUAAAAUCAACUAAAAGAACUAGAAUAUUUAAGAUCAAAACAAGAAAAAGAUGGAGAAAUUAAUAACAAAAUAUAUGGAAAAUAUGCACUUAUCAUUAAUUGCAUGGAGUUUUGAUGUAUUCUUAAAAAUAUAAGUUACUAACCUCAAAAUAUAGGGAUUAAAAGAGUUUUUACGUAUUCUUUUCAAUACACUCUGACUUGUAUUCUGUAUGUUUCUGUUCACUGUAGGACCAUUAUAAAGAAAUAUCAACAUCGUUGAUUAUUCUAAACACAUGGAUUGGCAGGUUAGAAUUCCCUCAUGAAAAAUAUGACUACUUUUUGCGUUCUGGUUUGGGUUCAUGGUUCCUUUUCUUCAUUCUUAAUUUUUAUGACUUCCACAAUAAAUUUCGCUAGUUGAAAUAAUAUUAAAUUGUACAACAUACACACACACACACAUAUGUAUAUUGCUUAUUACUUCGGAGUACUUAGGAUAUUUUCUUGUAUGGGUUGAUCUUAACAUAAUUCUAAAGUGUUUUUAGUUACUGCAAGAAAUUGAACGAAUUAAACUAAAAAAAUAAAAGAAAUAAAUAUUAUGUAGUUUUCAUUUUGAGAUAUAUUAUAAUGAAAGGAUCAUCUACUUGUGUUAGCUUUGUUUAGUUUUAAAAAUCUCAUGUCACUUAAAGUCAUGUAUAUUAUUAGCCAUUUAUACUUUCUCUUGUUUUUAUAUUCAUAAUAAUCCUCCAAAUGCACAUUAUUGUAUUUGUCAACAUGCUUCAAGAAAAUAAGGUCAAGGCAACAUGAUUAUAACAAUGUGUUAGAGUGUUCUAUUUGCAACAUGAUUAUAACAACGUGCUAGAGUGUUCUAUUUAUUUAAUGUCAAGAAAAGUAGCUGCUAAAUUCUAGAAGCAGCCCAUUUUGGACAAAGAAAAAUCAAAGAGGGCUGCAGCAUCUUUGAAGAAGUAAAAUUGGCGGCACACGGUUUUGACGUUGAAGAAGCCAAAAUGUAAGAAAAAUGGUGGUGUUGUAGCAAAUUUUGACAAGAAAAAUAAAUAAAAUAAUAGCCAAUUUUGGCUAUAAAAAGAGAGCUCCCCAUUUGGUUUUGGCAUCUAAUUUCUUUAUCUCAUUUUCUUCUUCCUUAUAGAGAGCUAAGAAUUGAGAGUAUAGAGUUUUAAUAACUCUUGUGUUAGUAGUGAUUUGAGAGUUUGAGUUUAUUGGUGUUUGGGUAGUGAGUUAAAAUAUUACAAUACUUGUAAUUGCUUUUCACUAGUAAAAUAUUUUCCUUCUAUUUUCGCCCGUGGACGUGGGCUAAAACUGAACCACAUAAAUUUUUGUGUCCUCUGUGCGUGUUUGUUCUUCAUUUUCCUCCAAUUUCAUUUUAGUUGUGCCCCUGCUUCAACCAUAGAUUUUCUAACACUAAUAUCAAAGCUACUGGUUGUAUUUUUAGAGUCGCGGUAUUAUUUCACAUAUAUAGUAUUCUCGUGAAAUGGUGGGAGCCAAUCCUAACUAAAGUAGUUCAUUGUAAAAAGUGAUGACGGUAAAAUACGAAAUUAAGAAGUUCAGCGAAAAUAAUUUCUCGUUGUAGAAAAUGAAGAUGAAGGUUGUAUUGAGGAAAACUAAUUACUUGGUAGCAAUUAGAGAAAGACCCACGAAUAUAACUGAUGACAAGUGGAAUGAGAUGGACGGCAAUGUAAUUGCUUAUCUACACCUGGCACUUGCAGAUGGGAUGUUAUCUAGUAUGGCAGAGAAAAAGAUAGCUAAGGAAAGAUGGGAUACUCUUACAAAAUUGUACGAGGUCAAGUCACUGCACAACAUGAUCUUCUUAAAGUAGAGAUUUUAUCCUCUUCGAGUAGCGGAAUCUACAUCGGUGACCAACCAUAUCAACACAUUGAAGACUCUAUUUUCACAUAUCAACUCAUCAUUAAUCUGACAAACAACAACCAAGCAGACAGUCUAGCUUUCGAUGAUGUUGCAGCCUCCAUAUUAAAUGAAAGCAGGCGGAAAAAUAAGGAAGAUAGGCAAGCAAGUUCGCAACAAGCAGAAGUACUAUCGGUGACAAGAGAGAGACCAACGGAACGUGGUCCCAAUGGGAGUUACAAUCAUGGUAGAUCAAAAUCAAGAAGUAAGAAUAAUGUCAAAUGCUACAAUUGUGGUAAGAAAGGGCAUGUCAAAAAAGAUUAUUGGAACAACCAGAAGAGACGAGAGGGUAUAGUUCUUGUAUCAUCAAAUGCUCAGGGAUGUGUAGUAAGUACCUUAAAUGAUGGCGAAAUUCUCUACAGCAAGGCAACAACUAUUUCAAAAGACAGAAAACAACUAUAUAAUGUCUGGCUUAUAGAAUUGGGAGCUACCUAACAUAUGAACUCUUGGAGAGAGUUGUUCCACUGUUAAAAUAAAAAUGUUUGAUGGUACAGUUCGCGCAAUUAAGGAUGUACGACACGUCAAUGGCCUAAAUCAAAAUCUAUUAUCCUUAGUACAAAUAGAUAGUCAUGGGUACAAAACUCAUGUGGAAAAUAUGAUCAUGAAGAUAGUUAAGGGCGCACUUGUAUUAAUGAAGGCAGAAAUGAUUGGUGCUAAUCUAUUCAUGCUUAAAGGAAAAACACUACAGAAAGUUGAUGCGUGUGUCGCAUCAAAUGGAGAAGAGUGACGAUGAUGUGACAUUUCAAGCCUAGCCAAAUGUCAGAAUAAGGUUUGAAGAUUUUCUCUGAGCAAAAAUUGCUUCCAGGUCUCAAAUUGGUAAACUUACCAUUUUGCGAGCAUUGUGUUAGAAAUAAGCAGCAUAAAUUGAAGUUAAGCAGAUCUGUUGCUAGAAGUAAAUGCAUUCUAGACUUGGUUCAUUAUGAUAUUUAGGAAUCACCAGAUAUGUCCAUGGGAGGUGCAAAGUACUUGUUGACUUUUAUUGAUGAUUAUUUCAAGAGAUGUUGGGUGUAUGUAAUCAAGAAAACAUCAGAUGUGUUUCUGGUAUUCAAAUGGUACAAAGCGCUGGUAGAACUUGAAUUCAAAAAGAGGAUAAAGUGCUUGAUGACAAAUAACGGUGGAGCGUAUACAAAUGACAAGUUUAUUGCAUAAAAUAAGCAAAAAGAUUUUCAGAAGCAGUUCACAGUGGCAUACACUUCCCAACAUAAUAGAGUGGCAGAGCGGAUGAACAAACUUUUAUAGAAAUAAUAAGAGAUAUGUUGAGGACUGUUGGUCUACCCAUCUUAUUUUGGGCAGAAGCAGCCAAAACUGUUUGUUAUAUAGUAAAUUGGUCGACAUCCACAGCAAUUAGGUUAAAGACAUUGAUGGAGAUGUGGACAAGAAAGCUAGUUGAUUACUCUCACCUACAUAUAUUUGAAUGUCCUGUGUACAUGAUGUACAAUGCCCAAGAAAAAAUAAAGUUGGAUCUAAAAUUUAUAUGGUGUAUCUUCUUGGGGUAUGCUGAUGGAGUAAAUUGUAUUAUCUGUAGGACCCCACUGCCCACAAGAUAGUCAUCAGCAGAGAUGUUAUCUUUAUAGAUGAUCAACUACAAAGAGAGAUAAGGAUGAUAGCACUGUAAAAGAAAAGUCAAAGACUGUGCUGGUAUAUGUUGAAAAUAAUCUGGAAAAAAAGAUUCAGAUUCUUCUGAAGCAACACCAAAGCACGAUGAACAAUAACCAGUUGAGUCCGAGGCUCGAGAAGUUCGUUAGUUAACUCGUGAGAGACGAUCGCCAAUGUGGCACUCAAAUUAUGUCACAAAGAUCAAUGUUGCAUGCCGUCUUCUGAUAGAGGAUAGAGAACCAUAAACUUUCUAUGAAACUUUAAGUAACUCAGAUUUUGCUUUGUGGAUGACAGUAAUGGAGGAAGAAAUUGAGGCUCUACACAAGAAUAAAACAUGGCAACUUGUACUACUACCAUUUGGAAGAAAAACCAUUGGAAAUAAAUGGGUCUACAAGGUCAAGCGUGAUGACAAUGAAUAAAUGGAGCGGUAUUGUAAAAGAUUGGUCGUAAAAGAAAAUGCUCAUAAAGAAGGAAUUGACUUCAACGAGAUAUUUUCUCCGGUGGUUCAACUCACAACAGUCAGAUUAAUCUUGGUGAUGUGUGCUACAUUUGACCUAUAUCUAAAGCAGUUAGAUGUGAAAACUGCAUUUCUUCAUGGAGAACUUGAAAAAGAAAUUUAUAUGCUCCAACCCGAAGGUUUUGCUGAAAAGGGCGGAGAGAACUUGGUUUUCAGGUUGAAAAUUUUUCUAUACGGUCUCAAACAAGUGCCAAGGUGUUGGUAUAAGAGAUUUAAUUCCUUUAUCAUGAGCUUGGAUACAACAGACUUAGUUCAAACCAUUGUGCAUAUUACAAGAGGUUUGAAGAUAAUGAUUUCAUCAUUUUGCUAUUGUACGUAGAUGACAUGUUGGUAACAGGCCCCAACAAAGAUCAAGUCUAAGAAUUAAAAGCACAGUUGGCUAGGGAGUUUGAAAUGAAGGACCAGCAAAUAAGAUUCUAGAGAUGCAAAUUUACCGAGACAGAAAUAAUAAGAAGAUUUGGCUUUCUCAGAAGAAUUACUUGAGAAAAUCUUGUGGCACUUCAACAUACAAGAUUGUAAGCCAAUUUAUACCCCACUUCCUAUUACUUUCAAGUUAUCCUCAAAUAUAUGUCCAAGCAAUGAAGCAGAGAGUAAGGAAAUGUCUCGAGUACCAUAUGCAUCAGCAAUGGAAAGUUUAAUGUUCGCUAUGAUAUGUACAAGAAUGGACAUUGCACAAGCAAUAAAAGUAGUUAGUCGACACAUGGAGAAUGCUAGUGGAGAACAUUGGAAAAUUAUGAAGAGGAUUUUGAGAUAUAUCAGAGGAACCUCAGAUGUUGCAUUAUGUUACGGAGGAUCAGAGUUUAUUGUCAGGGGCUAAAUGAAUUCAGAUUUUACAAAAGACCUUGAUAAAAGGAAAUCCACUACUGGCUAUGUGUUUACACUUGCAGAAGGAGCUAUAAGUUGGGUUUCAAAACUACAGACCGUUGCGGUUUUAUCUACAACAGAAGUAGAAUACAUGGCAGCUACACAAGCUUGCAAGGAAACUAUUUGGAUACAAAGAUUAUUGGAGGAGCUCGGACACAAAUAAGAAAUUUUUUUUGUAUUUUGUGACAGUUAGAGUGCCUUGCAAAUUGCAAGAAAUCCAGCCUUUCAUUUCAGGACAAAGCACAAGGGGUACAAUACCACUUUGUUCGAUAAGUAGUGGAAGACGAAAGUGUGGAUUUGCAGAAAAUUCAUACUAAAGAGAACCUAGCAGAUGUUUUACCAAGCCAAUCAAUGUUGACAAGUUUGUAUGGAGUAGAUUCGCUUGUGACCUAGCAGAGACAUAAGCAAUAUGACAAUCGAAGUGGGAGAAUGUCAAGAAAAUUAGCUGCCAAAUUUUAGAAGCAGCUCAUUUUGAACAAAGAAAAAUCAAAGAGGGCUGCAACAUCUUUGAAGAAGUACAAUUGGUGGCACGCGACUUUGACAUUGAAGAAGCUGAAAUGUAAGAAAAAUGGUAGUGCUGCAGAAAAUUUUGAGAAGAAAAAUAAACAAAUCUUGUGUUAUUAGUGAUUUGAGAGUUUGGGGGUAUUGAGGUUUUGGGUAGUGAGUUAAAAUACCACAAUACUUGUAAUUUAUUUUCACUAGUAAAAUAUUUUUCUUCUGUCUUCGUCCAUCGAUGUAGGCUAAAAACCGAACCAUGUAAUUUUUUGUGUCCUCUAUGUGUGGUUGCUCUUUAUUUUAUUCCAAUUCAUUUUAGCUGUAGUCCUGCUUCAGCCAUCGAUUUUCUAACAUUUCAUUCAUUCAAUCUGUAAAAAUCAUUUCCAUAAAAAUCUAAUCCAUGGAUUGAUGGAUUUGAUUAGAUUAAAUUUUUUUUAAAAUCCACAUUCAAUGAAUUAGAAAUAGAUUUGCUUCUACAAAUUUAUAAAAAUCAGCAAAUUAUAUAUAUAUAUAAAAUUUAAAAAUGUUAUACUAUUAAUAAAUAAAUAGGUUAAAAUUUAGUUAGGGUGGACAUUGACAACAAUUAAUUAUGUAAGCUUUCAAUUUUCAACUUUUUUAUUGAUUUAAUUUUAAAAUUUAAGUUAGUUUUCAUUCAUUGAUCUAAAACAUCAAGAUUUUUUCUUUUGGUGGGCUAAAGUUCGAAACUUUGAAUGGCAUCCUUAAAAAACAAAUGGUUUUUCAGAAGUGGUCGUGACGUGUCAUCACGUCCCAUCUAUCCUACACGGAAGUUGAAACCAAUUACUCCAGCGUUUUCAUAAUUUUUUUAAAGAAAGAAUAGGGAGUAAAGAUGAAAUGGUAUAUGGCUUCAAAAUUAUGCUUCUUUAGGAACGUACGUUGAUUGAUUUAACAGAUGUUGGGUGAUAUAUCGCGUUCCUAAACAAGUACUUAAACUAUUGAUUUAUUUAAUCUUUUUAAAUUUGAAUUUGAUUGGUAAUAAAAUUAUUUUUGUAUUAAAAUAUUUAUUUAAUUAUUUUAUAAAUAGAUAGAAAGAAAUUUUUUUUAAUUGAUAUCGAAUUCACAAAAGUGCAAUGGGAUAUAAAUUAUGUCAAAUCCACAUUAAAUUCUUAGAGUUAUGAAUUAAAUUUGGAUUAAUUUCAUUAAUUCAUGAAUUGGGUGAGAUUGAAAAUUUAUAACGAUUUUACACCUAUUGUCAUUUAUUAGAAUUUUUUCACAACGCGCUUUUGUAGGACGUUGUGAAAUUGAAAGCCCAUUGAAGAGUUUAUAACAACAUUCUUUCGUUUGUUGUCAAAUAUUAAAAUUAUUUUACAACACACUUUCACCAACCGUUGUUAAAUGGAAGUUUUCUGAAAUUUGUACAAAUUAUCACAAUCUACCGAUACAUUAAAAUUCAUUAUCUAUUUAGACAGUAGAUACAUACAUUUGUACUAUAUAGCCCGGAAAUCUGCUCCCACUAACUUUUGAGUUGACAUCUACCUGCCCAGUCUACUUUUUGUUGAUAAUCAUUUUGUAAUUUAUUAAUUUGUUUUCCGCAAAAGUACUUUAUAACUGUAACAAAUAGAAUUUCGAUGUUAGUCCUCAACAUUAAGAUAUUGUUUGCAACUUUGUAUGCCUUUUUUUCCUUAAACUUAGUUUGUAUAUUCUUAUUUCUCCAUAAAACAAGAUUUUAAUGUAAUAAAUAGAACUUUUAUUAGUAGAAUUGAAUUUAUGAAUUUCUUGUUAUUUCUGCGUGCAUUUAUUGUGUAGUUUAUAGAAAGACUCUUUAAAAAAUUUGUAUGCAGGAAAAAAAAAGAUAAAUAAAAAAAGAUUAUACAACAUUCAUCCGAAUGUAUGGAUGAUGUAUGUGUCUUCUGGUUCAAUAUUGACCUCGUUCGCACAGUAUGAUGUACGCCCCCCCACCCAAAAAAAAAAAGAAUAAAAUAUCUUUGUACUAUUAAGACUUAAAAAUUAAACGCUUUCAAAACUCAGAAAAAAUGAGUAAGAAAAAUCAAUCACAUGAGCUUCUUCUCUGCCUAUAUAUAUAUAUAUAUAACCUCGUACAUCACCACAAACCAUAGAUUAAUUUGAGAAUCCUUGCCAAGUAUAACUGUAAGCUAGCUUACACUACAUCUAUAUAUCCAAUGUCUUCUUGCAUUAAUCCCUCAACCUUGGCUACCUCUGUAAAUGGUUUCAAAUGUCUUCCUCUUGCAACAAAUAGAGCAGCCAUCAGAAUCAUGGCAAAAAAUAAGCCAGUCCAAUGCCUUGUCAGCGCCAAAUAUGAUAAUUUGACAGUUGAUAGGAGAUCAGCAAACUACCAACCUUCAAUUUGGGACCAUGAUUUUUUGCAGUCACUGAAUAGCAACUAUACGGUAUUGAUUAUUAUUAUUAUUAUUACGUAUAAAUUUCCUUUGUUCAUUUCAAAUUAGGACCAUGAAUAACUAAAAACUAUAUGCUGUGCAUGUACAGGAUGAAACAUACAAAAGACGAGCAGAAGAGCUGAAGGGAAAAGUGAAGACAGCGAUUAAGGAUGUAACCGAGCCUCUGGAUCAGUUGGAGCUGAUUGAUAAUUUGCAAAGACUUGGAUUGGCUUAUCAUUUUGAGCCUGAGAUUCGGAACAUAUUGCGUAAUAUCCACAACCAUAAUAAAGAUUAUAAUUGGAGAAAAGAAAAUCUGUAUGCAACCUCCCUUGAAUUCAGACUACUUAGACAACAUGGCUAUCCUGUUUCUCAAGGUACCUUUCAUUAGUUCGCUUACUUUGUCAUGCACAUGCAAGAUCCGAAUAUUUGAAUCGAUCUCUCUGUUUAUCUUAUUCAUUCCUUUUAAAUGUAAAAAAGUGGACAAAACCCAAAUCAAUUUUUUAACUCUCUAUCUCCUGAGAAAUUCGAACUCGACAAGGCCGCUGGGGACACUUAAAUCAUUCUCUAAUUAACAUAUAUGUGCAAAAGUUUUGAUGAAUAUAAUUUUUUUUUUUCGGUUGAGCACUGCAGAGGUUUUCAGUGGUUUUAAAGACGACAAGGGAGGCUUCAUUUGUGAUGAUUUCAAGGGAAUACUGAGCUUGCAUGAAGCCUCGUAUUACAGCUUAGAAGGAGAAAGCAUCAUGGAGGAGGCCUGGCAAUUCACCAGUAAGCAUCUUAAAGAAAUGAUGAUCAUCAGCAACAGCAAGGAAGAGGAUGUAUUUGUAGCAGAACAAGCGAAGCGUGCGCUGGAGCUCCCUCUGCAUUGGAAAGUGCCUAUGUUAGAGGCAAGGUGGUUCAUACACGUUUAUGAGAAAAGAGAGGACAAGAACCACCUUUUACUUGAGCUCGCUAAGUUGGAGUUUAACACUUUGCAGGCAAUUUACCAGGAAGAACUUAAAGACAUUUCAGGGUAUCUAUGCCUUGAUUGCAUAACUCAUAUAUAUUCCAAAGAUUUGAUUUUAUCGAAUAGAUAACUUGUACUAUUUAAUCAUAUGUAUAUUAAAUUAUUCUCAAGUGCAGACUCCGCCUUUUACAACAGUAUAAAGGCGCCAGCCUACACUUUAUAUAAUUGUAUAUUAAAUUAUGCCAAACGUUUGCAUUAAAGAAUCUCGAACUAGAAGAUGACUCUAUAUGUAAAUGCAUUGUAAAGCCACAAGUCAUGUGCUUUAUAAAAUGAGAAUGCUUGUAUCAGAGAAAUAUUCUUCAGAAUUCCAGACAGAAAGCUGAUUCUAUAUAUACAGAUAUAUAAAACAUUUGUCGUAAUAUUCGUUUUAAUUUUCCUAUGAAGGUGGUGGAAGGAUACAGCCCUUGGAGAGAAAUUGAGCUUUGCGAGGAACAGGUUGGUAGCGUCCUUCUUAUGGAGCAUGGGGAUCGCGUUUGAGCCUCAAUUCGCCUACUGCAGGAGAGUGCUCACAAUCUCGAUAGCCCUAAUUACAGUGAUUGAUGACAUUUAUGAUGUCUAUGGAACAUUGGAUGAACUUGAGCUAUUCACUGAUGCUGUUGAGAGGUUUGUUGGCAAAUUAAUAAUUCAACUGCUACCUAGCUGCAUGGUACUUCUCAAUUUAUUAAUAGACCGUUUAUGUGAUUUUUUUUUUUCCUUGCAGGUGGGACAUCAAUUAUGGUUUGAAGCACCUUCCGGGCUAUAUGAAAAUGUGUUUUCUUGCGCUUUACAACUUUGUUAAUGAAUUUGCUUAUUACGUUCUCAAACAACAGGAUUUUGAUAUGCUUCUGAGCAUUAAAAAUGCAGUACGUGAAAUAUUAAUUUGAUCUCUCUCCCUGUUCCUUUCCUUUGAUUUAUCCUUUUUAAAUUACGAUGUUCUUUUUUUCUCAAAAAUUAUAAACCGUAACUAGAUGUAUAUUUUCUGUGCCAUGUGCAUCAGUGGCUUGGCUUAAUACAAGCCUACUUAGUGGAGGCGAAAUGGUACCAUAGCAAGUACACACCGAAACUGGAAGAAUACUUGGAAAAUGGAUUGGUAUCAAUAACGGGCCCUUUAAUUAUAACGAUUUCAUAUCUUUCUGGUACAAAUCCAAUCAUUAAGAAGGAACUGGAAUUUCUAGAAAGUAAUCCAGAUAUAGUUCACUGGUCAUCCAAGAUUUUCCGUCUGCAAGAUGAUUUGGGAACUUCAUCGGUAUGUCUUUUUUUUUUUUUUUUAAGACGACAGAAAUUGAAUUAAUCCUCUAUAUAUGAAUUGAUUGUAUUUUUUUCCCCGAUAAUCAUCAGGACGAGAUACAGAGAGGGGAUGUUCCAAAAUCAAUCCAGUGUUACAUGCAUGAAACUGGUGCCUCGGAGGAAGUUGCUCGUGAACACAUCAAGGAUAUGAUGAGACAGAUGUGGAAGAAGGUGAAUGCAUACACAGCCGAUAAAGACUCUCCCUUGACUCGAACAACUACUGAGUUCCUCUUGAAUCUUGUGAGAAUGUCCCAUUUUAUGUAUCUACAUGGCGAUGGGCAUGGUGUUCAAAACCAAGAGACUAUCGAUGUCGGUUUUACAUUGCUUUUUCAGCCCAUUCCCUUGGAGGACAAAGACAUGGCUUUCACAGCAUCUCCUGGCACCAAAGGCUGAUGAUGAAUUAUAAUGCACGAUGCGUUGCGAAUUCCCAGAGAGUGCAGUUUCAGUUGAUGUUGGCCUCCGCUUUUCUUUCUUCUGAGGGAUCUCUUUUCGAUAAUAAAAUAAAUUCCCUCAUUCAUCAAGGUUUAUAAAUGAAAAAGAAAUGAUAUAUACAUAUAUGUUACUUUUAUUGAGAAUAAAAGUCUUCAGGAUAUGCAAAUACUUAAGUCAGGCUCAUUCUAAUUCCUACAAGAUAAUUAUUUGCUAGCUAAAACAUGAGAACGACUGAAUUUGUUCUGCAUGCAGUUAUACUUGAUUAUUCAAGGAUGGUUCAUAGCAUUUUUAGCACAAGGGAUACUUUCAGUAUCCAUGCAUACGGCAAAUCAUACUCAUGAAAAAUGGCAUUGUGCAGCUAACAGUGACAAACGCAAUCCGCAGUCUGUUAAAUGAGGAUAGAAAUAAGAGCGGUGGCAUUUAAAGAAAAAAGUUACAAGAAUCAAAAAGUAAAAAUAACCAAUUAAAAAAAAAUGAGUUCCUAAUGUGAGGAAAGAUUGAAAUGGAGAAAAACCCUAAUCCACCUAUGGCUGACGACCGUUCCACAAAGAAAGCAGAUUUAAGGCUCAAGGGGAAGAUGGUGACAAUCCUCAGCCUCCUUCCUUUCGUGAUAAACCGAUGUCAACACAAAGGGUGGAUGAAGGAGUGUUUUUUGAUAGCGGGGAAUAUUUGGCAGUUGAACCGGAAGGUGUGGUUUUUGAGUGUGCAGACAAUUUUCACUCCAUUUCUUUUUCACAGAAAAGUACAUGCUCAACUAAUGAAGCCAUGGCAAUACACGGUGGUGGUCAAGCUUUUGGGUCUUCGCAUAGGUUACCGGACGCUGUGCAACCGCUUGGAAACUAUCUGGAGCUCGACCCAAGGGUUUUCUGUAAUUGACCUUGAGAAUGAUUAUUAUAUUGUUCGUUUCAGAACAGAGAGGGAUGUGGAGUUCGCUUUGACGCAAGGCCCUUAGGCUCCGUUUGGUACAACUUAUUAAAUAGAGCUUAUAACAGUAGAGUUUAUAGCAGUAGAGCUUAUACCAAUAGAGCUUUUGGACAAAAAGUCAUUGGGUGUUUGGUUGUCAAUAAAAAAAGUACUUUUGAAUCAUUAAAUUGUGUGAUAUUUUUUAUAUUAUAUAAUUUGUGGAAAAGCUCUCUAACUUCUACUCCCAAAAUCUCAAAUUUUGGGCUUUUGCUAGUAGAGGUAAAUUAGCUUAUUUAAGCUAAAAAAACUCUACUAAAAAAAUAACCAAACACCAUAAAAAUUUUAAAAAAGUGCUUAUGCGAUUAAAUAAGCACUUAUGCCUCUUAAAUAAGCCAUACCAAAUAGGCACUUAGACUAUUCUGGGGCACUAUCUAACAGUGAAGCCAUGGACUCCCCAUUUUGAUAGUUCGGCAGCAGUGAUUGAAUAUGUUAUAGCCUGGAUCUGCUUACCAGGCAUGGCCCUACAUUACUACAAUAAGAAAAUUCUUCGAAUGUUGGGACAAAUUUUCGGGAGAGUUUUUAAAACUGAUUACAACACUGAAUCCGCAUCCAGAGACAAAUUUGGUCGUCUUGCUAUUGAAAUUGAUCCAAACAAGCCCUUAAUUUCUCAAUUUUUUCUGGAUGGCAAGCUACAAAAGGUGGAAUAUGAAGGACUCCCUAAUACUUCCUUCCUAUGUGGUAAAUAUGGCCAUAGCAAGGACAUCUGCCCUAAUCGAACGGAAGAAGAUCAUGCCUUAGGAUUCCAGCCACAUUUGGACGGAGCUAAUGAAUCUGUUGAAAUGAACUCAAACUUGGUAAACGAUUUGUCGUUUAGAGGUUUAAAAAGUCAAGUGACAUGUUGUUUCAAUUGGUCAUGGAUCCAGAACCGACAACUUCGUGCUGUCGUCCAAGAUCAUUAAACUCUCACGUGAUUAACAUAAACUUGUUUUAAAGCUUAAACGACAUGCCUUAUCGUCGUUUAAGGCAGGCUUUAAGUUGCUUGUGGUCAAGAAGUUAAGUUUGUUAGUUUUGGAGGGAAUCUUUUGGAUCUGUAACGCCAGUAGCAGCUGAUAUAUAUGUUGGUUAUGAUUUCAUCUAGAUCUAUCGAAUUGAGAGUGAUAAGGAAGCCUUAGAGAGAGUGGAACUUUUCUGAGUGUUCUCUGUAUUGGGCUUAUCAUCUAUGUAACCUUUGAAGCUUAAUAAAGUGGCUCCCUGAGUUUAUUUUCCCCGAUGAAUGUAGGCAAUGUAACAAGUGCUGAAUCACUUAAAUUGUUUUGUGUUUUUGAUUCUUUGUGUUGUUAUUCUUUGAUCUGGUGAGUGUUACGACUUGUGUUGAUUUGUUUCUUAAUCUUGGAGUCCUAACUAGAUCUAGGGGGCAAGAUCAAUUCGAUAUCAAAGGGUUUGUUUCACAACAGAAUCAUCGGUGCAGGACGUCAGGGAGGGAUAUGGGAAUUUGCCUAGGUUUGGUGGAACACCCCAAAAAUUACCCAUGAAAACACAAGGGUAAAAUUGGAAUGAAACCUCAUAUCAUUUAUUUUUAUUAAUAAAUCUCAAGAUAGACAAUCAUUAUUCAUACUCCAACUGAAUCCUUAUAUAAAACAUCUGAAAUAAAGUCUCCAAAGAAAAAUCUCUAAUCCAAAAUAAAAAGUUCAGCCAAAUUUAAUAUUUAAAGCAACUCUAAAGAUCCACUAAGAAAAAUUCUUCAUCUAAGCACCUAAGCCACAUUUCUAAUCAAAUCUGCAAAAUAUUGGAGAUGAGGAGUGAGCUGUCAACUCGGUAAGCAAAUCCAUGCACAAUAUUUGAAAACCUUUGUCAUAUAUCUUUAAACAUUUUAUAACAACAUCUUCAUUUAGCAUAAGAGGUGGAUUCAUGUAAAGUAUUAAAAACAUUAAAACAUUCAUAAAAAAGAUUAAAACAUAAAUAUUUGGUAGCUCAUGCCUCGUAGUCAUCAUCAUUCAUCAUUCAUCAUUCGUCAGUUAGGGUGUUAUACCCCGUAUUGUUCCUCAUUCAGGGUACUAUACCCCGCAUUGUUCAUAAUAUCCUUGUGCACAAGAUCAUCACCAUACCAGCAAGCUGGCCAUAACAUUACAUAACAUCAUAACAUUUGUAUUGUAUACAUUACUACGGACUAUGAGCUAAAACAUUUUUGAAUCCACCUUACAUCCUUUCAUAAAUAGCAUUUAAAGUCUUCUAAAACAUUUAAGAACCUUUCUUUGAUCAUUUAAUUCUUUUAGAAAAUUCUUUAAGAAAACAUUUUGUUUAAGAAAACUAAUUUCUUAAGAAAAAUUUAUUUUAAAACACAUUUUUAUAAAUUCAUUUAAAAGUGUUUUUAUUUUACAAAAUUCAUUUAAAUAUUUUAGAAAUCAAUUUUUCUAAAAAUCUCCAUUUAAACAUAAUUCUUAUAACAUAAAUUGCAUUUAUUAUAAAGCACAUCAUGCGUGAAUCUACUUACCUCAAUCCGCAGCAAUCAACCCAAUACCUUAAGAACAAACCAACGAGCUCACCCACGUCCUAUAAUCAUAAUAAAAAUAUCUUUAUCAAUAUAAUCUCUAACCUUAAACAUAAUCUCAAUCAUCCUUAAUUCAUAGGCACUUAUACUAGCUCAAUACUUAUUCAUAUUCUAGACAUAAGUAUGAGUAUCUUGCACAUGCUGAUUUUUAAUAACCUAUACACAUGUCGGAAAAUCAUGAAAAUUUACAGAGGCACUGUGAACAUGCAUAACAUUGCAUACAAUAUUUCACAAAGAUCAGCACAAGUCAAAAUCAAGUCAGAAUAUUGACCUUUCACCAAAGUAACAAAAUUGUCCAGCAUUGACCAAAGCAAACCUUUACCACUUAGGAAAUUCAUAAAAUAUUCUUUAGUAAUUGAAAUAAUAUGUUUCUUUUUUUCUAAUUACAGAAGACACAUUCAGAAAGCAUAUAAUUAAAAUUCAUAAUUUUUGCAUAUAAUUAAAAUUCAUAAAAUUUGGACUCCUGAAACUAUUUUAAAAUGUUUUAUUUUCCGAGAACAUUUAACCCGUCCAGAAAAUUCCAGAUUUGAAAACAGAAUUUCAAAAAUUCGUAUCUUUUAUUUUACAUGCCCAAAAAUAGUGAUUCCAGUUUUUAAAGACAGAGGAAAGAUUGAAAUUUCAUUGUAAAAUCCUAACAUGGCAUGUAAUAUUCAUAAAUUAGCCCAACUGUUACACGUCUCAGCUUCUGCAAUUCUGGAAAACAGUUUCCAGAUUUGCAGCAGCCACAUGUUACGAUUUUUAAUAAUUUAACCAUAAAGAACAAAACUACGAAAUUAAACAUGUAAGCAUAGGAGACAUAGAUCUGUUGAUACAAAAAUCGACAUAAUUUUUAAGGAUGUGUAACCUUACAGAAAAAUUUCCAGAAUUGAGAACCACUGCUGAAAAUCGGAAUUUUCCAGCACCAGUAACCCAACUUCGAAAACCCAUAACAAUUUGCAUACUCAGACGAUUUCAACACAAAACCUAUCAAUGGAAAGCUUAGGAUGUCUAGUUCCAUGAUAUUUAAGCAUAUUCACGUGAUUCUAAGUGAAGAAAACAAUUUCAAGCAAGGAAUAGAGACUGUUCAUAUCAUCACAACAUUACAAAUACACAUAUAUUAUCCAAAUCAUACUACAAGUAAUUAAAGGCAAACAAUUCAUAAAAAUAAAUCAUAUAAGUCAAAGAAAUACUUAAUACCUUAAGGCAAACACUAAGAAAAGAAGUUAUAAAACUUUCUUUUCCUGCUCCAAAGACUUAUGUUUCUUUUUUUUUUUUAAGGGUUUGUAACGGUGUAAAAAAAUAAAAGACGGCUUCUUAGCACAGGAGAUUGGAGACCGAUCAAAUUGGCUUGCAAUGGUACCCCUCUGACACAUUUGUUUUUUUGCUGAUGAGCUAUUGUUGCUUGCUGAGGCGGCAUCUGGGCAAGCCAGGGUAAUUAACACAGUCUUUGAGAAUUUUUGUAAUAGCUCUGAGGCGAAGGUUAAUAAGACCAAAACUCAAGUAUUUUUUUCAAAGAACAUUAGUGAGAAGGAGAGGAACCGUAUUGGGAAAAUGCUUGGUUUCACUAUUACUAAAGAUCUUGGCAAGUAUCUUGGCAUGCCGCUUCUUCACUCCCGGGUUUCUAAGAGUACUUACUAAGAUAUUCUUGAUAAAAUGGAACAAAGGCUCUCUGGAUGGAAUGUUUCCCACUUAUCCUUGGCUCGCCGGAUUACGAUAGCCCAAUCUAUUUUGCAAGCUCUCCCUAUUUAUGCAAUGCAGUCAACCGACCUUCCUGCCGGGAUAAAACUGAAGAUAGACCAAGCAUGCAAGCGUUUCAUAUGGAGUGGUACUGUAACUUCUCAAAAACUAAGUAUGGUAAGUUGGAAUAAUAUUUGUCAGCAUAAAAUUAAUGGCGGUUUAGGCUUCAAAAGUCUGGAUGGGAUGAAUAAGUCCUUUCUCAUGAAGGUUGGUUGGGGUAUUCUUUCAUCUCCUUCAAGUCUAUGGUCCCAGGUUUUGUCAACUAAAUAUGGGGUGGAUUUAUCUGUCCUUCCUACUGAAUUGCCGUGUAGAAAUGGCUCCCACUUGUGGUAGUCGAUUGGGAAGGUUUGGACUGACGUUCUCUCAGGUGUUGCUUGGAAUAUAGGUGAUGGCACUAAAGUCUGAUUUUGGUUUGAUCGUUGGGUGAUAAAAGAAAAACCUCUGAUUUCUGAAGCUCUUUGUCCGAUACCCAAUGACAUAAUCUACAUUGUAGUGGCUAAUUUCAUAGAUAGUAAUAGUAGUUAGUGGUGGGAGCUGUUUCAACGUUAUCUACCUAAUAACAUUAUUCUGCAGAUAGCCUCUUGUGUUCUCCCUUUAGCUCAGUGUGGAAAUGACUGCUUUUAUUGGGUGAACUCUAAAAAUGGAGAUUUUUUCGGUUAAAUCCGCCUACCAUGCCAUUAGUUCCCAACGGUAUCAAGCGGAAGACAGAAUUUGGAACUUGGUGUGGCAUUGGCAGGGGCCCCAUAAUAUGAUCGCAGUGGUGUGGGAUAUCGUGAUGAUCGUUCUAGGAGUGUCCAGCAGACUUCUUGCCCUUUAUGUGGCAGGAAUCAUUAGAGCUAGUGUCGUGUUGGAGAUAGAGUUUGUUAUUUGUGUGGUCAGUUUGGACACAUCAGGAGAUUCUGCCCUACUUUAUCUAAGGGUGAUAGCUCUGCCGGAGGGACAGCCUCACGGUAUCGGCCUUAUUCUGGCCAGACUCAGGGUCAGAAAGGAGUUCAGAUAGGAGGUUCUACAUCUACCUUUAGGAGUCAGACGACUGCUCUAGGUCAGAGAGGUUAGCCUGGUCGACCUCAUACUCAGGCUCGAGUUUUUUCUUUGACGCAGCAGGAGGCACGUGCUGCACCAGAAGUUAUUAUAGGUAUAUUAUCUAUCCUUGGCCGCGAGGCUCAAAUUCUUGUUGAUCCUGGAUCCACACACUCUUUUAUUUCUCGUACUUUUGCUAUGCACAUAGCGCGAGAGCCCGAACUGCUAGAUUGUGGUUUAGUUGUUCGUACACCUACUGGAGAGUCAUUACUUACUGAGAGUGUUUAUCGAGAUUGUAUGAUGGAAUAGGUGAACAUGAAUUUGAGGCGAGUUUGAUUUCCUUAGACAUUCAUGACUUUGAUGCUAUUUUGGGCAUGGAUUGGCUUAAAUCUCAUUAUGCUACGGUGGAUUGUUUCAAAAAGGAAGUUGUGUUUAAAGAGUCAGGGAAAACUAAAGUGAAAUUCUGUGGAGAGCGCAAAGUUCUACCUUCAUGUGUUAUAUCUUCCAUUAGUGCAAGACGAUUGUUAAGAAAAGGAUGCUCAACUUAUUCAGCUAAUGUGAUAGAUACAGAAGCUCGAGAAUUGAGAUUAGAGGAUAUUGCAGUAGUCAAAGAAUUUCCAGAUGAACUUCUUGGGAUGCCACAUAACAGGGAAGUCGAGUUUUCUAUUGAUUUAGUCCCUGGAACAUCUCCUAUAUCUAUGGCACCAUACAUGAGGGCUCUAGCAGAAUUGAAGGAACUAAAGGUUCAAUUGCAAGAGUUGGUGGAGAAAGGGUUUAUUAGACCUAGUGUGUCCCCGUGGGGAGCUCCAGUCUUGUUUGUUAAGAAAAAGGAUGGGACUUUUAUACUCUGCAUCGACUAUAGGCAAUUGAAAAAAGUUACGGUACACAAUAAGUAUCCACUUCCGCAUAUUGAUGACUUGUUUGAUCAACUCCAGGAGGCGAAGGUAUUUUCUAAGAUCAAUUUGCGCUCGGGUUACCAUCAGCUUAGAAUUAAAGAUGUCGACGUUCCUAAAACAACAUUUAAAACCCGUUAUGGGCACUAUGAGUUCUUGGUGAUGCCAUUCAGAUUGACAAAUGCUCCAGCAGCCUUUAUGGAUAUCAUGAAUAGGGUAUUUCGUCCGUACUUGGAUCGGUUUGUGAUUGUAUUCAUUGAUGAUAUCUUGGUGUAUUCCUGAAGCGAGGAGGUGUAUGCAGAGCAUUUGCGGACUAUUUUGCAGACUUUGAGAGAGAAGCAAUUAUAUGCCAAGUUCAGCAAAUGCGAGUUCUGGUUGGAUAGAGUAGUAUUUUUUGGCCAUGUGAUAUCAGCAGAAGGUAUUUAUGUUGAUUCUCAAAAGAUUGAAGUAGCUGUGAAAUGGGAACGGCCUACAAAUGUCACAGAGGUUUGGAGUUUUCUUGGAUUGGCUGGUUAUUAUCGUCGAUUUGUGGAGGGAUUCUCUAAGAUUGCUACUCCUCUGACACAGUUAACCAAAAAGAAUGCUAAGCUCCAGUGGGAUGAUAACUGUGAGAAGAGUUUUCAAGAACUUAAGACAUGUUUAACCUCAGCACCAGUUCUUACACUUUCAUCUGGUAAUGAAGGAUUUGUGGUUUAAAGUGAUACCUCUAAGGAGGGAUUGGGUUGUGUGUUGAUGCAGCAUGUGAAAGUGGUGGCUUAUGCUUCUAGACAACUUAAAAAGCAUGACCUAGAACUAGCAGCAGUGGUGUUUGCACUCAAGACAUGGAGGCAUUACUUAUAUGGGGCAACAUGUUAGAUUUUCACUAAUCAUAAAAGUCUGAAGUAUUUGUUUACUCAGAAGGAAUUGAAUUUGAGACAGAGGAGAUGGAUUGAGCUAAUUAAGGACUACGAUGCACUAUUGAUUAUCAUCUGGGCAAAGCAAAUGUGGUAGCUGAUGCACUAAGUAGAAAGUCUUCUAGCUCUAUAGUUCACUUGCAAGUGAAAUAUAUGCCUCUGUUGAUCGAGUUCAGAUCUUUGGGAGUCGAGUUAAACGCUGACGAUUGUGGAACUUUGAUAGCUAAUUUUUUAGUUAGGCCGACUUUGAUUAAUAAAGUUCACCAGAUGCAAGCUCAGGACCUAUUGUUAAUGAAGUUGAAAGAGGAUGUGCAAAAAUGUUUACGAACUGAUUUUACGGUGAGAGGCGACAAAGUCUUAGUCAUGGGUAAUAGACUCGAUGUACCUAAUAUUAAAACUAUGAAAGAAGAGAUUAUGGAAGAAGCUCACUGUUCAGCAUUUGCGAUGCAUCUUGGUAGUACGAAGAUGUACCACACCCUGAGAGAUCAUUACUGGUGGCAGGGCAUGAAGAGAGAGAUAACAGAAUUUGUUUCUCGAUGUUUAGUCUGUCAGCAGAUUAAAGCUGAACACCAGAGGCCUGUAGGGUGUUAUUAGCCGCUUCCUAUUCCUUAGUGGAAGUAGGAGCACAUCACUAUGAAUUUUGUAGCAGGACUUCCACGUACUCUGAAAGGACAUGAUCAUGUUUGGGUGGUUGUUGAUCGACUUACAAAAUCUGCUCACUUCUUACCAUUCAAAAUCACCUACUCGAUGAACAAGUUGGGGAGUAUUUAUGUGGCUGAGAUAGUUUGACUUCACGGAGUACCUGUGUCCAUAGUCUCAAAUAGAGAUUCCUGGUUUACUUCUAAGUUUUCGACCAGUUUGCAAAAUACUUUAGGUACCAAGUUGAACUUCAGUACAACUUUUCAUUCACAGACUGAUGGACAGUCAGAGCGCACUAUUCAAACUCUGGAGGAUAUGUUGCGAGCUUGUGUUAUGGAGUUUAAAGGUAAUUGAGAUAAUUAUUUACUUCUGAUGGAGUUUGCUUACAACAAUAACUAUCAAGCUAGUAUCGAGAUGGCACCAUAUGAGGCUUUGUAUGGUAGAAAAUGCAGGACUCCAGUAUGUUAGGAUGAGGUUGGUGAGCGGAGGUUACUCGGUCCAGAACUUGUCCAGGAUACUAACGAGAAGAUACAAUUGAUCCGGGAUAGAUUAAAGGUGGCCCAAGAUAGACAAAAGAGCUAUGCAGACAAGCGUAGGGGGGAACUUGAAUUCCAAGUUUGUGAUAGAGUUUUCAUACGGAUAUCUCCUUGGAAAGGGGUGCUUUGAUUUGGGAAACGUGGGAAGCUAAGCCCAGGUUACAUUGGGCCAUAUGAGAUCAUUGAGCGCAUCGGUCCGUUAGUUUAUCGAUUAGCUCUACCACCCGAGUUAUCCAGAAUCCACGAUGUGUUUCACGUCUCAAUGCCCCAUAAGUACAUAUAUGACCCGAGUCAUGUGUUAUCAAAGCAACUAAUUCAGUUGAAGGAAGAUUUAACUUACGAAGAGGAACCAAUGGAGAUACUGGAAGAGAAACACCAAGUUCUACAUUCUAAGACCAUUCCUCUAGUAAAAGUACGGUGGAGGAAUCAUACAAAGGAAGAGGCUACCUGGAAACAUGAGGACUUAAUGCGAGCUCAAUAUCCCUAUAUUUUCUUAUUAGGUACAUAAAUUUCGAGGAUGAAAUUUUUAUAAGAGGGGAUGAUUGCAACAAAUGUGAAUUAAAAAUGAAUAAGUAUGAGGUGGUAAAGAAGUUAGUAAAAACAAAAGAAUAAGCUGGAAACAGAGGAAACAUAUGCACGUGUAACAGAGAGUGAGAGAGAAGGUGCCAAACCGACCCAACUACAGACCCACCUUGACCCGGUCACAUCUCCCAUUUCCGGCCACCGUUUCGGCCGAGUUUAGUACCAAUCUGAAAACCCGCGACUGUUUCAUUUUGUUCCGCCAGGAUUUUCGCCGGUUUUGGGUGACACGACCAGUUGAAUUUUGUUCCUCAUGACUCCCUCUUCCAUUUUCAACCGUCCAUAGCCACUGAAAGUCACUGUUUUGCCACUGGUCAAUUAUUGGAAUUCAGGGCUAUUGAGCUAGAUUCCGGCCUCGUUACCGUGCGUUGGAGCUCACUGCUGGUACCAUUGAACUCAACGUGAUUGGAACUUUCAGAAUUGAGCUUCCCGGCCAGCGUUGACCAAACUCCGGUGACCGUUGACCGGCAAGGGCAUUUCGGUAAUUUCACACGCCGAGGGAAAUUUUGUAAUUUCUGAGCCUAUGGAUAUUUUAGUAAUUCCUAGAAUUGAGGAUUUGGUGUAAUUACGAUUCCGAGGUUAAUUCGGUGAUUUACAAUUUCUGAGUAUUUUAAUGAUUUACGGACUCGAGGGCAUUUUAGUAAUUUUAUCGACACGGGAGUUGUAAAUUAUGGAUAGAUGUUCGUUUCGAGUUUAUUGCAUAAAUUUAGUCGUAAUUUCGAUUUACGAAAAAUAAUUAUGUCGUUUCCUUGAUUUAAGAGGAUCCGCGAGCGAUAAUCGGUCCACGGACAUUGACGAUAACCAAGCGCGAACACUGCACUGUGAGUGGAAUAUGCAAAACCUAUUUUCGUAGUUAAUUAUGAUAGUAAAAUAUGUUUACGAAAUAAGUAUUUUUAAUGUUCUGAUUUAAUGAUUUCCUCGAAAUGGAUUUUAUACAUGCAUUGAUAUUAUUUUAAAAUGUUUGGUCAAUGAUUUUCCGUGUCGACUUUGAAUGAAAUAUGAUAGUAUUUUAAAGAUGAGAAAAGUGGAUUUAGAUGUGAUAAUGAAAAGAAAUGUAUGAUUUAAAGUAUGAUUAGAAUAUACAUGAAUAUAAGUAUAGAGAUUGUUUUUAAAAUCAUUCGACAGUACCCUUCCCCUCCAGAUACAGUGAUACAGAUGAGAUAAGAUGAGAGGCCUUUAGAGCCCGUCUGAGCACACAUAGAGGCUUUGGGCUGUGUGUUUGGGUGUUUCUGCCUUUUGGGGGCAUAUGCAUACGGUAUGAUGAUUACAGAGAUACAAAUAUGAGAUACAGACAGAUAUUGAGAUACAGAUGAUAAAUAUGAGAUACAAGCCUUUGGGGCCCGUCUGAGUACACACAGAGGCUUUGGGCCGUGUGCUUGGCGCUUUUGUCCUUUAGGGACUGGAUUAUGCAUGCACAGAUAUGAUGAGUUAUGAGAUGAUACUUCCCUAUCUAUCCGUGUAGCUAAGGAGCGUGACGGUACCCAGAUACGUCAUUACCCGUCCGUUGAGGUCCGGAUAUGAUGAAAUUAUUUCCCUGGGCACUUGUUUGGUGAUGAUUUUCAUUCUUGUGUAUUCUAUAUGAUAUUGUGAUAUGAUUUCCAUGAUUAUUACUGUUGUAGAAUUUCUCAAGAUCCACUGUUGUUAAACAACCAAGCUGAGCUAUCGAACCCAAUCGAUCAAGAUCAACCUUUUUUUUACCAAGAAAGUUAACUAGCUCAUUGCAAGUAAUAACCAGAAAAGAAAGAAGAUGAACAAGAAAACAAUGCACACAGUAUAACGUGGUUCAGUACCAAAGUACCUACAUCCACGACCAAAUAAACCCUUCUGGGCUUGAAGCUUUUAUUUAACAAAGUGUUUACAAUGAGAGUAUUGAUGACAAAGAUUAAAUCUCUCAUACAGAGAAUUUUCUAUCUCUCACCCUAGCUCUCUCAAAAUCGUGACUUAACCAUCCAUCUGAUCAGCCCUGAACUAUGUAUAUAUGUAUAGCUCUAUUGUCCAGCUGUUAGCAGUAACAAAUUUAACUAACCCUGGCCCCACACAAAUGCUGAGUCAGCACGCCACUUAGUCACAUAACAGAAUUAACUAAUCAAGCUUCACAAAUAUCCACCUUAGUUGAUUCUGUCCCAGCUUCACCCAGCUCUGGUUCAGAUGGUUAAUAUGCUUGACUUAUAAGCUUCUAACUCCAAUCAAGUUCAGAGAGUUUCUGAACUUGACUGUUGGUAUUGGUUUUGUCAGUGCAUCUGCUGGAUUGUCUUCAGUAGAGAUCUUUACAACAUCCACUACUCCUCUUUCAAUUUCCUCUCUUAUGAAAUGUAGCCUCAAAUCCACAUGCUUGGUCCUCUCAUGAUAUUUGGAGUUUCUGCUCAACUGAAUUGCACUUGAGCUGUCACAAUAGAUGGGAAUUGUAUCCUGAAUCAAACCCAAUUCAGAUAUAAUCCCUCUGAUCCACUUAGCUUCUUUAAAAGCUUCAGUAAGUGCAAUGUACUCAACUUCAGUAGUUGAUAAGGCAACAACUGAUUGCAGUGAUGCUUUCCAACUUACAGCUCCUCCACACAUGGUAAAAACAAAGCCAGUAGUAGACCUUCUUUUGUCUAAGUCACCAGCAAAGUCUGAGUCCACAUAGCCAAUGACUUUACUUGUGACAUUGUUAUCUCUACUAAACAAAAUACCAGAAUCAGAUGAACCACUCAGAUACCUAAGUAUCCACUUAGCAGCACUCCAAUGCAUUUUGCCUGGGUUCUCCAUGAAUCUGCUAACUACUCAUACCCCGUAAGCAAUAUCAGGCCUAGAGCACACCAUGGCAUACAUAAUGCUUCCAACCACACUAGAGUAAGGAAUUUUCUUCAUAUGCUUAAUAUAUGCAUCAUCGGAUGGUUCUUGCUGUUUUGACAGCUUGAAGUGUGUGCCUAAAGGGGUGGAAACUGCUUUAGAGGUAACCAUGUCAAACUUGCCAAGCACCCUUUUGACAUAACCAGCUUGUGAGAGAAAUAGAGUCUUUGCAGCUCUAUCCCUUUUGACCUGCAUUCUUAGAAUCUUACUGGCAGAGCCUAGGUCCUUCAUCUCAAAUUCAGCCCUUAGCUCAGUUUUAAGCUUUUCUAUUUCUUCUAUGUGCUUGCAUGCAAUGAGCAUGUCAUCAACAUAGAGAAGCAAAUAAAUCCCAUCUCCAGAAGGUAGGAACUUGCAGUAUACACAGCUAUCAUAUUGACUUCUCAAGUAACCAUGAGCAAUAAUAAAUUGGUCAAACCUCAAAUACCACUGCCUGUGGGAUUGCUUUAAACCAUAUAAGCUCUUCUUAAGCAAACACACCAUGUCUUCUGACUCCCUUUGUAUGAAGCCUUCUGGCUGUUCCAUGUAUAUCUCUUCUUCAAGAUUGCCAUGUAGGAAGGCUGUUUUGACAUCCAUUUGAUCCAGCUCCAGAUCAUGGUGGGUUGUAAUUGCAAGCAACACUCUUAUUGAGCUAUACUUGACAACUGGUGAAAAGACUUCACUAUAAUCUAUCCCUUCUCUUUGUGUAAAGCCCUUUGCCACCAGCCUAGCCUUAUAUCUAGGGUGUUCUACACUUGUAACUCCAUCUUUAAGUUUGAAAAUCCACUUACACCCAACCAGCUUCCUAUCUUCUGGUUUUCUCACCAAAAUCCAGGUGUUGUUUUUCUUCAAUGAGGAUAUUUCUUCUUCCAUUACUGACAGCCACUUUGAUUUAUCCCUGCUGUUCAUGGCUUGCUUAUAGCUGCUGGGUUCCUCCCCAAUAACUUCUUCAGCAACAUUCAGUGCAUAUGAUAUCAAAUCUGCUAUGCCAAAUCUCUUAGGCAUUUUGAUAACCCUCCUUUCUCUGUCUCUUGCCAGCUGGUAGUUAUCCAUUUCUGAGGAUCUAGUUUUACUGUCACAAGACUUGGACUCUUCAUUAGUGUCCUUGUGAUCAUCAGUAAGCUCCACCUCCAGGUUAAGCUUAUGGUUGGCCUUUUGCUCAUAAAUUGUCAGUUCUGUUUCAACCUUUUGCUGGAGCAGGGAACCCUCAUCAAAUACAACAUCCCUGCUUACUAUAAUCCUUGAAGGUUUCCCAUCAAUGCACGAUAUUCUAUAUCCCUUAACACCUUCAGGGUAACCAAUAAAGAUACCCUUAAUUGCCCUAGGUUCCAGCUUUCCUUGGUUGAUAUGAGCAUAUGCUGGUGAGCCAAAGAUUCUCAUAUUGCUUAGAUCAGGGGGUUUUCCAUACCAAACCUCUUAUGGAGUUCUGAAGUUGAGUGCUGAUGAGGGACUUCUAUUUAUCAAGUAUGCUGCUGUGGUGACAGCUUCAGCCCAAAAAUGUUUUGAGAGGUUUGCACUAAACAACAUGCAUCUCACCUUUUCCACUAAUGUUCUAUUCACCCUCUCAGCAAGUCCAUUUUACUGGGGUGUGUGUCUAACAGUCUUGUGCCUUGCAAUUCCCUUCUCUCUGCAGAACUCAUCAAACUCUUUACUACAAUACUCCAACCCAUUAUCAGUCCUUAGUCUCUUUACUUUCCUGUCAGUUUGGUUUUCAAUUAAGGUCAACCAUUCCUUAAACUUUAGUAGAGCUUCACUCUUAUGCUUUAAGAUAUAAACCCAAACCUUCCUGGUAUAGUCAUCAAUCAAUGUCAUGAAGUACCUAGCUCCACCAUGUGAUAGCACUUGAGAUGGACCUCAUAAAUCUGAAUGUAUAUAAUCUAUUGAAUUAUUGGUUUCUUGCUUCCCAGUCCCAAACCUCUAUCGAGUUGCCUUUCCAAACACACAUUUUUCACAGAACUCAAGAGAUGAAAUCUGACCAGAACCAAUUAGACCUUGUUUGCCUAAUUCUUUCAACCCCUUUUCACUCAUGUGAGCUAAUCUCAUGUGCCAUAAUUUUGUUUUAUCUCUGCUGACAGAGGCUAUAACUCCUGGAGAGGAAGGGGAGCCUAUUAGGACAUAUAACCCAUUUCUUCUGAUUCCCUUCAUUAUAACUAUGCCAUUUUUAGUAACUUGGAGUUCACCAUUUCUGCCUUAAUGCUACAGCUUGACUGGUCAACAGUCCCUAAGGAUAUUAGAUUCCUCCUAAGCUCUGGAACAUGUCUCAAAUUCCUUAGCUCUCUAUCUACCCCAUCAUGUAUAGUUAUGGUAACAGUUCCAAUUCCAGUAACUUUACAGGCCAGGUUAUUUCCCAAUAAAACCUUACCUGUAUCAACUUUCUCAAAAGUCUUGAAGAGUUGCUUGUUUGGGCUCAUGUGGAAGGAGCAACCUGAGUCCAAGAUCCAUUCUUCAGUGGGUUGUCUUUUUGCAGCUACGAGUACAUCUGCACCUUCUGAAUCCCAUUCAUCUUCUGAUGCAAUGGCUGCCUUCCCUGAUGAUUCUUUCUAGAUCUUUUCAAGUUUCUUCUUCUCGAAACAGUCCUUUAUAUAAUGCUCUUCCCUCUGACAGAAAUAACACUUUCUCUUUUUCUUUUUCUUGUCAGCUUUAUCCUUCUUAUUGUUACUUUUCUUGUCAUGAUUCUUCUUCUUUUCAGGUUUUGAUUUGGCUAUCAGGCGUUCACCAAGGCCCUGAUCUUUUCCCUCAGCUCUUUUCUUUAAAUCUUUUGAUUCCAGAGCAUUCUUCACAUCUUUUAACGUAAGGGUUUGUCUCCCAUACAGUAAUGUGUCAACAAAGUGCUCAUAUGAAUCUGGCAGUGAGCUUAACAAGAUAAGAGCUAUGUCUUCAUCUUCAAGAUUUACAUUAACAUUCUCAAGAUCCAGGAUUAGCUUGUUGAAUUCAUCGAGAUGGUCUUUCAUGGCUGUUCCCUCCUUCAUUGAGAAUGUAUACAACUUCCUUUUCAUAUAGAGUCUCUUGGCCAAAGACUUCUUCAAGAAUAGUUCUUCAAGUUUCGAUCAGAGGCUAGAUGCAGAUUUUUCUUUAGCAACCUCUCUCAGCACUUCAUCUGACAGAUGCAAGAUUAUGGUGCUGUGAGCUUUGUUGUUAAUGGACCUUAUGUCUCCACCCAAGCUUGAGGAGCCUUCUGAUUUCUCUUUCUUGCCAAUUUGAUCUUCUUCAUUUUCAAGAGCACUGUCAAGCCCCCGUUGGAUCAAGAUUGCACGCAUCUUGAGACUCCAUAGAUAGAAGUCAUUUUCUCUGUUGAAUUUUUCUACAUCGAAUCUUGUACUAGCCAUUUGCGAACAAGAACUGAGAGCUUUUAGAGCUCUGAUACCAGUUUGUUGUGGAAUUUCUCAAGAUCCACUGUUGUUAAACAACCAAGCUGAGCUAUCGAACCCAAUCAAUCAAGAUCAACCUUUCUUUUACCAAGAAAGUUAACCAGCUCAAUGCAAGUAAUAACUAGAAAAGAAAGAAGAUGAACAAGAAAACAAUGCACACAGUAUAACGUGGUUCAGUACCAAAGUACCUACAUCCACGACCAAAUAAACCCCUCUGGGCUUGAAGCUUUUAUUUAAUAAAGUGUUUACAAUGAGAGUAUUGAUGACAAAGAUUAAAUCUCUCCUAUAGAGAAUUUUCUAUCUCUCACCCUAGCUCUCUCAAAAUCGUGACUUAACCAUCCAUCUGAUCAGCCCUGAACUAUGUAUAUAUAUAUAGCUCUGUUGUCCAGCUGUUAGCAGUAACAAAUUUAACUAACACUGGCCCCACACAAAUGCUGAGUCAGCACGCCACUUAGUCACAUAACAGAAUUAACUAAUCAAGCUUCACAAUUACGUAUGAUCAUUAUAUAUGCUUUUCAUGGUUAGUAAUAUGAUUUAAAUGUUAAAUGAUUUAUUACUAGUUUCUCGCAUAUGGUUUGAUGAAAUCGUGUUUGGAAAUGAUAUGAUUAUUUCUUUUAAAGUAAGAAUUAAUUUUAAAAAACUACUAUCCACUCAUUGAUCUCAUUGAGUUUUAAACUCACCCCAUUUUUAUUAUAUUUUUCCCCUCACUAGGAGGUUGCAGGUACACCAGACUGACCCAGCGACUGUAAAUAUAUUUUGAGUCUUGGCCACGUGAUGGUGUUAGAGGAUAUAGAUGUUUUUUAUAGGACAUCUCAGUUAUCUUGUUCUUUUGGGAUUGUAUAAUUUUAUUAUAUUAUUCUUUUGGAGAUUAAGAAUAAACUGAGAUAUCAAUAUUAGUUAUAAUAUUAUCUUUUGAGAUUCUUGAGAUAUAAAAUUCAGCAUUUUGGUUGAGGGUAUUGAUCACUGGAGUUUGUUGUAUAUUGAAUUAUAUUGGGAGUGUUAUAUUCAUAGUUGUAGAUUAGGAGUGAUAUAUAUAUAAAGGAGACUCUGCCAAAUUUUUGACAGAAUCCUUACUAAUUAGAUUAUUAUCAAGUCCGUUUUGAUGAGACUAGAGUGACUAGCCCGAGGGAUUCGGGGCGGGUCGUUUCAUUUAUCUUCAUCGUUUCCAACAACAACAGUCAGCAACUCGGCUUCUGCAACAGCAACAGCGAGAGUCGUUGUCAAAGAACAAAUUCACACUGAACCAGCACAAAAAUCACCACCGGCAGCCACAGCUGCUGCUCGAGGAAAGCACCAAUCCAGUUCCUAGUUGGCAAGAAAAUAUGCCAUUCUUGAAGUUCAACAAUCAUCUGACCUCACUUCCUCUCUCGAGAGGUCUUGUUUUGUCAUUUCGAUGGAUACCUAUUUGUUGUUUCUUUUAUUUUUUUGGUUGAGUGUUGACCCUUGAUGAUUAUCUCAACUGGGUUUCUAUUUUUUUCAACUAAUUUAGUGACAAAGUUAGGACUUUUCUUUUUUUUCUGAAUUUGUUUUCUGAGGUGUGUCGAUUUUGAUUAUACUUGACAUUGAGUUGCUGCGACUUCUAAUCCACAAUUAGUGUCGAAUAGAAAGAAUCAUUGGGUGGAUAGUUGAUAAAUAGUAAUUUCCCAUCAAUAAGUAAAAAGGUGAAUGUAUAUCAAACAGUUUAGUUGCAGUACUUUUCUAGUCGAAUAGAGCAGGACUAUUGCUGACUUACCCUUCAUUUUCUUAUAUGUAUGUUGUAUUUUGCAAAUUUGUUUUUGGAUGCUGACACUAUUGCAAUUUACAUGCUGACUUCGCUUUGGUUAGAAAACCUUGAUUCCUUUGCAAUGUUCAAUGCCAUUUAGUUUUGAGCCUAAAGUGAUUAGUAUGUUGUUUAUAAUGUUCUAUAUUAAUCGAAACAUGAGAGUUACAGUGUUAAUUUUGGAGGUCAACAAUGACUUUCCAAUGAACAAGUUGGCUAGCAGUCACAUUGCAUAAGCACUAUAGUAUAGUUUGAAUAAGAAGAAUAAAAUAAUCGUAAUUUCAUUGAGUACCUCUCUUUUCUUGACUGCAUUCCUCGUUGGAAAAGUUUGUUAGAUGGAAAUUCUGGUUGUCUUUUAGACUUAAGUUUUAGUGACAAUACAUUUGGUGAAAAUUUUUUUACUUCAUGACAUCAUCUUGAAGUUUUGUUGUUAUGGAGACAAAUAUGUAGCUCAAUUAGCUUGGCAUUAUAAGAUAAAUGUACUUCUUUGCAGAUUAGAAGGGAUAUUAAAGGUGCCAGACUUGAAUGCUAUUUUGCGACAUUUUGGGGAUCUUGGCCGAGGGCAGGAUGUUUUGGAGGUCCUACUACUUUCCUUUUGUUUUGUUUAUCUUUUGUGCACGCCAUUGAUAUUUUUGAUGGUAAAACCUGUUGAGUUUAUUUGUUUACAUUUCUUUAUUCAAAUGCAUGUUCAAUUCCUGAUUUAUUAUUAGUUGGGUUUGCUUACUGAUUAAAUAUCAAUUUUUUGGUCCUGUGUAUGUACCUUUUUUAAUGAUCAUUUUGUACCCAAUUAAGUGUUCUUUCUUAAAUGGAGAUCCCAUUUUGGUAAAACAAAAGCUGUUUCUGUUUUUUAUACAAAUCUCUGCCUUAUGAUUCAAAAAAAUGUAGACACUCCAAGAGAAAUAAGGUUAGCUGAAUAUGGGUGGGAGGAUUAUCUAUAUCCUUCUUCAAUAUUUGUUCAUUACACUUUCCUGAGUGAGCUUUCGCUGGAGAAUCCUCAUUUUUAUAGAUUCUAUAUUUGUUAAUUGCUUGAUUGCAAAAAGUUAUUCUGUAUUAGUAUACAAAAACUACUUUAUGCAUUUGUUUUUGUUUUUAUUAUUAACUUGUUCAAAUUAUGGUUUUGAAAUUAGCCUAUUUCAUUUCAGCUAUAGGGAAGAUCAUUCUCAAAACAGUAAUUGAUUUGCAAUUUAUCAUAAAUAUCAUUCUGAUAAUUUAGUAUGGUUUGUUACGACGGCAUCAACCCAAUUUAUGGCUUGCUACCACAUGAAGUAUCCCAAAAUGCUUCUAUUCUCUUUCCGUCCUAUGUGAACAAUGGUUUACUGAUGCUAAUAAGUACUAUUUUUUUAAUACUUUGUGCUUGGUGUUUCUGCAGCUCUUUGAGUGGAUGCAACAACAUGGCAAGACUAGUAUUUCUUCUUAUAGCAGUUAUAUCAAGUUCCUUGGGAAAAAAGGCAAUUCCCUUAAGGCUCUAGAAAUCUACAAUAGCAUUACAGAUGAAUCGGACAAAGUUAAUGUCUUUAUAUGUAAUUUGAUUCUCAGUUGUCUAGUCAGGAAUGGAAAGUUUGAGAGCAGCCUCAAACUGUUUGAUAAAAUGAAGCAGAGUGGUCUGACACCAGAUGCUGUUACUUAUAAUACGGUAUACCAAUCUGAUCACAUUACAUGGAUUUGAGGAUGUUAAAUGUUUGUUCGAAGUUGAGUUCAGUCAGGCAAAUGAUUAUAAAAUUCUGCCUUUUGUAUGACACUCGGUGUUGUAGUUGACAUGUAAGUUGCACAGUCUUUGAGUGACAGCUUUGUUGAACAACGGGUUUGACACAAGUGAAAGAGUCAACUUUUAUAUGCAUGUAAUAUUCUUUUUCUUUUCUAUGGUUACAUAAUCCAUAUUGUGAAUCUGAUUUGCUAUUUUAUUUUUGAAAGUUCUUCUAAAGUGUGAAUAAGCCAGAGAAAGACAGAAUAAAUGGAUUUGACAUAGAUUUAGAAGAAAUAAAUGUGCUGCCGUGGAAUAGCAUCAAGCUUUGUUGGAAUGAAGUGCCAAGAUCAUUUUCUAACAAAAUGCCAGAGUCUUUUUAACUGUUCUUUAUUACAUUUUUCUUUUGUCUUCCAUAGCUGCUUACAGGUUGCAUUAAGGAUAAAAAUGGCUAUUCUAAAGCAUUAGAGCUGGUUCAGGAACUUAAGUAUAAUGGAGCGCAGAUGGAUGGCGUGAUGUAUGGGAUACUUUUGGCUAUUUGUGCUUCAAAUAAUCUAUGUGCCGAAGCUCAGAGCUAUUUUAACCAGAUGAAAGUUAAAGGCCAUCCUCCUAACGUAUAUCACUAUAGCUCUUUGCUUAAUGCUUACUCCUCUGGUGGAGACUACACGAAGGCCGAUGAAUUAAUUCAGGAUAUGAAAUCUUCAGGGUUAGUACCGAAUAAGGUUUGUUUCAUGUUUAUAUGGCCAUUCUAGUUUCAGGAGUUACUAGGCAUUACUUAACAAUUGAGUUUUGCUCAUCUUGAAAUAGGAAAGAUUGAAAAUCGAUGUAUACAUGUGAAUUUGGUAGAAUAGAGAAUUUGUACUGAAUUUCAAAUGACAAAAGAACACAGUUAUGAUACAUAGUUAUCAUGGUGAAUUGAGGCUUAUCGAACCGUAUUCUGUCUAUGCUUUCAAAAUCAAGUGUAAUUGUUUUGGUGCAGCAAAAAUGUAUUAGUAUUAUGGUACAUGGAUGCUAUCCUGAUUAGGGGAUUUCAGUGAUUAGUUGGUUUGUUUGGCCUUUUUCAGUGGAAGCAAGAAGUUAAGGGAACAAGUCUAAAGGGAUACUUCAUAUUUGGGUUGAAACGGAACUAUAAAAGAAUAAAAACGCACCAUGGGGGUUUGGAUUUCAUGCUAUAAGAGAUUAUUGUAAAGGAAUGAAUUGGUGCUUUUCAAUAUAUGCCAAAUCUAUUUUCAUGGGUAUCUAGGUCAAAAUAGCACAUAAAGUAGUGAGUUUCUUGUUAUCUCUUUUCUUUUUGUUCUGUGCAUUUUCAAUAAUUUGCUUUGUAAACACGUGUGUUGGCAAUUGUGUGCUUUUCUUAUGUUUUGUUUUUUAGGGUAAAUCAUUCUUUUUGCAGGUAAUACUGACAACAUUGCUGAAGGUAUACGUCAGAGGAGGUUUGUUUGAAAAAUCAAGGGAACUAUUAGCUGAACUGGACACUUUAGGCUAUGCUGAAAAUGAGGUACAUUGAUGAAUUUUUACCUUUCAUAUGUAUGUUGAAAUAUCAAUCUUGUUGAAGAUAUGAUAUGUAGUUUUAAUAUUGUGUUUCAGAGUAGAAUGUGUUAUUUAUUACCUUCAGGAUCAUAGCAGAUCUGACACCGGACACAAUAGAUGGGAAAACACAAUGUCACACACCCAAGAAAUAACAAGCUCAAAACCACAGCAAAAAAUUCACCACCUAAAGUUGUUAAGCUAAGGAUACAGGGCUUAAAAUACUCACCACUCAAUGGAAUCCACCAAAGUGAUACAGAGUUUGAUAAUAACUCAAAGUUCAUCCAAUCCCCAAAAUUAAUCUCUAUCCUUUGGUUACAACUACAUAAGCUUAAAUAACUUUCUUGGAACAAUCCUCCAAGCAUAGAUAUACAACAAAGAAACCCUCCAAAUGACUUGACUUCAAAGACCAACAUUAAAGCUAGACAUUAAUAGAACAUUGGUAUGCUUAAAACACAGCAAAGAGCAUUAAAAAAAGUCCAAGUCCAGAAAUAUUCUUCUUGACUCAAAACUGAACAGCCUGCACUUAACUGAUCAUAACUUACUGUACAAAGCUCGAAAUUUGUAUUAGUAAAAUUCAUUGGAAAGCUAACAGAAAUAUCUUUCCAAUGAUGUAUGACUGGAAAAUUAGUUCAAUCUCAUGCAGUACAGUUUAAUUCCCAAAGAUGCCCCUUCUGCACAGAAAUUCUACUCACUUGAUUAAUGUAAGAACUUGAACUGCACUUGGUAUAACUUGAAUACCAAAUAUUUCAAACACCCCUGUGUUAAUCUCCCCUAGUUGAAAAAAAUUCAACCUCGAGUUUUGAUCAUUUUCUUCAUGAUAAGGAGACAAGUCUGAUAUGUUGAAUGUUGAUGAAACACCAUAGCCAUCUGGUAGCUCAAUCUUGUACACAUUAUCACCAAUGCGUUGCAACACUUUAAAAGGUCAUUCAGCCCUUGGUCUAAGCUUAGCAUACUUCCUAGGUGGAAAACGAUCUUUUCUAAGAUGAACCCAAACCAAAUUUCCUUCCUGAAACUUAGCAUUUCUUCGAUGCUUGUCUACAGAUUUUUUAUACUUCUCAUUUUGCUUCAAUAUUCUAUCUCGAACCUGUUCAUGCAUCUUCUCGAUACUUUUAGAGCGUUCUUCAGCCUCUCCACUAAAUUGAUGAUCAGUCAAAAAGUGGAGCCAAAUCCAAAGGACUAAUUGGAUUCUUGCCAUAAACUACUUCAAAGGGACUUGAACCAGUAGUUUGAUGUAUGGAGUGAUUGUAAACAAAUUCAAUCUAAGGCAAAAUAAGAUGCCAUUGACGAAUGUUCUUGCCCACAUAACUUCUCAAGAGAUUUCCCAAGCUUCGAUUCGUCACUUCAGUCUGACCGUCAGUUUGAGGAUGAUGAGAAGAGCUGAAUUUAAGAGUGGUUCCCAACUUCUUCCAAAGAGUGUGCCAAAAGUGACUCAAAAACUUUGAAUCCCGAUCAGAGACAAUGGUUUUUAGAAUUCCAUGUAGCUUCACAAUCUCCUUGAAGUACAAAUCAGCCACAUAAGAGGCAUCCAAUGUCUUGUUACAUAGAACAAAAUGAGCCAUUUUUUAGAAUUGAUCAACCACCACCAUGAUAGAGUCUUUGUUUCUUUGAGUUCUUGGCAACCCAACAACAAAGUCUAGACUAACAUCUUCCCAGGGAGCUUCAGGGACUGGUAAAGGAUUGUAUAGGCCUGUGUUUUAACCAUGAGCUUUGGCAAUAUGACAGAUUUUACACCUCUGCACAUGAUGCACAACAUCUUUAUCCAUAUUUGGCUAAUAGAAAUUACCUUGCAAGCAAGCUAACGUCUUAUCCUUUCCAAAGUGACCUCCAACAGCACUGCCAUGUGCCUCCAUGAUAAUAGAUUCCCGCAAAGAACACUGAGGAAUACAUAAACAAUUCCCCUUGAAAAGAAAGCCAUCAUGCAAUUGGUACUGAUCAUAUGAUCCAUUCUCACAUUCUCUCCAAAUCUUACCAAAGAAAGAAUCAUCUUUGUAUAGCUCUUUUAAAAUUUCAAAGCCUACAACCUUCACUUGCAUAGAAGAAAGCAAGGAAUUUUUUCGACUUAAAGCAUUAGCCACAACAUUUUGAGCACCCGAUUUAUACUUGAUGGUAAAAUUGUAAGCUUGAAGAAACUCCACCCAUCCGACAUGUUUUCUACUAAGCUUUUGUUGACUAUUGAUAAACUUUAGUGCAUCAUGGUCGGAGAAGAGAAUAAAUGGCCUUGAAAGCAAAUAUUGACUCCAAUGGUUCAAAGCUCGGCAAAUAGCAUACAAUUCUUUGUCAUAAGUUGAGUACUUUCUGCAAGAGUCAUUCAAUUUUUCACUAAAGAAAGCGAUUGGUUUCCUUUCUUGCCUAUGUACAGCACCAAUUCCAGUAUUAAAGGCAUGACACUCAACUUCAAAUACCUUGCUGAAAUAUGGAAGUGAAAGAACAUGCGCUUCAAUCACCUUUCUCUUGAUGAUUUCAAAACUCUCUUGUGCUUCUUUAGUCCAUUUGAAACCUUCUCCUUUCAAGCAUUCAGUUACUGGAGCAACAAUUGUACUGAACCCUCUGAUAAAUCGUCGAUAAAAAGAAGUAAGACCAUGGAAACUUUGGAUUUCAUGUAGCGACUUAGGAAUUGGCCAGCUCAAAAUGGCCUCCACCUUGCUUGGAUCCAUUUUAAUUCUAUCUUUCGAUACAACAUAACCCAAAAAGACAAGGCUAUCAGUAAAGAACCUGCACUUUUUCAAGUUGACAUAAAGCUUUUGAUUUCUGAAAAUCUCAAAGACUUGGCGAAGAUGCUCUUAGUGUUGUUUUUCAUCUUGGCUAUACACAAGCAUGUCAUCAAAACACACAACAACAGAUCUACCAAUCAGAGGCUUAAAAACGUGAUUCAUCAGCCGCAUGAAAGUGCUUAGGGCAUUAGAUAGACCAAAUGGCAUAACCAUCCAUUCAUAAAGUCCAUCCCUUGUUUUGAAGGCCGUUUUCCAUUCGUCACCAGGCCUCAUUCUUAUUUGAUGAUAGCCACUUUGAAGAUCGAUCUUAGAAAAGAUUGUAGCACCAUAGAGCUGGUCUAGAAGAUUGUCAAGGCAUGGAAAAGGGAAACGAUAAUCAAUCGUUAUCUUAUUCACUACUCUGCUAUCAACACACAUACGCCAAGAUCCAUAUUUUUUUUGUACCAAUAAGGCAAGAACAGCACAAGGACUUUUGCUUUCUCUCACCAACCCUUUCCUUAAAAGCUCUUCAAUUUGCCUCUAUAAUUCUUCGUUCUCCUUUGGAUUCAUUCGAUAAGCCGCUUUAUUUGGUAGUACAUAACCCGAAAUAAGAUCAAUGCAAUGUUGAAUCUCCCUCAUGGGAGGAAGGCCAUGUGGUAAUUCUUCUAUAACAACAUCUGAGAAUUCUUCGAGAAAAUAUGUAACGACCUGCCCCAACCUCCAUAGGGCGAAUCUUACUGAUAGAUCCUUUUACAAUCCAUAAAAAUUAUAUCCUUGAAAAUACAAAUAUAAAACGCAAACUGUAGCGGAAGAAUUUAAAAUUCAUGCCAAACCAUCUAAUUCCUCCAUUCAAGUCCUUCUCGAUGCUCAUCACGAAUCAAUCCUGAUUUAUGGAAAUUGAAUCACAAUAAACUAUAAUGAGUAUGAAACUCAGUAAGUAAACUAGUUUUACAUGUACCAAAAUACAUAUAUACAUAUAUAUAGUGCAAAUGAAUGACGUGCCAUGGUAUUAGAAAACAUCUUAAAACAAAUCAUCGAAAUCUCAUUAUGUCUUUCUCAAACUUUCACAUUCUCUUUUAAACCACUUACUUGAGCUACCUUCAUUCGAUUACCGCUUAGUAGGACACUCUCUUAACUUUCAUAACUUUCAUAACUUUCAUACUCUUUGGGCUUCUCGCCAAUGCGUCCUUCGCCCACUUAUCUCAUAACUAUAUAAACAUCUAGAGUGUCCUCCACUAAGCCAGUAAUGAAUUCAAACAUCCAAGCUAAAACUAUAAAACCAUAUUUCUUUCUACAAAUUUCGUUUGCUAAAAUCAACUUUCUUAUUUUACAGAAAACAUAAUGCAUUUUCGUGCUCAUGCCAAUGAAAUAUUCACACAUACAUAUGCCCAUGUCUAUACACAUACACAUAACAACACAUCACAUAAACACAUGGGCAAAGCAUAUCAAUUCAUAUCCGUAUAUAUCAAAAUAUGUUUUUCAAACAUGUCAAAUAUAUAAUAUUGUUUAUUGUGAUUCGUUUGGAAACCUAGUUUACUUACCUCCUGGUAUCAUCGAGUAGCAAAUGCACAUCGAUAUUGGCCUAAAAAUAAAUAAAAAUACUCUCAUAAGAAUAAAAUUAAACCAUAAUCAUAAACUCCAAUAUUCUCAAAUUCCUCAAUAUAAUCACAUUCCAUACUUAACCUCAAAUAAUCUUAAUUUAAAUCAUAAAUUAUCAAAAUACUCAUAAUUCUUGAAAUUAUGAAAUUACCCUCAAAUAUCAAAAUUACUAAAUUAACCUCAAAAUCAUAAAUUACCAACUUUAUCCUCAAUUUCAGCAAUUAUUAAAAUACCCACAAAAUCUGAAAUUACAAAAUUAACCUUAGAUUAUGAAAUUACCGAAAUACCCUUGUCGGUCAACGGUCACCGAAGUUCAACUGACGGCGACGGGAAGCUCAGAACUGAAAGUUCAAGCCACGCUGAGUCUAACGGUGGCGGUGGUGACCUCCCACGCGCAGUGAUGGCUCCGGAUCGAGCUCCCAAAGCCGUGACUCCUUCAACGGCUGAUUAACGGCAAAACGACAUCCCUGGCGUCAGUGGUUAGCUGGAAAUGGCAAAGGGAAACAUAAGGAACAAAACCCAAGUGAUGGCUUCACCGGAAACCGGCGAAAUCACGGCGAAUCGAGGCGGCGAUUCCGCGGAACUUCAAAGCCUUGAUCGGUGGUUUUCAGAUCGAUUUCCGGCGGCAAGGACGGCAUGGAUACGUUGCUCGUCUCUCAAGCUUCAAAUCGAUACCAACCUUGUUCGAAAUGGUGGCCAGAAAUGGGAGAACCGAUCGGGUCGCGCUCGCAGGUCGGGUUGGAUCCGGUUCGGUUUCUCCUCUCUUUCUCUUCUCUUCUCUCUUUCUUUUCUCUCUCUCUCUCAAUUUAUAAGAGUGGUCAACAGGAUCAAAAUCGGGUGUGGGGUAUUACAAAAUACUUCAUAAUCAAAGGCUGCUCAUUGCUAUCUUCAUUUUCCUCAAACACCACCAACACGUAAACUUCACUACCCAUUUCCAAUUAUUUUUUACAAUUUGAAACAGUCAGCAACUUGUUUUCCACUCCUUUGAUAGGUUUAGAACUUUUCUCUACCUUUGAAGGACCCAAAAUGACUUUACUUCCAUCUUUAAUGAAAGUAUAAGUAUUCUUAUAACCAUCAUAAACAACCCUUCUAUCGUACUGCCAAGGAUGACCCAAAAGAAAAUGACAUGCAUCCAUAGGGACAACAUCGCACCAAACUUCAUCUUUAUAUUUAUUCCCAAUAGAAAAUGAAAUAAGGCAACGUGUGUUUACCUCAAUCUCAUUUCCCUUUUUAAGCCAAGCAAGUUUAUAAGGCUGAGGAUGCUGCUUCGUUUUGAGCUUCAACUUCUUCACCAUUUCAGUUGCUACCACAUUCUCAAAACUGCCACUAUCAAUAAUGACAUUACAUACAUUUCCAUGACAAGUGCAUUUGGUGUGAAAGAUAUUCUUUCUCAGCCAAUCUUCCUCAUCUUCACAAACAUACUCAAACUCUUUUGAAUAACUAGAGAGUUUCCAUUAUCAGCAUAUGUAACUUCUCUAUCUUUAACAUCCCUUUCAACACUAGGAUUCUCAUGAUCUUCCGCAUCCUCGUCAUCGCUUUUUUCUUCAAUAAGGGCAACCACCCUACAAUUAGGACACUCAGAAGCAAUGUUCCCAUAACCAUAACAUUUAAAACAUUGACGAGAACUAGCAUUCGAACCACUUGCUCGCUGUUUAGAUCCUUCCCCAAUAUCAUUCCUCGUAAUUUUCUUUGUAGUAGAAUUCGAACCAUAAUUAUGCUUAGAAACAGAGCCACUCCCUCGAUUGACAUCACGAACUGUGAACCGAAUACCCCCACCACGAGCAUCUUUUUGUUGCUUUUCCACCUUAAGAGCAAGUCUGCAUACAUCACUAUAAGUCCAACAUGGUUGGAGCUGGACCACAUUACCAAUCUCAGGUUUUAAACCACCCAGAUAGCGUGGGAUCGUAUGCUCUUCUGCCUAUACCAAAUCACACUUCAUCAUUAGGUUGUUGAACUCUGCUGUAUAAUCUUCCACUGACAAUUCCUUUUGCUUGAAGUUAUGGAACUUAAGGUAGAUAUCUUGCAUGUAGUUAUCGAGCAAAAACUUUCUCUUAAGCUCUUUUUUCAUUUUCUCCCAAGUAACAAUUUUCCUCCGUCUUUGUCGUUCCCUUUGUCUCUUAAGAUUUUCCCAUCAUAAAAAAGCAUACUUUUUAAGUUUAAUGGCAAUGAGUUUCACUUUGCGAUCUUCAGGCACAUCUCUGUAUUAAAAAAUGCGUUCAAUAGUAUUAAGCCAAUCAAUAAACUCUUCUGGUUGCAUUCUUCCUUCAAAUUCAGGAAUUUCGACCUUGAAGUCGAAAGGUUGAUAAGAAUUGCGACGCCUAUGAAUUCGAGAACGAGAAGAAGAUUCACUAUUGGAGCUUUGUUCCUGAUGGAAGGGAUUAUAAUCUACCCCAUCAUUGAUUGAGCCUUCUUCUUCCAAACUACCAUUAGGAGCAGCUUCUUGAGUUCCUUCAAGGUGUUGUAAUCAUUACUGAAGUUGUUCUACUUGUCUUCUAAGAUAAUCCCUUUCUAUAUCACCCAAGUCCCUCUCACGAAUAGGAGGCUCUGCAACUCUUGCAUUACGCCGACGUCGUUGAGCCAUAAAUUUUCAGAACCUAAAGCUCUGAUACCAAAUUUGACACCGGACACAAUAGAUGGGAAAAUACAACGUCACACCCCCAAGAAACCACAAGCUCACCACCACAGCAAACAACAAAAGGAUACAGAAAAAAAAUUCACCACCUAAAGUUGUUAAGCUAAGGAUACAUGGCUUAAAAUACUCACCACUCAAUGGAAUCCACCAAAGAGAUACAGAGUUUGAUAAUAACUCAAAGUUCAUCCAAUCCCCAAAAUUAAUCUCUAUCCUUUGGUUACAACUACAUAAGCUUAAAUAACUUUCUUGGAACAAUCCUCCAAGCAUAGAUAUACUACAAAGAAACCCUUCAAAUGACUUGACUUCAAAGACCAACAUUCAAGCUAGGCAUUAAUAGAACAUUGGUUUGCUCCAAAUUUAGAUUAGUAAAAUUCAUUGGAAAGCUAAUAGAAAUAUCUUUCCAAUGAUGUAUGGCUCGAAAAUUAAUUCGAUCUCAUGCAGUACAGUUUAAUUCCCAAAGAUGCCCCUUCUGCACAGAAAUUCUGCUCACUUGAUUAAUGUAAGAAUUUGAACUGCACUUGGUAUAACUUGAAUACCAAACAUUUCAAACACCCCUGUGUUAAGAUCCUGAUAAGGAAGUUGGGAAUUCAGACAGAAAAGAGCAUAACAAAUUGGGCUGAGGUUCAACAUGUUCAAAAUUUUUUGUUUCUUUGCUAAACUUUAUUUUUUUAAUUCAUAGGUUGGUUUUACGAUUUAUAAUAACGCAUGAUUCGGCUGGAUCUGUUUAUUCUUCUUUUAAUUUAUUUUUAUUUAAAUUCUAAAUUUUAAUUUUUUAAUAGAAAACUGAAAUGAUUUAAGUGAAAACGAAAUACGAAAGUGAACCAGACUAGUGGGUAAUUUAUUAUAACAGUCAUAAAUUUCUUUAAGAACACUGAUCCUUUUUGAGGUUUUCGAGUGAAAAACAGACUUGCAAACAUCCACAUUGUUGAUUCAUUGUUAUGUGGUGCAAAUUGCAACUUGAUUUGUUUAUAAUGAUUUUGCUUGCCCCAAUAUUGGCACACGUUCUUCUUCAUCUAACGUAUAACCUUGGCUUUGUUCAUAUGUAUCUAUAUUCUCAUCGACAAUUUUUUUUUGAAAGAAUUCUUUGGAAUAACUCUUCUGCAGCUUAAGGUACACAUGCCAUUUUGCAGAUGCCCUAUUGUUUUCUUAUGGAUGGUCUUUCUAAGGCUGGUCGUUUAGAUGAAGCAAGAGUAGUUUUUAAAAAAAUGCAGGAAAAAUGCGUUAAAUCUAGUAUGUUUCCCAUUUGAUAAGGGACCUUCUAGCAAGCUGUUAGUUUCAAAUAUUUAUUAUUAUUAUUUUUUCUCUUUACCUAAGAAACAAGAACAUUCUCAAAAAUUAAAUCAUUCAUUUGACCAUUGUUGACAAAUGCAGUGUUGUACAUGUCAUUUCAAUGCCAUGCCAAAAGAAUGGGGAUUGCUUUUGAAAUUAAGUUAAAUUUCUUUUUCCUUAAUCUCAAAGAAAAAUAAACUAUCUGAUUCUAGUUAUAAAGCUUUAUUUUCACCUUAAACACACAUUUGUUUUAGUUCUGUCUUUAAUUAUUUCUAAUGCCCCGAGAAAAUCUAACUUCUAUGUUUGUUGCACAUGCUAUGAACUCCCUAGUUGCCUUUUCCUAGAUUUAAAGGCUAGGGAGAAACAUUGUUAUUCCUAUAUUAGAGGUGAGUAGCCUAUAUAAUUUGAUUAGUUCACGUCUGUUUUACUUGAAUCAAGAAUAGAGUGGCCUAAUCUGAUCUCUGUCGUUGUUGGCAUUAUUUAUGCGUUGAAGAAUGCUGUAUUGAGGUAUAUUCAUUGUAUUUUGCUAAAUAAAUUUUGUUAGACUUGACUUGAAGUCUGAAAAAUACUUGCGAUGUUUUCUUACCUAAUAGCUUAAGCAUAUGGAUCAAUGGAUUUUACUAACGUGUGUUGCUCUAUCUCAAUUAAUUUUCAAAAGGAUAUCUCUUUCAAAUCAAGGUCCUUGCCUUAUGUCUUAAGCUUUUAGGUUAAGCACAAAUUUUGUUUCCCUCACGCAGAUGGCUAUGCCCAUAGUAUCAUGAUUUCAGCAUUCUGCCGAGGUGGGUGUUUUGAAGAGGCAAAGCAGCUGGCUAGGGAUUUUGAAGCCAAGUAUGACAAAUAUGAUGUUGUUCUGUUAAAUUCAAUGCUUUGUGCCUACUGCAGAACUGGUGAUAUGGAGAGUGUAAUACAUGUCAUGAGGAAAUUGGACGAAUUAGCAAUUAGUCCCGAUUACAAUACCUUUCACAUUCUAAUCAAAUAUUUCCGCAAGGAGAAGAUGUAUAUGCUUGCUUAUCGGACAAUGGUGGACAUGCAUAAGAAAGGCCACCAACCUGAGGAGGUACAUCACAUAAAUUUAUUACUCCUUGUCAAGGAUUUACUCUAGUCCCUUGUAAUUCUAGAGGCCUUCGUUACUACUGUGAUUUUAGAUAAUAAAAGUGGUCAUAAACAAAUGAACUUUCACUUUGGGACUGCAACGCGAAAGACUUAUCACAUAUAUGCUGUUUUGCAGGAACUCUGCUCCUCCCUAAUUUUUCAUCUUGGUAAAAUGAGAGCACACUCAGAAGCUCUCUGUUUACAACAUGUUAAAGAUAUAGCAAAAGAUCGAUGUGCAAUGCCCUUCAUGAGAAAAUUCUUCAUAUUUUAAUAUCCGAAAAGCUCCUCAAAGAUGCUUAUGUAGUAGUUAAGGUCUGCUAUAUUGUCUUACCAUUUUAGAUCGAUUCUUCAACUAUCCUUUAUAUGCUUUUCAACCUAAAUUACUCUUUUUUCAGGACAAUUCGUAGUCAAUUUAUCAUCCUGCUAUUAAGAAGUUUGCAUCUGCAUUUGUGAGGUUAGGAAAUAUUAACUUGGUUAAUGAUGUAAUGAAGGCAAUCCACGCAACUGGCUACAUGAUUGAUCAAGUAAGCAAUCAAGGAUUUGUAAAGCAAACACAAGCUCGCAUGCGCGUACGAGCGCGCACAUACACACACACGAGUAAAAGUAAUAAUUUAGAAAUAGCAUGAUAUAUAGCAGAACGUGAGAAGAAGGAAUUGCUGCACAAGUUGCUAGAAUGGAUGACGGGUCAAGGUUAUGUUGUUGAUUCUGUUGUGCGCAGAAUGCGAAAUCAAGCGCACUAAAUAAUUACUGAAAAAUAAAGGACACAAAAUUUACAUAGUUCGGUAAUUAAACCUACAUCCACGGAGGCAAGAAAGAAUAAUUGUUUAUUUAACAAUUAAUAGAGUAACGAAUCUCACUUCCCAUAAACCCAAAUAUACCCAAUACUCUCACACUCUGCAGGAAAGAUAAAUUCCCAAGACACACUUCUCUCACUCUCUCAAAAGCUUAAAAACUUAUAAGCUUAACAAUUUUGGGAUGUUAAACAAAUGAAGAAUGCUUAGCUAUUUAUAGGAAAAAUGUUGACACUAUUCAUGAAACAAAUAUCAAGAAAAAAACCGCAUUUCAAACGCGUCCAAACCGUGUCCACACCGCGUGCAAACCGCGUUCAAACCGUGUGCAAUGAGUGUUGCCACCACAUGGAUUUGACUUGACUUUUCAACAAAUCUCCACCUCGGCGAAAAUUUAUCCAAAUCUGAGCCGAUUGACAAUGAUCCUCCAAACUUCAUCCCUCACAUGAUCCUCAAAAGGAUCCACAUUGGUUGCAUCUAUCCGACUGCCUACGUACCCAAAGGUUGGGAUCAAGCCUGCCGUAGUUCCUGUUUCCCAAGGAAACGCCUCAACAUAAUCGAAGGAUCUGAAUUAAUUUCAAGCAAUGUUGAAACUUAAUUCCUGAAAUCACCUUUGUCAACAUGUCUGAUGGGUUAUCUCUAAUAUUGAUCUUUUUUAAUAACACAUCACUGCUCUCGAUAAUCUCCCUUACACAAUGAUAUUUCACAUCUAUGUGCUUCGUCCGAGAAUGAUACGUCUGAUUCUUUGCAAGGAAUAUCACACUUUGAUUAUCACAAAAGACCUUAAUGUUCUUUUGGAUAUUUCCAAAAUCACCCAACAAGCCUCUCAACCAUAUAGCCUCCUUGACAGCCUCAGUUAUUGCCAUAUACUCUGCUUCCGUAGAGGACAGAGCAAUUGUUGAUUGUAAAAUCGACCUCCACCCAAUGUAAAUACGUAGCCCGUUGUUGAUCUUCGCUUGUCAAGGUCUCCAGCGAAAUCAGAAUCACAAUACCCAACAAAUUGUUGACUACAAUCCUUCUUAAACAAUAACCCAAUAUUAACUGUCCCAUAUAGAUAUUAGAGAAUCUACUUUACUACAAGCCAGUGAUUUUUACCCGGAUUGUGUAUGUAUCUACUAACCAUGCUCACUGCUUGAGAUAUAUCAUGCCUUGUGCAUACCAUAGCAUACAUAAGACUACCCACAACACUAGCAUAUGGAAUACGAGCCAUGUAAUCACGCUCCUCUUGAGAUGUAGGACAUGAAGAAAAACUUGAUUUGAAAUGAGGAGUUAGAGGUGUGCAUACCAGUUUAGUUUUGUCAUCUAUAUCGAAUUUUUCUAGCACUUUCGUCAAAUAAGACUUUUGAGUCAACCAUACGCUCCCAUUCUUCUUGUCUCUAUGAAUCUCUAUCCCAAGUAUUCUCUGUGCAUCACCCAAGUCUUUUAUCUCGAACUCAUAAUCGAGCUGCUUCUUUAAUCUUUCGAUCUCAUCUCUAUUCUUCGAAGCUAUAAGCAUAUUAUCGACAUAGAGUAACAAAUAGAUGAAAGUUCCAUCUGGUAGUCUUCUAAAGUAAACACAAUGAUUGUGUUCACUUCUGGUGAAUUUAUGCCCUUAUAUAAAUUGAUCAAAUCUUUUGUACCACUGCCUUGGCGAUUGCUUCAGUCCGUACAAAGAUUUAAUCAACCUAAACACAUGAUUCUCCUUUCCAGCAACUCUGAAACCACAAGGCUGAAUCAUAUAGAUUUCCUCCUCCAAAUCUCCAUGUAAGAACUCGUCUUAACAUCCAAUUGAGCCAACUCUAACUCAUAUUCUACAACUAAGGCAAGUAUGAUACGAAUGGAAGUAUGUUUUACAACUGGAGAGAAACUUCAUUGUAGUCAAUACCUUAUGUUUGAGCAAAACCUUUUGCCAUGAGCCUUGCCUUGUAUCGAGGAAUUGUUUAAUUCGGAGAUCUUUGCUUUUUAGUGUAGACCCAUUUAUUGCCAAUAGCCCUUUUCCCUUUUGGUAACUUUAUAAGUUCCCAAGUUUGGUUUUAAUGGAGAGAUUUCAUCUCUUUCUCCAUGGCUAACUUCCACUGAUCACUUUCACUGCUGCAUAAUGCUUCACCGAAAGUGUUGGGGAUAUCAUCAUCAAUAACUGGAAGUGCAUAGGCUACCACCAUAUCUUUAGUAAGCCAUCAGGGUUUCUUUAUCUCUCUUCUUAGUCUCCUUGUUGCUAUAAAAUCAUCAUUAUCUACAUUAUCAAUUGUUUCUUCAUUUUGUGGGACAUCAGAAGAAAUAACCUCUUCUUCAACUCUAUGUGUCACCUACAUAGUUGAACCCUUCUUUGAUGUAGAACUAACUGGUACAUAUAGAGUUGUAUUAAACUCCACCCGCUGCAAUACCUCUUUCGUCUUGUUCUCCACCUGCUAAGAACUUGAAGCUUCAUCAAAUGUGACAUCUCUGCUACACACAAACUUUUUGUCUUCGAGAUCCCAAAGCUUGAAGUUCUUUACUCCACAUUUGAAUCCCACAAAGAUAACUUUUCUAGCACGAGGAUCCAGUUUACCAUCUUUGACAUGAUAAUAAGCUGGACACCCGAAUAUACGAAGGGAAUCAUAGUCUUGUGCAGGCUUUCCAGACCACAUUUUCAUAGGAGUUUCACCUCCAAUUGUAACAGAAGGCAACCGGUUUACCAAGUGACUUGCGUAGCUCAUAGCUUCAGCCCAAAACUUUUUAUUUAAACUAGUAUUAGAUAACAUACACCAUACUUUCUCCAGUAAAGUACAAUUCAUACGCUCAGCCACACCGUUCUGUGGCAGAGUAUGUCUCACCGUGAAAUGUCUUUUAAUACCCUCGUUCUGGCAUACUUGCAAGAAUGGAUCAGAAGUAUAUUCACCCCCAUUAUCAGAUCGUAAUACUUUGAUCUUUCUGCCAGUUUGAGUCUUGACCAAUUUCUUCCAUUUCACGAAAAUCUCUAGAACCUUAUCCUUUGCUCGCAUGGUGUACACCCGCACACGUCUAGAGAAAUCAUCAACAAAUGUAACAAAAUAAUGGCUUCCACCAAUUGAUCCAGUCUUGGUUGGUCCCUAUACAUCACUAUGAACAUAUUCAAGGAUCUCACGAGUAUCGUGAUUAGCUGUACCAAACUUGACCCUUGUUUUCUUGCUUACUACACAAUGCUCACAGAAAUUUAAUUUAUAGGUUUUGGUACAUUUUAAGAGUCCAUGUCUCAUCAAAGUUUGUAAAGACUUCUCUCCAACAUGUCACAGUCGUACAUGCCAUAGCGUGGUGGUGUCACUGUGCGCCUCAACAGUUGUCCCAACAUUUACUUUAUCAGUUGUACCUCCCUUCAAAUAGUAUAGAUUGUAACGCCGAACCCCUUGCAGAAUCACCAUAGUCCCAUGUGUAAACUUCAUUAUGCCAUCUUCAAUGGUAACCUUGUAGCCUUUAGCUUCCAAAGCACCCACAUAAAUUAGAUUUUUCUUUAAAGUUGGAACAAAUCUAACCUCUUUGAGUUCUCUGACCAUUCUAUCAAACAUUUUGAUCCGAAUUAUUCCUAUCCCCAUUGUGCGACAAGGUUGAUCAUUCCCCAUCACAACUGCACCAGAUUCCAGAUUACGAUAAUCUAUAAACCAUUCCUUAAUAGGACACAAAUGAUAGGUUGCUCCAGUAUCAAGUAUCCACUUGCUCGAACUAGCCACGUAUGCUGCAGGAGUAAUACUUAGUGAAUAAUCAGAGCCCUCAUCUUUCCGUGCCAUGUUUGCUGCUGCUGGUUUCUUCCCAUCUCUCUUUUGAGCCUUUGGACAAUCUUUCCUCCAAUGGCCCUUUUCAUGACAAAAGGCACACUCGUCUCGAGCUAUAUUUCUGCUUCUCGAUUUGGAUCGAGAAUUCUUUCCACCACGCUUCUUCUGUUUCUCCAUCGCCCAAUCUCUACUCACCAAGACUUCAGACGAUGCUCGUUCAGAAUUUUUAUCAUUAUUCCGAAUCUUUAAGCUAGUCAAUGUUGUGCAAACAUUUUUAAAGACGAUCACACUCUUUCCAUAUAUCAAAGUAGUCACAAAAUGGCUAUAUUCCUCUCGUAGUAAGUGUAACAGAAUCAUAACCUUGACUUCGUCCUUAAUAUCUUCAUCAAGAUUCUUCAAAUCAGCAAGUAACUUUUCAAAUCUUGAGACAUGAUCGUGCAUUGACACCCCAGGCUUUAUUCGAAAGCCAUAUACUUGGCUCAUUCCAUGAACACGAUUUUCACAACUUUUCAGCAGCUACAUCUCCUCCAAUGUACGCCACAAAGUCACCGCACACUCCCCAUCUUUCACCAAGUAUUGCACCUCCUUAGUCAAACAAGAUCUGAUCUGACCACAAGCUUUCUCGUUCAUACAAUCCCAAAUUUCUUCAUCAUACAAAUGUCUUUUAUUUUUCAGAACAACAUCGAGAUCGAUUUAAAUAAGGGCAUCCAUAACUUCGCGCCUCCACAUGCCAAAGUUGAUUUUCCCAUCAAACUUUUCAACAUCGAUCUUUUGACCUCCUAUAACAGGUGCUGCAUAGCGAUUUGACAAAUCUCGCCUCGCACCUGAAGUGUCUUCUAAAAUAGUCUCGGUAGAUCUCUGAUUGACACUAAAAAGUGUACAUUUAAUAAGAAUAAAAUUAUUAGUUUUUCACUUAUUGUGUCGAUUAAUGCGUUCAUUAUUUUUAAACUAUUUUAAUACUCCCCAAAUAUAUUUUAUGUUAAAUUAAUUCGUAAUUUGUUAAUUUUUAUCUUGUAAAUAUUUUUCAGGAAUAAAGAUGGAAUUGUAAUUGAAAGCGGGAACAAAAAAGAACUACUGGAACAAAAUUGAAGAGAUGUAAUAAUAAAUAAUAAAUAAAUAAAAAGAACAAAAGAACAAAAACGUUUUGGUGAUGGUCAGGAGGCCAUUACGCCUCCUGACCAUCACACAUUUCAACACACUUAUAUAUUUUAAAAUAAUAAUAAAAUAAUAAAUAAGUAAUAAAAUAAAAUAAAAGUUAAAGGCAAUUGUUGCCUAUAAAAAGGGGACGCGAGGGAGAAGUUGGGGCGGAUUUUUUCAAAAGUAGAGAGAGCUAAUUUGAGAGCUGAAGCCGAGACUGAAGAUUUUCUUUCUUUCUUUUCUUUUCUUAUUUCCAUUUGUAUCAAUUUUCUUUGUAAUAUGUUUCAAAAAGUUUAUCAAAUAAAAAGAGUGUUGUGUUUUCUUUCAAAAUGAGCAGCUAAUUUUAUUAAGCUGAGGUGAAAGGUGAAGCUCAAUGUUUUAAACUAUUAAGUAUUAUUUUCUCAAAUGAGUUUUUAAAGUUUAUUUAAUUCUUUUCUAAUUAUUUUUAUGUCAUGUUAAUUUAUAAAUCUCACUGGAUUUUAUGUUAUUUUGACAUAAUAUCGACACAUUAAUAUAAUGUGGCACAUUAGGUAUUUUAUUCUAUAUUUAUCCACACACAUAGAAUUAAAUGAUAUAAUAAUUAAUUAGUAAAAGUGAGGCAAAAUAUAAAUGAGAGAGUAUUAAAAUUAUAGUUUGAAUACAGAGAGUGGAUCCUAAACCUUAGCUUAUUUUUAAAUCAAUUUCAAAUAAUUUCUUUGCCCCGCAAUUAAUUUUCUUAGUUUUACUAGAUUUAAAACUCUAUGUAGUUCGACCCCGUUCUCACCGGGUUAUAUUAUAACUAGACACUCUUAUACUUGAGAGUAAUACACUUUUGAGUCGUGUCAAUCUCUCCCCAAUUCUGGAAGUUUUACCUUCUACCAUUUUCUCAACAAAUUAUUUCCACUUGAAAAAUAACCUCUAUGAUGUUAAUUUCGCGUGAAUAAAUGCACGAGGAAAGUUCUCAGGAAACUAGACGGGAACUUGGUCCCAAUUAAAAACCAGAAUCCUUAGACUCUUAUCGCCUUUUUUGACAGAACUUUCCUAGACAUGCAAAAAUACACACUACUUACAAUAGAUUGUCUUUCAAGUACAAAUGGCCGUCUCCACCGUAUUCGUGAACAGUACCGUAUGUGAAUAGUGCCGUAUACGUGAACAGUACCGUAUCCCCCAAGUACGAACCUAGCUCUGAUACCACUUGUUGUGCGCGGAAUGCGGAAUCAAGCGCACCAAAUAAUUACUGAAAAAUAAAGGACACAAAAUUUACGUGGUUCGGUAAUUAAACCUACAUCCACGGAGACAAGAAAGAAUAAUUGUUUAUUUAACAAUUAAUAGAGUACAAAUAUUUGAGUAACGAAUCUCACUUCCCAGAAACCCAAAUAUACCAAGUACUCUCACAUUUUGCAGGAAAGAUAAAUUCCCAAGAAACACUUUUCUCACUUCUCUCAAAAGCUUAGAAACUUAUAAGCUUAACAAUUUUGGGAUGCUAAACAAAUGAAAAAUGUUUAGCUAUUUAUAGGAAAAAUGUUGGCACUAUUCAUGAAACAAAUAUCAAGAAAAAAACCGCAUUUCCAACGCGUCCACACCGCGUUCAAACCGUGUGCAAUGAGUGUUGCCACCACAUGGAUUUGACUUGACUUUUCAACAGAUUCAUCAACAAGAAACCUGAUACUCAAAAACUCACACUUAUUCGGGCGGCAGCUCAUCGCUGAUAUACUGUCCAAGCAACAUAUGAAGUCAAAAUCGUCAAGAACUCUGAAAGAAUGAGCAAUUUGAUAUUAAUUAAUGCUCGAGUUCUAGAUAAAGAAAUGAAUAUGGCUUACGUUUUACCCUAUCAUGCUAUAAGCUAGCAUGUCUCUGUUAUGUGUUAAAAGUUAAAACUCUAAUAUUUUACUACAUAGAGCGGUUAAUCAAAAGAUAAAAGAAAAAGGGGGGGGGGGGGGUGUUGUUGGAAAAGAAAGAAAUCAGACAGGGAUUAAAAAGAUCUAGCAUUGAAGGUGAUGAAAUCCUACUAUACUUGGAAAUUAUGAAUUUACCCUUCAUCUUCAAGCUCCCAAGGCCUGCAACUUAGGUCUUUAACUUGCAAAAGACAGUUUAUUGCUACGCGCAAGUUAGCAUUUGGUUCAUGAGAAAAUUUGUCAAUAAAGUGUAAUGAAGCUGUACCAGAGUUGUAGCAAGAAUGUUUCUCUAGAGACCUACUUAUCGUCUUCUCUUUCUCUCCUUGGAUGGGAGAGUGUUUGGAUUCACUUAUUUUUUUUAAUUUUUUUUUUAUUUUUCUGGUAGAGUCGCUUGGAUCCCUUUAUUAAUAUCCUAAAUCUGGAUUUAUGGUCCCAAUUAGUUUGACACUUUUAUUUGUAACUGCCAUAUCAAGUAAGUUAUUAAUCAUUACAGAGAAAAUUGAAGCACUGAGAUCCCUAGUUUUAAUAUUCUAAUUAUAGUUGUUGCUAAGAUUACUAUCGCUAGCUUGCAAUUAAUUCAGCUUAAGUUGUCGAUUUCCUACAAGCAAAAAAGAUGGUCAUUGAGCGUCCUUGUAAGGACACUGACACCUCUGUAAAGGAACUUGGAGACCCUCAUAUUUUCUAAAAAAGGAUACAGACCUCUUUUUGGACAUACAAAAAAAAGUUUUUUUAGACAAACUACAGACCUCUUUUUGGACAUACAGAAAAGUUUUUUUAGACAAACUUUGGGGUUCAAUGUGAGACGAUGAUUGUAUUUGAACACAAAAGAUAUUUAAAAAAGUACGUCCCGAAUAAUUGCUAUUUGUGGAGGCUCAUUUUCAAGAAAUUGUUAGAAGUUUUAGGAAAGGACGAAAUCUCUAGUCGUAAGAGAGCAUUGCCAUUUAUGGAUCAAUGUCCAAAUGAAUUUAGAGGUUCACCUCAGAAGGCUUUUAUAAUUUCAGUAUUUAUUUUAUAAUUUAUUGAUUUCAUCAAUCAUUCUAGGAAUUCCAGGCUGAGUCGCAAAUGUAGUCUCAAUCAUGUGACGGUGUCAUGAAAACUUUUAUUCUUUUUCUAUAAUUGGGAGGAGAUAUUUUUUCUCUCCAACAAGACUCGUGAUAAUAAAGAUACCAAAAUGUACAUUAUUAGUCAAAUGUAUUUCUAUUAUUGAUCAAUAUAAGGAUCAAUAAGAGAGGAAAAACUGUGGUGCAACUGUGGUACCGUGCCACAGUUACACUCAGCCAUUGGAUUCUAAUGGACCCCACUUAUCCAAAUGGAUCUAACGACUGGAUACAAUUGUGACACGGUACCACAAUUGCACCGUAGCCAGACCCCAAUAAAAGAUGUUUUACUUGAAUUAGAAGAAAUUAGUGAAGAUUCUAAAAUAAAGAGAGAAGUUAAGUGCUUAGCAACAUAUGAAUUAAAAGAUUUUGAAUUCAUAUUAGAUGUGAUUAUUUAGUACGAUAUUAUUUGCUGUUAACUCUGUAAGAUCGAUCUUGCAAAAAGAAGAUACGCAUAUUGAUAUUGCUAGAGAUAAGUUUAAAGGUCUUUUUUCCUUCUUCGAAAGAAAAUAGAGAAAAUGGGUCCAUGUCUGCUAUGAUUUGAGCUAAAGAAAUUGCAAGUUAAAUGGAAAUAGAACCUAAAUUUCAUGAAAAAUGUAUAGCUCGUAGUAAAAGAACAAAUUUGGUGAAAAUAUUAGUGAAGAGGAAAUUUUGCCUCUCAAAGAGUCUUUUAGAAUUAAUUAUUUUAUAUACAUAAUAGAUCAAGCCAUCUCUUCAAUAAUAAUAUAUUUGAAUAAUUUCAAAUUUAUGAUAAUUUAUUUGGGUUUUUGUAUAAUUUCAAAAAAUUACAACUGUUAAGUGACUAUAUUUUAAAAACUUAUUGUUUUAAUCUUGAAAAUACUUUAAAACAUGAUACGCUUUUUGAUAUAGAUAGUUUAAAUUUGUUUUGAGAGUUGAGAAUUUUAAACAAGUUUUUCAAGGUGAAAAAAUACUGCUUAAUUAUUUAAAAAAAUUUGAUUCUUUUCCAAAUGCAUAUAUUACUUAGAGAAAAUUAUUAACAAUACUAGUAAGAAUUGCUUCUGUAGAAAGAAAUUUUUCAAAAUUAAAAUUGAUAAAAACUUAUUUAAGAUUAACAAUGAUACAAGAAGAUUAAAUGGACUAACUAUAUUGUUUAUUGAGAAAAAUAUAUUAGCAAAAUUAGAAUAUAAAAAUUUGAUCAAUAUUUUUGCAUCUCAAAAAAUUAGAAAAUUUGAGUAAAAUUAAUACAUGUAUUUAACCUUAAUUUUUUUUUGAAAAGUCUAAUUGAAAUAAUUCCCCUAAAAACCCAUAAUUGAUUGAGCCGUUACUGUCUACAAGACUCUAAAAAUAAAGAUACCAAAAUGUACAUUGUUAGUCACAUGUAUUUCUAUUAUUUUUAUUUUUCAUUAAACUUCUGAAGUUGUGAUUUGAUGGUUGAUAAUUUACUUCAUCUUGUGUCAAAAAAGAGAGGCUCCCCGAACAAGCCCACACCAACUAGUCUAAUUUUGUAAGCGCAUGUGAUUAUGAAUUGCUCAUUGAUGUUGUAUGUUAUCACUGUGUCAAAAAGGAGAGGCUUUGACUCCCUGACAGGCCAAUACCGACUAGACUAAGGGUGCGUUUGGGAUUGAAGUUGGGCAGCUGUAACUUUUAAACUACAACACUAAAGUGUUUGGUAAACACUAACUGCUGUAGUUUGAAAGUUAUAUUAAUAUAAUUUUUCACUUGUAUAAUAGAAAAUCUAUUAUAUCUUUAAUAAUUUUGUCAAAAUUAUUAAUUAAAAUUUAUAUUUAUUACAUAUUAUUAAUUUUUAUUUCAUAGUCACAACUUUUUUUUCACAGCAGCUGUAGCUUAAAAGUUACAGCACCUCAAUCCCAAACGCACCCUAAUUUUUCAUAUGCAUGUGGCUCAUGCACCGCACUACAGUGUAAUGCAGCAAAAUUAAAAGGAAAAAAAUGAAAUAUGUUGUCUCUUUUUUAUGAGAAAUUCUAGCAUAUGUGUAUUUAAAUUUUAUAUAACCACUAAUUAUAUAUCAGUUCUUUCAAAUAAAUGUACUUAUAUUAUAUAAUUAUUUAUUUAUUAUAUAAAUGACAUAAUAUCUUAAAGGUAUUUUAAAAUUUCUUUUCUAUCCUUCUUGUCAUUUUCGACUAUUAUUCAAUGCGGUGGCAUUUUACAAGCUGAUAUGGUGCCUCACAAAACUCUUUUGUUUUGAGUUUGAUGAUCCUUAGGAAAUGGCACAAAUAUCUCUUCUAAUGGUAUUUUAUAGGCUGUUGAUGAAAAGUAGCAUGUGUUUUGGAAGACUAAUGGUAUUUGCAUUUUGUUUGCAAAUUCUAAUAAAGUCGGGCUACACAGGAUUUUUGAAUAAAAGCUUGUUUAAUCUCUACAUUUUGGGGUUAAUGUCUUUUUAGUCACUAUAUUUUUAGAAGCAUCUCAAAACAUCCCUAUUAUUAAAUUAUUGACAUCUUGCCAUUAUUUUUGUUCCUUUUCGCUUGCUUUUAUAUACUACCCUCUUACAAUAAUAUUUAUUUUUUGGAUAUUAAUAAAAAGAAAAAAAUAAAUUACCUAUUUAAUCCUAAAAAAUUAAUGUUGAAUACUCUACUGAGGAGUUACUAUAUUAAUUUUUUUUAUUAAUGUCCAAAAAAAUUGGUAAUUUAUUUUUUUAAAUAUUAAUUUUUUUGACAUACAUGAGCUUCCAGAAAAAUUAAUAUAUAUAUUUUAUUUUUAGGGUUAAAUUGAUAAUUUAAUUUUUUUUUUUAUUAAUGUUAAAAAUUUUUGAAAUUUAUUAAUUUGUUUUCCGCAAAAGUACUUUAUAACUGUAACAAAUAGAAUUUCGUUGUUAGUCCUCAACAUUAAGAUAUUGUUUGCAACUUUCUGUUCCUUUUUUUUCUUUAAACUUACUUUGUGUGAUCUUAUUUCUGCAUAAAACAAGAUUUUAAUGUAAUAAAUAGAACUUUUAUUGGUAGAAUUGAAUUUAUGAAUUUCUUGUCAUUUCUGUGUGCAUUUAUUGUGUAGUUUAUGGAAAGACUCUUUAAAAAAUUUGUAUGCAGGAAAAAAAGAAAAAGAAAAAUAAAUAAAGAUUAUACAACAUUCAUCCGAAUGUGCGGAUGAUGUAUGUGUCUUCUGUCACAAUAUUGACCUCGUUCGCACAGUAUGAUGUACGCCUUCCACCCCCCCUCCCCCCCCCCUCCCCCCCCCCCCAUGUGAAUAAAAUACUUUGUACGAUUAAGACUUAAAAAUUAAACGCUUUCAAAACUCAGAAAAAAAUGAGUAAGAAAAAUAAAUCACAUGAACUUCUCUGCCUAUAUAUAUGUAUAUGUAUAUAUAUAUAUAACCUCGGGCAUCACCACAAACCAUAGAAUAAUUUGAGAAUCUUUGCCAAGCAUAACUGUAAGCUAGCUUACAGUACAUCUUAAUAUCCAAUGUCUUCUUGCAUUAAUCCCCCAACCUUGGUUACCUCUGUAAAUGGUUUCAAAUGUCUUCCUCUUGCAACAAAUAGAGCAGCCGUCAGAAUCAUGGCCAAAAAUAAGCCAGUCCAAUGCCUUGUCCGCGCCAAAUAUGACAAUUUGACAGUUGAUAGGAGAUCAGCAAACUACCAACCUUCAAUUUGGGACCAUGAUUUUUUGCAGUCAUUGAAUAGCAACUAUACGGUAUUCUUAUUAUAAUUGUUAUUAUUACGUAUUAAUUUCCUUUGUUCAUUUCAAAUUGGCACCAUGAAUAGCUAAAAACUAAAUGCUGUGCGUGUACAGGAUGAAUCAUACAAAAGACGAGCAGAAGAGCUGAAGGGAAAAGUAAUGAUAACGAUUAAGGAUGUAACCGAGCCUCUGGAUCAGUUGGAGCUGAUUGAUAACUUGCAAAGACUUGGAUUGGCUCAUCGUUUUGAGACUCAGAUUAGGAACAUAUUGAAUAAUAGCUACAACAAUAAUUAAGAUUAUAAUUGGAGAAAAGAAAAUCUGUAUGCAACCUCCCUUGAAUUCAGACUACUUAGACAACAUGGCUAUCCUGUUUCUCAAGGUACAUUUCAUUAAUUCGCUUCCUUCUUCAUGCACAUGCAUGAUCUGAAUACUUGAAUCGAUCUCUCUGUUUUUCUUUCUUUUUUUUGAUAAUGUAAAGAAAUGGACGAAACCCAAAUCAGUUUUAUAUCUCUCUAUGUCCUGAGAAUUCGAACUCGACAAGGGCGCCGCUGGGGAUACUUCAAUCGUUCUCUAAUUAAUAUAUGGAUAAAAAUUUUUGACGAAUGUAACGUUUUUUGGUUGAGUGCUGCAGAGGUUUUCAAUGGUUUUAAAGACGACCAGGGAGGCUUCAUUUGUGAUGAUUUCAAGGGAAAACUGGGCUUGCAUGAAGCCUCGUAUUACAGCUUAGAAGGAGAAAGCAUCAUGGAGGAGGCCUGGCAAUUUGCCAGUAAACAUCUUAAAGAAGUGAUGAUCAGCAAGAGCAAGGAAAAGCAUGUAUUUGUAGCAGAACACGCAAAGCGUGCACUGGAGCUCCCUCUGCAUUGGAAAGUGCCAAUGUUAGAGGCAAGGUGGUUCAUACACGUUUAUGAGAAAAGAGAGGACAAGAACCACCUUUUACUUGAGCUCGCUAAGUUGGAGUAUAACACUUUGCAGGCAAUUUACCAGGAAGAACUUAAAGACAUUUCAGGUAUCCAUUUGAUUGCAUAAAUUAUUCUUAGGUGCAGACUCCACCUUUUACAGUAAAGGCAUGAGUUUGCACUAUAUAUAGUGCAGGCAUUUGCACCAGAAAAUGACUCCAAGAAAUCUCAGGUCAGAGGAUGACUCUAUAUAUAAACAUAUUGUAAAGCCACGAGUCAUGCGCUUUGUAAAGUGCGUAUGUCUGCAUUAAAGAAAGACUCUUCAGAAUUAAGAGCUGACUCCAUGUAUAUCGAUAAAUAUAUAAUAUGUGCCGGAAUAUUCGUUUUAGUUUUCCUAUGAAGGUGGUGGAAGGAUACAGGCCUUCAAGAGAAAUUGAGCUUCGCGAGGGACAGCUUGGUAGCAUCUUUCUUAUGGAGCAUGGGGAUAGGGUCUGAGGCUCGAUUCGCCUAUUGCAGGAGAAUAGUUACAAUUGCAAUAGCUCUAAUUACAGUGAUUGAUGACAUUUAUGAUGUUUAUGGAACUUUGGACGAACUUGAGCUAUUCACUGCCGCUGUUGAGAUGUUUGUUGGCAAACUAAUGUUAUAUCUAAUCGAUUAAUUCAAUUGCUACUCAAAUUAGUAGACCAUUUAUAAGAUUUUUUUUUCUCUUUUCUACAGGUGGGACAUCAAUUAUGCUUUGAACCACCUUCCGGACUACAUGAAAUUGUGUUUUUUUGCGCUUUACAACUUUGUUAAUGAAUUUGCUUAUUACGUACUCAAACAACAGGAUUUUGAUAUGCUUCGGAGUAUUAAAAAUUCAGUAUGUAAAAUGUUAAUUUCACCUCUCCCGCCGUUCCGUUCCUUUGAUUUAUCCUUUUUAAAUUACGAUGUUUUUGUCUAAAAAAUAAUAAAUUGUAACUAGCUUUAUUUUCUAUGUCAUGUGCAUCAGUGGCUUGGCUUAAUUCAAGCCUACUUAGUGGAGGCAAAAUGGUACCAUAGUAAGUACACACCAACACUGGGAGAAUUCUUGGAAAAUGGAUUGGUAUCAAUAGCAGGCCCUAUAGUAACAAUGAGUGCGUACCUUUCUGGUACAAAUCCAAUCAUUCAGAAGGAACUAGAAUUUCUAGAAAGCAAUCCAGAUUUAGUUCACUGGUCGUGCAAGAUUUUUCGUCUUCAAGACGAUUUGGGAACUUCAACGGUAUGUUUUCUUUUAUUUUCUUUUGAUUCUUAAGAAGAUAGAAAUUGAAUUAAUCCUCUAUAUACGAAUUGAUUGUGUAUUUUUUUUCCCCAAUAAUUCAUCAGGAUGAGAUACAGAGAGGGGAUGUUCCGAAAUCAAUCCAGUGUUACAUGCAUGAAACUGGUGCCUCGGAGGAAGUUGCUCGUAAACACAUCAAGGAUAUGACGAGACAGAUGUGGAAGAAGGUGAAUGCAUACAGAGCUGAUAAAGAUUCUCCCUUAUCUCAAAAUACAGUUGACUUCAUGUUGAAUCUUGUGAGAAUGUCCCAUUUUAUGUAUCUACGUGGAGAUGGGCACGGUGCUCAAAACCAAGAGACUAUGGAUGUAGCUUCUACAUGGCUUUUUCAGCCCAUUCCCUUGGAGGAGAAACACAUGGCUUUCACAGCACCAAAGGCUGAUGAAUUCCUAGAGUGCAGUCUCAGUUGAUGUUGGCCAGACUUUUCUUUCUAUUGGGGGAUCGCUUUUCUAUAAUAUAAUAAACUCCCCCAUUCAUCGAGGCCUAUAAAUGAAAAGAAAAUGAUAUUUAUAUAUGUUGCUUUUAUUGAGAAUAAAAGUCUUCAGUAUAUGCAUAUACUUAAGUCAGGCUCAUUCCAAUUCCUACAAGAUAAUUAUUUGCUAGCUAAAACAUGAGGAUGGAUGAAUUUGUUAAGUCUGCAGUUAUACUCGAUCAUUCAAGCAUGGUUCAUAGCAUGUUAAGCACAAGGGCUACUUUCAGUAUACAUGCAUCACCCAUUUAAAUCGCAUUUGACAAAUCAUACCGAUUUAAAUUAAAUGAGGAUAGAAAUUAGAGCUGUGGCAUUUAAAGAAAAAAGUUACAAGGAUCAAAAAGUAAAUAUAACAAAAAAAUGAGUUCCUAAUUAUUGGGUUAGCUUAGAGACAGGAGCGCCUAAUUAUUGGAUUAGUCCAUUUUAAUUAUCUUCUAUUAUCAUAUUCAUUUCUAGAAACAAAUAUCCAACAAUGUCGUUUGUGUUUAUAAAAUAUGAGCGCAGAGACUUGGGUUCAAUCUUUCUAGCCCUCUCAAAACUUCGCCUUUAGCUACACAUAAGUUAGGACUUAAAUCAAAAUUCAAAUAUUGAAAUCUUUAUUUUUAUUUUUAUUUCAUUAUUUGUUUUAUGCCAAUAAGAAAAAUACAAAUAAUUUCUUUUCAUGGGCCCGACAGUUGACUCUGUUGUACUGGAAAUUUACAAAGCAAUGAGGUUGAUUGUGACUGCUGCCAGUUAACCGAAGUCGAAAAGCCACAUGCAGCACCGACUCAAAACUAUUCUAACUAAAGGCUACGACUACUACGCACCAGUUCCAUUGAUAAACCCCAUGGAAUUAAAUAUAUGGAAAAAAAUAAUAACCAUAGGAUUUAAAGCAUCGUACAAUCAACGGUUGAUGUUGAUUGAGGGAACCGGAAGAACUAGGAGGUGGUGGUCCGGUUGAUGUUGAAGAGGCAAAUUGGCUGGGUAUUUUGAAGUCAAGUAUGACAAAUGUGAUUUAAAUUGCAUGCUUUAUGCCUACUGCAGAGCAGGUGCUAUGGAGAGCGUAAUGCAUGUUAUGAGGAAAUUGGACGAAUUAGUCCGGAUUAAAAUUCCCAUCAUGUUCUAAUCAAAUAUUUCUCCAAUAAGAAGUUUUAUAUGCUUGCUUAUCGGACUAUGAUGGACAUGCAUAGUAAAGACCACCAGCCGGAGGAGGUAUGAAAGUGGUCAUAGACAAAUGAACUUUUACUUCGGGAUUGCAACGCGAAAGACUUAUCACAGCUAUGCUGUUUUGCAAGAACUCUGCUCUUCCCUAAUUUUUCAUCUUGGUAAAAUGAGAGCGACACUCAGAAGCACUCUCUGUUCACAACAUGUUAAGAGGCAGCAAAAGAUCGAUGUGCAAGGCCCUUCAUGAGAAAAUUCUUCAUAUUUUAAUAUCCGCAAAACUUCCCAUGUCUUACCAUUUUAGAUCGAUUCUUCAACUGUCAUUUUUAUGCUUUUUUUAAUUAAAAAUCUGUGGGGCCUGGAGUAGUUAUAUUCUGUUAAGAGUGAAUGACGUGGCGUGCUGAGCUGGUAUUAGUGCGACCAUCUGCUGUUAAAGUCAUUAUUAUGUAUAACAACUCAUGCUUUUACUCUUUAAGAGAUAUAUAAGAGGUAUUGCAGCGUGCAGACUGGGGUCAAGAGAGUGAUGAUAUGAUAGUCCUAGUGAGAGAGGGAGAAAAAAUCUCAAUAGAGAAGAUUUAAUCUCUGUAAUCUCAAGAAUCUUCUGUAACUCAUAUCUUUCUAAUAAAGUUUCAAAGCAGAGCUGAUUUCAACCGUGGAUGUAGGCAUCUUGUUGCCGAACCACGUUAUAUGAUCUUGUUAUUUUUCUUUCCUUUUCUUUUAAUCUCUUGUUUGCUCGUUGUUCUGGUUUAUAUCAGUUUCUGUUUUCUUGGUUUGAUUCAGUCUUGGAAAGACUUUCUUUUGUUCAGAACUUAACAAACUGGUAUCAGAGCUAGGUAUUUAGCUGAUCUUGGAUCUACAACGGCUACCACCUUAUUUGAUCUUGAAAAGUUCAAUGGGGAGAUAGCGAAGUGUUGGUGAGAUAUAUGGCAGCUAGGGGGAUUUGUCUCGGUAAAAGGAGUCACAGAUGGUGGGCAAUAAGUGGUGUCUGAGUUUUGGUUGUGCUUGUGCGUACUGGUGCCUGAGGGGUUCGGUGGCAGCGGGAGGGUGAGAGGCUGCUGACAGCUGUUUGGAGUACAAAAGGUUCAAAGGUGGUUCCGUCAGCAAGUAAUCGCCACCAACGGAGACAGGCAAUGUGGCGACAGCGUGGAGCAUAUUUUGAAAGGUUUGUUGCAGUCUAAGGUUUAUGGUUUAAAGUGUUAAUAGUUGUUGUGAGGGCUGCUGAUCAGUGGGGAUGUCGCCAAAAAUUAGAGAAGGUUCUGGCGGUAGAGAAUCACUACAAGAAAACAUGCAAUAGAUAACAGACAGUUUAUGACAGAUUCAACUUAUAUCAUAAUAGUAUGACAGACUCGUGAUAGAAUUUUCAAUCUAUCAUGAAUUAAUGAUGAUUUUGUGACAAUAUUAUUUUCUAUCACAAAUUUAUGAUGUUUUUAUGAUAUAAUUAUUGUUUAUCACAAAUUUAUGAUAGAAUCGUGAUAAAAAUUUUCUUUGUCAAGAAAUUAUGAUAAAAAAUUUACUUUGACCAUGUUUGACCUAAAGUUUAAUAUUUUAUUUUAUUUAAAAAAAGGGUGCAUUUUAAUAAUUCAAACAUGAAAAAAAGAGAAAAGAAAAACACUAAUGUCUUGACCCACCAAGCCCCAAAAUCACUAACACUCACACCCAAACACUCAUCACUCUCUCACGGCCAAACCCUAGAAAUCAACCUUGCACUCAAUCGAUCGAGCAAAACGCCAUCCUUUCGCCGCCAUUCAAUUAUAUUGUAACUAUGCCGGCAAUGUUGUUUAAAAAUUGUAGCCCGUUGCUGUCGGCACCAUUUUGCUAGUAGUACUAAAAUGCUGGGUUUGUUGCUACUGUGUCGCGCAGGGUUCGAGUGGCUGCUGGUACGUCGCGUGAGAGUGGUUGCUACUACGUCGCGCUGCUGAUGCUGUUGGGUCGCUAUUGCAUCGCGUGCCGCUGGGUUGUUGAUGGGUGAUGGCUGUAAUUGUUGUUUGGGUGUGUGAGGCAGUGAAGGUGUGGCUGUUGGCUGUUGUUUGUUGUUGCUUCACGGAUGGUAGGGUGAGUGAUUUUGGGGAUUUAGGUUUUUGGCUGUUGCUUCGUGUGAGAGAGAGGGCGGCUGAGGGAGGCAAUUUGGUUAUUUGGGGAUUUAGGUUUUUGGUUGUUUUAUUUUGCUUUGUUUUUUUAUUUUCUAGUUUUUUUCUCUUUCAAUUUUAUAUAUAUUAUAAAGCCUCUUUGUAAAUAAAAAAACCAAUAAUAUAUGUCAUCGACUACAAUGGUAUUCUUUUACACCAUUUUUUUGACAAUCGAAUUCCUCUUUUCAUCUUGGCUUCCACUUGUGAAUUUCUAUCUGGUUCAUGCUUUUCUCGUUACCUGUGCUAGGUGGUGAAAUUUUUGGUAGAACAGAACAACAAUAAUGCUCUUCAUGGUCAAGUUACAAUUGGAACACUUAUUUUACAGGUACUGUUUAAAAAUAUAUUAAUGAUAUUCGCUUACAAUUUAUGGACACGCACUAGUAAGAUUCAGGUUUUGAAGCAUAUUUAGCCAUUUCUUGACCUUGGGUUAUUUCAAGAUUGUAAAUAGUUUAGUUAAUCAAGUUCUUGGUGUAGAAUGUAUAUUCUGUAGUUUAUGCAUUGGCACUCUGAGUAUUUCUUCUUCUAGCUAUAGUCAUUCUAGUUACUGCUAAGGAAAGUAAACAAAUAAAUAAUGGCCAGUUGGUAAUGUGUACGGGGACACUUAGUUCAUAGGCUAUUUUGACAGGAUUUUCUUGGAAGUAGACUGGAUGAAUAUAAAAGGAUGCAUAAAGGUGAUAUAAUGUUGAGUGAGUAAAUUAAUUCGAGAAUGGUUGUGGUACUGCUUUAGUUCUGAUUUGAUAAAACCUAUGGUAAUCAGUCCAACAAUACUUCACUACAAAAUUUAGUUUUUUUUUGUGAAAGCUGAGAACUUUCACAUCAAGAGAUUUUGAAGAAACCCUAGCCUAAAAAAACAGUAUGUUCCUCUUUAACUUUUCCAUUUUUUUAACUAUCAGUCCCUCAUUAUGAUAUUAACUUUCUAAUGAAAAGUUUUUCAUCUAGCUCAUUAAGCGUAGGUGAAUUGGUAGAUAUUCAGUAAACUACUAUUAGUUAUUAUCUGAUAGAGAUUCUUGUGGUGUAUUUGUUCUUCUGUUUAUUUUGCGAUCAUUAUUCCAGGUAACAAGUUCCUUUUUGUUUCAUUCAUCACAGGUUGAAACUUUUGCACAAUUUGGUGUUGUCUUCCUUCUUUUGCUUUGGGGCUAGAGUUUUCUUUGACAAAGGUACAUCAUUUUGUGCUUGGAAAGUGUAUGAUAAUUAUUGACAACAUUUUCCUUCUUUGUUCAUAAAAUCUGUUCCAAUUCCAUAAUUCAUCAUCAAUGCAGUUAAAAGCAGUGGGACAUGUCGCUGUUCUUGGAGGCCUACUACAAAUUGCAAUAUUUAUGUUCUUGUGUGGCAUAACGGCUGCAGUAUGUUGCUUAGCCUCUGAUUUGGUUUUUGUUACAAUUUCUGUUGGUUGAGAUAAGCUUGUCAAAGUUGGUUGUUUGGUUUCCUUUUCAUUGGUUGAUCAGUUCAGCUGGAUCUGGAUGCCAUUGCUUUUUAUGACUUUAUGAUUUAUUUUUGUCUCCUCACACUGGUCUACUGUUGUGGCUUCCUUUGCAUUUUUAGCUAGCUUGCUGAUUUUGAUGAAUUCCCAUUCACCAAAAGUAAUUUUAAUCCAUUGAGUAUGUACAUUUUGCUCAUUCCAUAAAAGUGAAGUCAGUUUAAAUCAAAUAGAUUACUAUAUUUGAUGCACACAUGUAUUGCAGCCUCUUAAUUUUCCGUAUUCUGCUUGGUGUUUGAAUCAAUUUUGUUCAUAUGAAGCUUGUAAGUCGCUUUGUAAGUUUCAAUUUUCGUUUAGAGUGCUAUCGGAAGAUGAUAUUGUUGCUGGAAUUUUUACAUGAAGUCUUGCUAGAAAUCUUAUUGUUGGAGUACUUGCAUUAAUCUUGGGAAGUUUUGUUGGGUAACUUGGCUUGGUGGCUGGAAUUCUUAUUGCUUUUCUUAGAGUUUGAUUGGAAUUUGACUGCAAUUUUAUAUUUUGGGAUGACUUUUUUCAAUUUUGGAUGUUUUAUUAUGUAUUAGUGGAGAUCACAUUGGAUAUUAGAUGUAUUUCUUUUUAAAUUAAUUUUUGGAUUGAAUGAUUGUUAAUUGAUAUUAAUUUUUUUAUGAUUUUUUUUUAUUAAUUAAUUAAAUUUGUAAACAGGAAUUCAUUAAAUAAAUUAUAAUAUAAUUUUAGAAAAAAAUCAAAACUUUAUGAUGGAAAAGACAUCAUAUAUUCUAUCAUAAAUAAUUUCCUGCCAAAAUUGAAUAAUAAAUUUUCAAAUAAUAAUUGAAUUUCUCACUAAAAAAUUAAAAAAAUGGCACGAAAAUUUAAAUAAAUUUAAUUAGUUUUUUACAUGAAAAUAUUAUGUGACAGAUAUAUGACUAUGAAAUGCUAUCAUAAAUUCAUGACGGAAAAUAUUCUGUCAUAAAUUAAUGACAGUGACAUAGAUGACGGAUGAACUGUCUGUCAUACACCCCCUUUUAUGACAGUUAUUUCCUAUCAUCUAUUGCAUGUUUUAUUGUAGUGAAUCACCGCCAUUGGCGAACGACGUGGUCAUAGGAAUUAUUGCUUUCUAUAAUACGAUACUUGAUGCUUUUCAACCGUAGUUAUUCUCUUUUCAGGACAAUUUGGAGUCAAUUUCUCAUCGUGCUACUAAGAAGUUUGCACUUGCAUUUGUGAAGUUGGGCAACAUUAACUUGGUCAAUGAUGUAAUGAAUGCAGUCCAUGCAACUGACUACAUGAUUGAUCAAGUAAGCAAUCAAGAAUUUAUAAAGCAAACACAAUCUCGCUUGCAUGCAGACACAAACACAUACACACGAGUACUAAAAAUAAUAAUUUAAAAAUGUCUUUUAAUUCCUUUUCUUCUAUUAUCUCGGGGAAUAUUUCACAUAGCUAUAUCAUGCUAUAUAGCGAAACCUGAGAAGAAGAGAUUGCUACUCAAAUUGCUAGAAUGGAUGAUGAGUCAAGGUUAGGUUAUAAUCUUUUGUGAAUGUGUGAUGCGUGUGUAUGACUGCUUUUUUAGAAGGGUUAUGGUCGGGUUGAGUUGGGGGCAAGUAGAACCUGAACUCUGACCCGAAUUUGAUUGACCUGAAUACUUAAGCUCUAACCCGACACUUAAUCCUUAAAUUUUGAUCAAAACUUGAAAUUUUCAGGGCGGCUCAAUCGCAUAAAAAAUGGAGUAGGAUUUUUUUUGCCAUCCCUAAUACAGACACCUCUAUAGUUUAGUAGGGUAAAAGCCCAUUUAGUCCAUAUAUUUUCCAUUUACUCCAUGUAUUUUUUAAAAUGUCUUGAAAUAUCUCUGCCGUUAAAGUAUUGAUACCCCUAAUGUUACUUUUUAUUUUUUUUUACUUACUUUUACAAUAUUACCCUUUUAAAAAAAAUUUGUUUGGACAUUAAUAAAAAGAAAAUAAUUAAACAAAAAAAUUUAACCUAAAAAUAAAAAAAUUAUAUUAAUUUUUAAUUGUCAAAAAUUAAAUUGUAAAAAAUUGUAUGCAAACUACCAAGUGUGCAAAUGGUGCUUGCAAAAAAUUAAUAUAAUUUUUUUUAAUUUUUUAAGGUUAAAUUGGUAAUUUAAUUAUUUUCUUUUUAUUAAUGUCCAAACAAAAAAAUUAUUAUAAAAGGAUAAUAUUGUAAAAGUAAGCCAAAAAAAAUAAAAAGUAAUGGUAGGGGUAUCAAUACUUUAACAACAGGAAUGUUUUGAGGCAUUUUUAAAAAUACAUGGACUAAAUGGACACUAAUCUUAAAAUAUAAGGACUAAAUAGGCUUUUACCCUAGUUUAGUAACAUGGAUAUAGAGACAACCAUAUUCUCAGAAGUAGUAUACAAACCCUUUUUUGGACAUAUAAAAUCUUUUUGUUGUAAGGAUACAAAUGUUAUUAUGUUAGUACUUGAAAUGAAAAAUGCAGUAUUUAAUCAUGUUAAGAAUUUAAAUCUAUUUUAAGAGGUGUAGGCAAACUAAAACACUAGAUAAAUUAAUUACCUUAAUUUAUCAAUCUUGAAAUUACUGGUCAUAGAUUACUAUUCAAGUGAUACUAUUUUACGACUUACUGUUUACACAAUAAUGAUUAUAGUUACUAUUCAUAUGAUAUUGUGUAUGAGUCACUAUUUAUCUUUACAAUUCAUCUUAAUUGUUUAUCACACUGUUCACAUUGUUGUUCAUUCACCCAAAAUCUAUCAAAUAUGCUAGAAGUAGUAAACUAAAGAAAGUAAAGCAUACAAAGUAUUUUUGCAUUGUUUGGAUCACAAUUCUACAUCCACGUGGCACAUUUGGGCAUCAAGCAAUUUAGUAAGUAAUGAAAAAAUUACAACCUAUUGAAUUCUUACACAAUUUCAAACUCCAUCUUACUUUUGCCGUCACCUUGUUAAAUGUAACUUAGUCAACCUUGCUUAGCGAACACCACUCGUCUUCAAUUAUGUUUGCUAAUUCCUUGAGAUCUCCGCAUCACAACAAACAACCCCUUCAUUCUGAAUGUCUAAUGAAAGACUUGAUAUGAGGAAGACUAAAACAUUAUAAAGAUAUGAAGCAUCAUAUGCGACUAGAUAAGGUUUCUUCUUGUUCUCUGCGUUGGAUGCUUCUCUAGUAUAAAAUAUGCUAUAUCUUUCAACUUUCAAUAUGUGAAGUACUUCCCUUCAUAGAGGUGUAGGGUUUCACCCAAACCCUAGUAGAGGAGUGCUAGGAUAUACUUUCUUAAGAGUUUAAUAUUCCAUAAAUACUUGAUAUACUUAUCAAUAUAUUAGUUAUUUUUAUUUGGAACUUUUGGUAUAAAAUCCUACUAACACGCCAAUUUACUUCUGUACUAUAAAAAUAUUCUUCAAUAGUCCAUAUAAUCUAAUCUAAAUAAUUCCUAAGACUAGACAAAUUCCUAAUACAAGGAAUAAAUAGAUUGCAAUAUUAUUGACACAAUGAUGCCAAUAAUAAAAUCCCUAACAAUCUCUCCAUUUGGCAUCUCCUUGUGGUUGAAACAUAAACUAGCCAAUUUUCUAGUCUUCAAAUGGCAUGCGUAGAAGCAAGGUAGAUCAUGAGCAAUAACAUACACAUAGAUAGAUCAUACGCAAUAACCUACAUAUAGAUCAGAAGAACACACAAAGGAUUAACCAAAACAAAAAUUAUUUGUCACCAUUAUUUCAGGAUAAAUUAUUCUCUAGUAAAUAAAUGCUCAUGUCUAAGAUUCAAUUGAGAAAAGUAACUCUCCCCUUGCAAUCUCAUAUCAAUGUAUUUAGAAAGCAAUAAUACAUGUCAAAGAAAACAAAAUAAUUAAUAAAGAUCAUAUGCAAAUAAAAAAAACCCCCCUUAGAGAAAGAAUGAAUAAACUCCCCCUACAAUUGAAAACAAAUUGAAAUUGAGUUUGAAAACAAUAAAGAAUUCCUAUCUCAAAAAAAAAAAAAAAAAUCACUCUCCCUCUUUUAGGAUGCAAAGGAAUAAAUUCAAAUCUACUAUCCCCCUGUUUGACAAAAGGUGCUAAAGAAAGGUAGAGAACAAAAAUGAAAAUUAAAAGAAGUUAUGGAGAUAUAGGCUGCUAUUUAGGUGAGAAAUAAUGACGAAAAGGAGUUAAGCAAUAGCCCUUAAAGGAUCACCAAAUGACUUUUUGAAUUUAAUUCUUCAAAUAUUUAUUUGCUUACAUAUGUGACAAAUAGAAGAAUGAAAAAAUUAGCCAUCUCCGAAAAGAGUCUUCUAAUAUAUAAUUUCAAUCAAACUUUUUCUCCACCAAAAUAUAACGAUUAUAACACAUCUCUCCAUUCAAGAAUGAAAAGAUAUAAAAAGUAAUAUAAUACUAAAUUGAAAGGACAGAAGAGCUCUUUAAGUGAGAUUCUUUAAAUAAGUUUGUUUUUCUCUCUCUUCAAUAUUAUUUUAAUCAAGCUUUUUUCUCUACCAAAAUAAUAACAUUUAUAACAUAUAUGCCCAUUCAACAAUGAAAAGAUAUUGAAGAGAGAGAAGGACAAUCUUAUUAGAUGAAUCUCAUUUAGAGAGCCUUUCAAAUGCUUUUUUAUUUAUUAUGUGCCUCUUCAAAUGAUAUGUAAAAUUUUAGUCGAAGAGUAUUUUAGUGAUGUACUUGUAUAGAGAUAUAAACCUAGACCUUAUUGAAGCAGGAAAGUGUAAUUUGUGUGGGAAUUGAUUACUAUGCUUUCCAUAAAUAAAAAAAAAACUCAAAUAGGUAAUAGAAUGCUUGUAUAACUAUAUUAACUAAAAUAUACCUAAAAUAAAAUCAUCAAUAUGGAUUAUAUCCGAGAAAAGUCGUAAGAAUGGCAAAAAUAAUGCAAAAUCAUGUCAAAAGGAUUGCAUUAUCAAUCACAUCAAAUUUUGGGAAAGAUCUUAAAUACAAGAAAGUUGUAUGCUCAAUAAUAAGUUCACUUACAAGACAAUUACGGAUAGGUCCAUAAAGAUUGCAAAAUGUAUGAACAGCCCUAAAUGGCUAAUUUUCAUCAAUUUAACCCCUAACUCAUGAAAAGCCCUAAAAAUGAAAUGCAUGCAUACAUAUUUCAUGCAAUCAUCCAUGCAAAAAUGACCUGAAUGCCCUUUUGAUGAAUAAUGCACAAAAAAUUAUGUGAUGUCAUAAUUAAAUUACUACAUCAACGCUAUGAUAAACAUAAAUUUUAUAAAUUACAUAUAAGAUUAGUAUAUAAAAAGUAAAACAAGUAAAUUUAUAUAAAAUUGGUAAAUUUAUGUUUUAAAAUUACAAUCAAAACAAACACUUAUAAAAUUAACCUUGUAAAUCAACAUUACAUUUUAAUUUAAAAAUAGUUUAUUUAUUAAUUUAUUUAAGCCAAAAAAAUUCAUUGAUUGAAAAAAAUUGAAAUAAGUUUUAUAAAUUGGUCUAACCAUAAAUUGAAUUUCUAUGCCAGGUCAUUUAUUAAUUUUUUUUUUCAUUUUCUAUCAUAAUAUUUGUUUUAUAUACAAGUUAAUUAAGCAAAAUUAUUUUUCUUGUGGAUCAAGUCAAAAUAAAAUAAAAAGACAUUCUUACAUUAUUAGAUAUAUAUGAAAUAUCAAUAAAAUUGGAUCCAAUUUUUAGUUUUAAACAGAUUUCAUGUAGUUCAAGCUUUACUUCUUACUUACAUUAAAAGAUCAUAUAGAAUUGUUGUCGAAGAUGUUUAGAAGGAUCAAAAUCACUUAGCUAAAAAUAUAAUUUUUUUUUCAAAAUUUGAUUUAGAAAAUAAAAUUUAUCCUUAAUAAAAUUUCACAUAUAUCAUCACAUAUAUUACAUAAACCUAAAAUUAUCAUUAUUCAAUUUUGAAAUAAAAACAGUAAACAUGUAUGGUAAUUAUUAUUAUAAUGAGUUUUUAUUUUACAUUUGUAGGUUUUUUUUUUCAGUAACCCUUAUAAUAUUUACUUGUUUUUCAUUUUAUUUGUAAGUCUUCUAUUUUAUUUAUAUAAUUUACACUUAAUGUUGAUUUACAAGUUUUAUGUUACAUCUGUAAGUGUGUGAUUUGUUUACUGAUAAUACAUCAUUUUAUCACUCAUAUGUUAAUUUUACUUGUUUUUUAUUACUUAAUUUAUGUUUUAUUUUACACUUAAUUUUAAUUCACAAGUUUUGUAUUAUACAUGUAAGUUUAUAUUUUGUUUAUCAACAAUACAUCAUUUUACCACUCUUGUGCUAAUUUACUUGUUUUACAUUCAAUUUAUAGGUCUUAUGCUUUAUUUACUUAAUUUAUCUUUUAUUUUAUAUUUACUGUUAAUUUAUGACACAGGGCAGAAGCGAUACUAGAUUUCGUUCUGGUGUACGUUCUUAAAAACCCAAGAAAGUGGGCUCUCGCAAAGGAGAAAAUAUCUCAAUUGAGAAAUACUAAAUAUUAUUAAUGAAAAAGCUUGCGUCAAGAAACAAGCAUAAUAAGCCUAUUUAUACUAAUUAGGAUUAUCUUAUCUUGAUAAAAUUAUGACUCCUUGUAAGUAAAAAUAAUAUGACUUUAAUAAGAAAAUAUAAAGUAAUUCCUAAUUAAACUAGAAAACUUAUACUCCCAUUAUACUCUAAUAGGAUAAAUCCUAAUAGAGUAUUAAGUAUUUAAUAGACUGAAAUACUUUAAUUUUUGAUAUAUUCCAUCUUAUAUGCUUCCUACAUUAGUCUCCUCCUCUUCGAAAAAAACUCGUCCUCGAGUUUUACUGAAAAUAAAGGACAAUCUGGAGGAUUAAGCUUGUAAUGAAGGAGUAAUUGAUCUUACGAUGCAAAAAUGUAGCACUUUGCAUAAACUUUUCUUGAAAACUUCAAUUUCUUCUUGUUUUUUAGUAUGGCUCUUCUAAAAAUUGUAGACUUGUAGGAGAAAACCAUUAGAAGUUCUCUUUUAAUUUGAGUCACGGGUAAGUUGGGUAGGCUAGCUCCGGGAUAAGAUCAAUAUGAUGCUGAAUAAUCCUCAUAUGAGGUAAUUUGUUAGGAAGCUCUUUAGGCAUGAUAUCUUGAAAUUAGAGAGUAGCGAUUGGACUUGUUCAGGCAUCGAUUCUACUUCAGUUACCUCUUUUGGUACUAAAAGAUAGGUUCAAGAAAUAAGGUUUGUACAUUGUCAAGAGGCAAAAAUCGUUCUCUUAGUAGGUGAUGUACGUGAUGCCUUAUCUUGACCUUUCUUUUUCCUUAUAGCACAGGAGAAGUUUGUAGAUUGUCCCACCAAACUGCAGCAGCGCCUUUGAGUUUAUACUCUAUUGCUCUGACUUUCUUUGGUUCUAAAAUGUCCAUUGUUUCAAAGAAUCUUUCAACAACUAAUAGCCAAUUAAGAAACUGUUCAAUGCCUAAUUGUCAACUGAAUGAUAGGAGGUCAAUUCUGAUGCAGUAGUCAUUCUCAUGUGUUUACUGUCAUUCAUUUUUUAUCUCCUCCUCAUCUUAAUCAUCUAAACUUGGAAAAAAUGGAGUAGCUUUUGUAUUCCCAUUAGAGCUACCUAUUUCUUUUGUUCCGUUGGUCUUCUUACGCUCACCAAAAUUAUUUCUUGAAUUAACAAUGUCAAUACUCUUUUCUUCUUGAUUACUUCUUUGGGCAAGGCUAAUCUUUUUUAAUUCUUGUCUCACACCAAGUAAUGAUUCUUUCAUCGUCGUAACAUGGGUUUGUAUUUACAGUAGGGCUUUCAUUGUUUCUUUCCAUGGUUCUGCUGAAUGGGUUUAUGAUUGUUCGAGUCGCUCUAUCCUCCUUGUGAUCCGAUCUUCAAAUUGAACCCCGCUUUCUUUAGAAACUAUUGUGUUUUUUUGUUUUUUUGUUCUUUUUAUUUUUUAGCUUUUUUGGGGUUUUUUAAAAAGAACAAAAAAUUAUAAGGUAAUAAUGUAAUCAAAGAAAAGUAAUGGGGUAACAUUAUAAAUAAAUAAACAUUUGUGUUGCCAGCGACGAUGAUCAGAAAAUGGAGCAAGGAUUGUCGAAUCUGGAAGAUUUGAGGUUGGUGAGUGUAAUGGUGGUGGUGGUUUGACUCAAAUUGUUGUGAUUUGAUCGAAAAAUUGAAUUGAAGUGGCGGUUAGAGGCUAGGUUUCGGUUAGAGGUGAAUGGGCCGGUGGUUGGCAACAAGAGUGGGCUGGAAAGAAGGACUGAUGAUGGUGGACAAAUUGGUGGUGGUGUUGGCUGUCAAAUCACGAUAGAUUUUGGUGAGUCGUGUGGUGCCUUGUGUGGCGGUUGAGCGACUGUUUGGUGCUGUUUACGGUGGCUACGUUGGUGGGAUGGUGACGUUAGUACCUUGGAUAUGUUUGGUGGCGUGUGGGCUUUCGGAUGGGAGAGAGGAUCAACCAGAAAGAAGAAAAAUGGCGGCAGCGGUAGCCUUGUGUGGUGACUGUAAAGGUGGUUCGGGUUUGGAUUUUUUUUUUGGAUAUUUUUAAAUUGAUGGAAUUAAUGGAUAAUGGAGGAAGAAUUUGUGUAUCAAGGGUGAUUGAUGGGCAGGAAAGCUUUGCUUGGCACAGAGAAAGGCUGGGAUACCACUUGACGCUUAGCAAAAGCGAUACUAGAUUUCGUUCUAGCAUACUUUUUUAAAAACUCGAGAAAGAUGGCUCUCACAAGGGAGAGAAUAUCUCAAUUGAGAAAUACUAACUAUGAUUAAUGAAAAAACUUGUGUCAAGAAACAAGCAUAACAAGCCUAUUGAUACUAGUUAGCAUUAUCUUAUUCCUAAUGAAAUUAUGAUUCCUUAUAAGUAAAAGGAAUAUGACUUUAAUAAGAAAAUUUAAAGUAAUUCCUAAGUAAACUAGAAAACUAAUACUCCUAUUAUGACUGGAGCAGGAUAAAUCCUAAUAGAAUAUUAUAUUAAAUUGACUCAAAUACUGUAAUUUCUUAUAUAUUCUACCUUAUAUGCUUCCUACAUCAAUUUAAAAGUUUUAUACGAUAUUGAUAAGUUUUUAUUGUAUUUCCCAAUGAUACGUCAAUUUACCACUUCUAUGUUAAUUUUGCUUAUUUUUCUUUUCAUUUAUAAGUCUUAUGUUCCAUUUGCAUUAUUUAUAUUUUAUUUUACACUUAAUGUUGAUUUCCAUGUUUUACGUUAAUAUCCAUAAGUUUUUUUUGUUUUAUUUACUGAUAAUACCUUAAUAUACCACGCUUAUGUUGACUUACUUGUUUUACCUUACAUUUACAACUCUUAUGUUCUAUUUGCACCAUUUAUGUUUGAUUUUACAUUCAAUAUUGAUUUACAAGUUUUAUAUUAUCUCUAUUUUUUUUGGUUUACUAGCAAUAAACCAAUUUACUACUAUGUCAAUUUACUUGUUUUACAAGUCUUAUGUUCCAUUUAAAUAAUUCAUAUUUUGUUUGACUCGUAAUGCUGAUUUACAAGUUUUAUAUUAAAUUUACAUUUAUUACAUUUUAUUUACAUAAUUUAUAUUUAAUUACAAUAUUAAUGUUAGGAUUCUAAUCAUGGUAUUAUAGAAUAACCCAUAAGACACAUAUUAAAAACUUCAUGUAAUAAGACGCAAUGAUUUUUUUUGAAAUUUUAAACAAAACAAACUAAUAUGCAAUUUUUUUUUAAAAUUCAUAAAUAUUCAUACAAUACAAAAUCAAGAUAAUCAAACUUUAAUUACUCAAAUCAAUAGAAGAUUAGUGAAAUUUCAAUUUUUAUAUGUGCGUACAAAUCCAUCAGGACUCAAUCUCGAUUUUUCUCAAAAUCAAAAACUUUUGUAACAAAAAAUAGAAUGAACAAGUCAAACUAAUCUUAUCAUCUUGAUCUCCAAAUUGAUCGCUUCAAUGCAACAGACAAUAUGAGAAGAGAUUGUAGUAAGAAAAUUCUUCCUUCUACUACAUAUGUAAACUUUUCAAGAUUUUCUUCUUCAACACUCAUAUCAUUUUUUUCUUUUCCUUUUUAAGUGCUUAUAGUUAGUAGCUUUUACUCUACUUCUUAAGAUAAUCUUUUUCCCAUGGUAGUUUAUCCUCAGUCAUAUUUGUGAUAUGCAAACUGAGAUUACUUGUGUAUAGCUUCACUCUUAGGAGUUAUAGGUGGCUAUUUCUAACCGAGGUGCCUAUACAUCUUGAAAUCUAUAGUAGAGAUAAAAGUGAAAAAUAUAUAAUUAAUGUUCAAUCCAUUUAAUCUCAACAUCAGAAGUCUCAAAAUUGAAAAUCAAGUUAGAAUCAAGACUUCAAAAAUAUAUGUGCACAAAGAUAAGUCUAAAUUAAACCAAUCAAAAAUUGUUUCAAGCUUUCAAGUCAUUGAAUCAAGACUUUUAUGUACAUCGUAAUUUGAAUAAAGAGCACAUAUGCAAAAACACAUGCAAACAAUGUCUUAACCAUAUCAUGAGAAUCAAAAUUACAUGACAUAUAGAAGAUGUUGUACAACAUGACUACAUGGAACUGAUACCUAAAGUUUUUUGUUUUUUAAGGGAAUCAAAUCUAGAUGCACCCAAAGCUUUCUUAAAGAUAUCUGCAAGCCAAUUUUCUAUUUUAAUACAGUCUAGAGAUAAAGUUUUGCUAUCAACUUAGUCAUGAAUAAAAUGAUAUCUAAUAUCAAUAUGCUUAAUUGUAGAAUGUUGAGUAGGAUUGUUAAAAAUAGGACUUGUGUUAUCACCAUGUACUAUAAGAAUAUCUUGAACAAUAUCAUAAUUUUCAAGAAUUUGCUUCAACCAAAUUAAUUGAGUACGACAACUGCUAGCAACAAUGUAUUCAGCCUUGGCAAUAGAUAAAGAAAUUGAGUUUGUUUCUUAAUGUGCUAAGAUACAAUAUUGUUAUGAAGGUAAAAACAAUCUUAAGUGGUGCUCUUUUUAUCAUCAGUAUUACCUGCCUAAUCAGCAUCUAUAUCCGACGAGACUUGAAUUAGUAUCUUUAGAAUACCAAAUACCAUUAUUAAUAGUACUAUUUACAAAAUGAAUGAUAUAUUUAACAGCAGAUAAAUGUGAUUCUAUUAGAUUUGCUAGUUGCCCAACACAAACAACUACAUAGAACAAAUACCAAGUCUCUUGUAAUUAAAUAAAGUAAGCCACCAAUCAUACUUCUAUAAAGACUUAGAGCAUCAACCCCUAUCAUCUUUUGUGCUCAUAAGUGGUGUUCUCAUGUGUGAUGCUGAUUCUAGUCCCAAAUUUUUCACCAAAUGUUUGGCAUACUUACUUUGAGAAAUGAAAAUGCUAUUUCCAAGUUGUUUCACUUUUAAUCUAAAAAAAUUGGUUAGUUUGUCAACCAAGCUCAUUUCAUAUUAAUUCUUUAUUUUAUCAACGAGUUCCUAAACAUACACUAGAGAAGUAGAGCCAAAAACAAUAUCAUUUAUGUUAAUUUGACCAAUCAAUAUUCUAGGAUUAAGAUUUUCAAUAAAUAAAGUCUUUGAAAUAAUAACUAGGCAACCCAAGAGGGGGGUGAAUUGGGUUUUUAAAACUUAAGCUAAGCAACUACACAAUAAUUUAAUCUAAUGCUUUAAUGAAAUAAAAAAUAAUAAAUUUAACAAUGCUCAAAAAUAAAAAGAGUAAGGGAGGAGAGAGCAAACACAAAUAUUUUUACGUAGUUCGGCAAUCCCCGCCUACGUCCACGCCUCCAAGCAAACUAAGCUUGAAGAUUUCACUAUCCAAGCCUCCCAAGGCUUCAAACGCUUACAAUUGACUUCCAAGGUGCCAAUGGACCUUUACAACAAGAGAUUAUCUCCAAUCUCUUCACCCAAGUUUAUCCCAACACUUACAACCUCUCAACAUGAUUUUACAAAAAUGAUUACAAAUAAAAUUCCCUCACACAAUGUGUUUGAUUACAAAUGAAAGCUCAAUGUGUGUGAAUGAAUUAAAUGAAUACAAAUUUUCUGCUCAUAUUGCAGAGGAUGGCUCAAUGAUAACAAUGGUUGUAUCUCUUUGAUUGAAUUUGAUUUGAGCCAACUUAUAGUAGAAGAAGAAAACUAGACGUUAUCGACUUUUUGGUUAUAUCUGGCUUGCAGCUUUGUGUUAAUCGGUGUGCCGCUUUAUGUUACCAUUAUGUUCAAAGAUUUGAAUUUUUGCAAACCCGGUUUGUCAUUUUUCAUUUCCGGUUAGCCGUUCUUACUCUAGAGAGCUUCUGCUUAAUAACCGAUUUACCGCUUUUGUGGCUUUUAUUGUAGAGAGCUUCUGCCCAUAACCGGUUUACUACUUUGAUAAAUCAGGCUGGCCGCUUACUAUAGUGAAACAACUAUUUUCUAAAAUUACAAUUUUACCCCAACACUUUAUAGAAUUAUAUUAUGGCCUGAAUAUUUCUAAAACUUUGCAAAUAGGUCCAUUUCUAGAAUUUUAAAACAAUACUUGUUGAUUUCAAAGUUGUUAAAAAUUUUCCAUUUAAACCAUAAAAUUGAAAACAACUAAUUUCAUAAAAUCAUUUUCUUAUUAUAAAAGCAUAAUGUGUAGUUCUUUAUUUAUCUAAAACAUGUGGUUUAUUAUUAUUAAAAUCAUUAUUUUAUAGCCAUAUAGGCUAACAAUCUCCCCCUUUUUCAUAAUAACAAAACACAUUAUAAAAGUUUGAUUUAGCUAUGAAAAAACCCCUCUUUAUAAAUGCAAGAUUAAAAACUGAUUUAAAAAACUCCCCCUACAUGAAUGCAUAUUUUUCAUAACAAACAGUUACAUAUCAUAUCUCUUCCUUCAUCAUCAAAAAGAGUAGAAUGCUCCCCUUGAGUAUAUUAUAAGUUUAAACAAUUUGCCAAUCAACUAAAUUAACAACUUUAAAUACAUGUAUUCUUCUCCUCCUUCAUCAUAAAAAAGAAAACUUAGUGGAAAAGAAAAAGAGUGGCAAAUUUGUUACCCAUGUUGUCCAAGUAGAAAUUUCGACAAAAUCUCCCCUUAUCAACAAGCAUCACCUCAAAUACAAGUUUAGUAAUAUCACUCCCAAAUUAUCAUAAAUCAUAAUACAAACCAACUUCAUACACAAAUCAUCACACAAUCCAUCAACCAUAAAAUGAUCAUGAACCAUCAUUCCAUCAAUUACCAAAUCAGCAACUCAUAACAUAAAAUCAUCAUAUAAAACAACCAUGUAAUCACAUCAUCAUCAUAUCUCAAAAUCAUCACCAUAAUCAUAUAUCAACCAUCAAAAGAAUGCUCAAAGUGCAUGUUAUUCUCCCCCUUUUGACAUCAUCAAAAUGGUAUAUUACUUUGUCUCCCCCUUUCGAUAUCAUCUAAAGCAAGUAAUGUUUAUUCAACAAUACAUCAAUAAAGUACAUAAAUGCAUCCAUUUACCAAUCAUAGAUUGUAUAAGAUCAAACUUCAUCAAAUACAAUGUAAUCAUCAAAGGACAUUCCUUAUCAUCAAAACUUAAGUAAAGCAUAAGUACUUAAUGACAAUAUAUAGAUCAUCCUAAUCAAAUAAAGGCAUCAUGAUAAGUUGACAUGCUACCAUCAUAUAUAUCUAUCCAUGCAUCAUGAUUACAGACAAUAAUAAUUCAAUUAUGUAAACAUACGAGAAUGCUUUUUUAAAUUCAAGCUAUUAUCCAUCCAGCAUGAUCUGUUCAACAAAAUUAAUAUGGCAAGAAUUGUUACCAAAACAAUUAAAUCAUUUUACCAAUCAUUUUCUCUUAUAUCAUGGUUAAGUGAUUAUUCUCACAAGUUUUCAUUGAGGACCUCUCCACCAUUUCUUGAUUAUGGUAACUACAAAAAGUAUUCAAGUUGUGCCUUUUGGUAUCCAAAUACUCUUGGGUCCUUGAGUGUUAGGAAUGGUUCCUUUUGGAACCCAAACAUAUUUUACUUCAUAAUAUGUAUUUCUUUUAACUAGACAUCUAUACUUUAUGUGACCAUUUUGAUUACAAUGGUGACAUAUAACUUGAUUAUUAAUGCAGGUACACUUUACAAAAUAAUUCUUAUAAUAUUUUUGUUUCAAAAUUGGCUUAUAGCUAAAUACCUCCUUUGUCAAACACACAUUUUUGUGAGUUAAGCAAGUUAUCCAACAUCUUUUGUCCAUUUAUAAAUUUUAAGACAACAUCAUUACAUUCUAUAUUCUUUUUCUUGAGCAUUUCAUUUUCUUUCAUCAAUUCAUCAACAUGUGAUUUUUCAUGCUCAUACGAAAUACUUUGUUUACCUUUAAAUGAUACAAUUUUUUCAUGCAACAUUUAAUUAUCUAACUCUAGUCCUUUAAUAUUUUCAUUUAAUGAAUUGUUAAAUUUUUGUAAAGCAUCCUUUUCAUUUGAAAGUUUUAUCAUUUUCUUUUUAAGACAUACAUUCCUUUUACCAAUUUUCAUCCAAUUAUCAUGCAAUUCCUUAAAAGCACCAUAUAAUUCAUCAUAGGUAGGAUGACUUACCUCAUCAAGUUCGUCAACCGAUUCAUCUCCAAUUGCCAUAAGUGCCAAUAUUAGUUUCAAACAAAUUGAAAUUGGAAAAAGAUUUACCCUUUUUUGUAGGUUACAACUUUGAUUGAGAUUUUUCUUUCUUUUUGCUUUUUCCAAAUUUUCCUAGCAUCAAUUUUUAAAACUUUUUGGUCAACACAACCAGAGAUUUUUGUGUGUAUUUUAUUUUAUCAGCAUCAUCACCAUCACUCUCUAAAUUCGGCAUCUCAUCUUAAAGGCAAUGUUUUUUUCUCUUUUUUUUUUCUUCAAAUGACUAGUCUCAAAACUCUAAAGUUCACUAGCCACUUGAUUCUAAUCAUGGUGCUAAUAUCACAUUAUUGUUCAAUAGCUCUAACGUUAAUAAGAAAUUUUUCUGACAAAUAUCUCAAAAUUUUUCUAACUAAUUCUUCCUAAUAAGUUUUUUCACCAACGAAAUAUGAAGUAUUAGCAAUCUUAAGAAGUUUAGCAUUAAAGUCAACAAUUUCUUCAUGUUUAUCCAUCUUAAGAUUUUCAAAUUCAAUUGCAAGUUUUUGAAGUUUAGAACAUUUUACCAAAUUUCUCCUUUGUCAAUGUCUUAAAGAAUGUCCCAAGCUUCCUCAUAGUUGUACAUAUCAAUAUUAAAUCAUACUAAUUGAUGUCAACUCCAUUGACAAUAGGUGCCUUGGAAGUAAAGCUAGAUUCUUGAACUUGAGCAUUGGAAUAAUCAUUGACAGGCUUAAGAAUUAUAUUUCCAUCUUAAUCAGAUUUGAUGAGUAGAGAAUAGCCUUUUGUAACACAUUCCAUAACUCUUAUGUCAAUGGUCUCAAUAUGAAUUGUCACCCUUUGCUUCCAAUAACAAUACCAUCAAACAAAGGUGGAUAGUCGGUAGAUCCUUCUUCUCUCUGCAAAUUCAUGUCUAUAAAAAUAUAUCAAGAUCCCAAAAUCUCACUAACGAAAUUGUUAGUGAUACUGCUACCACUUGUUAAAAAUUUAAAUCUAUUUUAACAAGUGUAGGCAAAUUAAAACACUGGGUAAACUAAUUAUCCUAAUUUAUUAAUCCUUUAAUUACUGUUCAUAAAUUACUAUUCACUCGAUACUGUUUUAUGAUUCACCAUUCGUAUGAAAAUGUUCACGGUUGUUGUUCAUGGGAUAUUGUAUACAAGUCAAUGUUCACAAUUAUUAUUUGUCAUAAGUAUUUAUCUCACUGUUCAUGUCACUAUUUAUUCACCCUAAAUCUAUCAAAUAUGUUAGAAGUAGUAAAUUGCAGAAAGUAAAGCACAUAGACGAUUUUUAUGUGGUUUUGGAUUACAAUCCUACAUCCAUGGAGUCAGGUUUAGAGACUAAGCAAUUCACUAAGAGGGCAUUUAUUUUUUAACUUAAUGACUUAAAGUGAGUUAACUUAAUUAAUAAAAUUAAUUAGAGAUGCUUGUUUUUAUAACUUAAAGGGACUUUUGGGAUAAUUUUAUCUUAAUAAAAUAAGUCAAUGUUUUUGGUUUUUACUGAAUGCAGAAAUCUGAAUAAGCCAACUAUUUUCUAAUAUCAUAAGUAGCCCUACUUAAUUUAUUUUUCAUGCCUAUCCCAAAAUCCACUUAUACACAUUUAUCCCACUAAUAAUCUCAUCUUAAUUUUUUUUUUGGAUGGGCAAAUUAACUAUUUCAAGCAUCUUAUUAGUUUUUCUCCUCAUAUUAUGUACUAUUAUUGAGAAUUUGUGAUGGAAUUUAAAAUUUAUGGUAUUUUGUAUAUUAGAAUUCCAAAAUCAUUUUGUAUUUACUGAAUAUGAUUUUGCUCAUAUAUGUUAAAAUAUUAUGGUGCUUAUGUUCCUUGUGAUAUAUAUUACUUAUUUAAAAUUCAAAUUUAAUGAAUGAGAAUGUACAUAUUUUUAAUUUUUAAGUUUAAAAAAUUUUAAAAACUUAAUACUUAUUUUUAGAGAUUCAACAAAAAGAACAAAUAUAUUAUUCAGAUUCAAACAUUCAACUUUAUUCAGAGUGCAUAUUAAUUCAGAUCUAUUGAGAUUUCAGACCAAAAAAAAAAAACAAAAACCACCUAAGCAAUGAAAAGAUUACAUCCUGAAUUCUUAAAUAGUCUCAGACACUCUCUUGCUCUUACCACCACCUUGUUGAAUCUACCUAGUCGAUCGUGUUUAGCAAGCACCACUCAUCUUCAAUUGUAUUUGCUAUGUUACGCAAAUUUUAUUGAACUCGCAAAUGCACGAAUCUAUUGUAGAAUAGAUUAAUGGUGACGAGUGUCGAUCCCACGAGGAGGUGGAUUUUAAUUAUAUGUAGAAUUAAUUUUGUAUAAGGGUGGUUGGAUUUAUGGUGGAAGUGAUUUAAAUUAUCCUAAAAUUCAAAAGAGCUUUGAAUACUUUGUCAAAAGAGCUUUGAAUGCUUUGUUACAAAAGUAGGCACUACCAUCACUGAUUAUCGCUCGAGGGAACCCAAAGCGUGAAACAAUAUUGCUUUUCAAAAAUCCUAUCACCACCUUGUGAUCAUUGGUUCUGCAUGGAAUUGCUUCUACCCAUUUCGAUACGUAGUCAACAGCAACCAAUAUGUAUUGAUGGCCAAAAGAAGGGGGAAAGGGUCCCAUGAAGUCGAUACCCCAUACGUAAAAAAUAUCAACAACUAAAAUUGAAUUUAGUGGCAUCAUGUUCCUUCGAGUAAUGCUCCCCAUACGUUGACACCUAUCACAUAAAGAACAGAAAGUGUAAACAUCUCGAAAUAUAAUUGGCCAAUAAAAAUCAUAUUGUAAAAAUUUAGUUGCUGUUUUCUUAGCACUGAAAUGGCCUCCACAAGCUUGUUCAUGGCAGAAUGAAAGAAUAUUCUGAAUUUCAUUUUCUGGGACACAUCGUCUAACAAUUUGAUAUGCACAGUACUUGAACAAAUACGGGUCAUCCCAAAAGAAAUUCUUUAUUUCUGCAAAGAAUUUAGUCUUGUCUUGUUUGGUCCAAUGCUUUGGAAGUUUACCUGUAACAAGAUAAUUAACUAUAUCAACAUACCACAGUAAUACUUUCACAUUCAUUAAUUGCUCAUCUGGAAAUGACUCAUUCAAUGGUAAUGGUUCAAUAAUUGUAUCAAAAUGGAGGCGAGAGAGAUGGUCAGCCACAACAUUCUCUGUGCCUUUCUUAUCUUUAAAUUCCAAGUUGAAUUCCUACAAAAGUAACACCCAACGAAUUAAGCUAGCUUUUGCAUCUUUUUUUGUGAGAAGAUAUUUAAGCGCAGCAUAAUCUGUGAACACAAUUAUUUUACAACCAAUGAGAUAGGAUCGAAAUUUUUCCAAUGCAAACACUACUACUAGCAUUUCUUUUUCAGUAGUUGAAUAGUUUAACUGUGCAUCAUUCAAUGUCAUACUAGCAUAGUAAAUAACAUGAGGAAUUCGAUCAACCCUUUGUCCUAAUACUAUUCCUACUGCAUAGUCAGGUGCAUCACACAUGAGUUCAAAUGGUAAGCUUCAACUUGGGGGCUGAAUGAUGGGUGAUGAUGUCAACAAUUGCUUUAAGUUUUCAAAUGCCACAAAACAUAAAUCAUCAAAGAUAAAAGAUACAUCCCUAGUAAGUAGAUUGCAUAAGGGUCUAUAAACUUUACUAAAAUCUUUAAUGAAAUGUCUAUAAAAACCAGCAUGCCCAAGGAAAGAUCUUACUUCUCUGACUGUUUUGAGUGGAGGAAGAUUAGAAAUGAGAUCCACAUUGGCUUUAUCAACCUCAAUACCUUUGCUCAAAAUGAUGUGAUCGAGAACAAUAACUUGUUUUACCAUAAAAUAACAUUUCUCACAAUUUAAGACUAAGUUCUUCUCGAUACAUCUCUGCAGAACUAGUAUUAGAUAAUGUAAACAUUGAUCAAACGAGUCACCAAAAACAGAAAAGUCAUCCAUAAAGACUUCAAGGAAUCGUUUAGCCAUAUCAGAAAAAAUGCUUAACAUGCAUUUUUGAAAUGUAGCAGGUGCAUUACAUAAUCCAAAUGGCAUCCUCCUAUAUGCAAGUGAAAGUAGUUUUCUCUUGAUCUUUUGAUGCUAUGGGAAUUUGAUUAUAUCCUGAGUAGCCAUCUAGAAAGCAAUAAAAUUCAUGACCUGCUAAUAUAUCAAGCAUUUGAUCGAUAAAUGGUAAAGGAAAAUGGUCUUUACGGGUGAUAGAAUUCAACUUUCUAUAAUCAAUGCAUACACACCAUCCUGUAGUCACUCUAGUGGGUAUCAAUUUGUUAUCGGCAUUCGUAACUACUGUCACUCCCGACUUUUUAGGGACAACUUGCACAUGACUGACCCAUGAACUAUCAGAAAUGGGGUAAAUGAUACAUGUAUCUAAUAUCUUAAGAACUUCAGUUCUAACAACUUCUUUCAUGUUAGGAUUUAACUGACGUUGCAUUUCCCUAGUAGGUUUAGCAUUUUCAUCAAGGUAAAUAUAAUGCAUGCAGUCUACUGGGUUUAUACCUUUUAUGUUUGCUAUGGUCCGUCCUAAUGCUCCUUUGUGCUCUUUUAAAACAUCCAACAACUUACUUUUUUGUUCGUCAUUGAGGGAUGAUGAGAUGAUUACCAGAAGAGUACUUUCUUCUCCCAAAAAUGCAUAUUCCAAAGUAUUGGGCAAUGGUUUGAACUCGAGUUUCGGUGUUGAUUCUGAUGAUGGGAUGAGUUUUUUCUUUGAUGGUGCUAGUUGUUCAACUCUUGACUUCCAUUUAUUAGUGUCCAUGGAUGGUGCUGAGUCAAGUAGGACAUUGACCUCAUCGAUCGAUCUUUCAAUAUCAAAAUCUAAGCCAAAGUGAGUUAAACAUGUUUGUAAAGGAUCAUCACUAAGGUUUGAAAGAAAAGUAUUAUCAACUAAUGUUUCAAUUAAAUCCACAUCAACAAUUCCAUCAUCUGCAUUAUGAGGUUGUUUGGCAAUGUUAAAAAUAUUCAGCUCCAUAGUCAUGUUGUCGAAGGACAACUGUAUAUUUCCAGUUCUGCAUUGAAUGUGAGCAUCAGCAGUUGCCAGGAAAGGUUGGCCUAGAAUAAUGGGGAUGUGCUUCCUUGAAUCAUGUAUUGGUUGAGUGUCAAUUACAAUGAAAUCAACAGGAAAACAAAACUUGUCUACCUGGAUAAACACAUCAUCCACUAUACCACGAGGUAUUUUCGUGGACCGAUCUACAAGUUAUAACACCACUGGAGUUGGAUGUAAUUCUCCAAGUCCAAGUUUCACAAAUACUGAAUAAGGAAACAGAUUUACAAUAUCUCCUAAAUCCAACAAAGCAUUCUCAAUUGUGUGGUUCCCUAUGCUACAUGAGAUAGUGGGGGAACCUGGAUCUUUGCAUUUUAGAGGAAUUUUAUGUUAGAGUAUAUAACUAACGUUUUCUGUUAAAAAUGCCUUCUUUUGAACAUGAAUGUUUCACUUUUUAGUACAAAGGUCUUUAAGAAACUUGGCAUAAGAUGGAACUUGUUUAAUAGCAUCAAGUAAAGGGAUGUUAACACUUACCUAUUUGAAGAUUUCAAGAAUCUCACCUGUGGAUUUUCCUUUCUUUCCUUUAGCUAACCUCUGAGGAAAUUGAGCUUUGGGAAUGUAUUCUCUUGGGUUGGUUUCUUCUUUUUCUUCUGAUGGUGAGUCCUCAACAUUCACAGGUACAAUUUGAUUUUCUUUUGUCACCGGCAUCUCCACUUUGUUGUCGACUUCUUUUCCUUUUCGCAAGGUCAUGACUGCUUUGACCUCUCCAUGUUGUUGUGGUGAACUUGCUUCAUGUACUCCUUUAGGAUUAGGCACUGGUUGACUUGGAAACUUGCCUUUCUCAAUAGUCAUUGCCAAGGUCUGAACUGAAGAAGCAAGUUGUCCCACCAUCUUCUCGAGGCUUGAAACUGAUUGGGCUUGUGAGUUGAAGCCUGCUCUUAACUCAUUUCGUAGUCCAUCAAUGGUGCGGUUCUGUUGCUCAAUCGUGGAGUGAGUAACAUUCUUGAGAUUCUGGAAUGAAUCCUCCUAUGGUCUGGAUUGAGAGUAGUUCUGGUUAUGAUUGUAUGGUCUAAAUGGUGGUUGAGAGGCUUGAGGAAUUUCAGGAAUUGGUUGCAUUGGUGGAGCUAGAGCUGCUGGUCCAUUCUGUUGGAAUCCUUGAGACCAUAAAAAAUUGGGGUGGUCUCUCCAUCCAGGGUUAUAUGUGUUGGAGUAUGGUUUGUAAUUUGAUGGCUUUCUCAUUACACCUAUGGCAUUGGCUUGAUCUGGGUAUAAGUCAUGGUCAUGUUGUUCUGUUGAUUUAGCAGUCAAUAACAAUGCUAUUUGUCGAGAGAGACCUUCAAUUAUCGCUUUGACUUCUUUAAUUUCUGAACUUUACUCGCCAAUGUGAACCUCAUUUACUCCCUUAAUUCUUCUAGUAUUCCUGAGUGAUUGACUCCGUUAUUGGGAAUUAUCCGAUUGUCGCUCAAAGGAUUCCUAAAUCUCUUAUGCACUUUUUGACAUUAGCUCUCCUCCACUUGUUGCCAUUAGACAUUCUUGCACAUUCGGCAAUAAUCUCUCCAAAAAGUAUUAGUAUUGGUGCCAUUUCUCGUACCCAUGAUGUGGACACUUCAAGAGUAGCCUAUUGAAUCGCUCCCAUGUUUCAAAAAAUUGCUCGUCUUCUCUCUGGGUAAACUCUGAGAUUUCCCUACGAAUAGCAUUGGUUUUAUGCACUGGGAAAUAUUUAUUCAAAAAUUUCGUUACCAUUUGUUCCCAUGAUGUAAUGCUAUUAGCAGACAAUGUAUUGAGCCAUGAACGAGCUCUAUCCGUUAAAGAAAAUGGGAAUAGUCCGAGUUUAACAUCAUCAUCUGAAAAAUUCUCAUAUCUAAAUGUUUAACAAACAGCAUGAAAAUCAUUCAAAUGAUUAUAUGGGUCCUCAUUUUCUAAGCCAUAAAAUGUUAGGAGACAAUUUAGCACACUAGGUUUUAACUCAAAACUCCUAGCAGCUACAUUUGGGUAUGUUAUGCAUGAUGUGCUCAAAUUAGCUAAAGGAUUGAAAUAAUCCUUAAAUGGCCUCUCCUAUGGUGCUUGUUGUUGUUACAAAUCCAUUUUAUUUUUAACGUGUUUGUGUGUGCGAAGUGUUUUUUCUAAUUCAAGGUCUAUAGGCUCAAGAUUAGGUAAUAAUGACCUACGACCAUGCAUGCAAAGAACAAAAAAAAUAAAUGGGAACAAAACAAAUAAAAAUAAAGAAGAAGGAGAAAUUACGGUACUAACCUUAUCACGCUGUUACAACCUUUCUACAAAAAUACCCUAAAAAUACGUUAAAUAAAUUAACUAAAAAUAAAUUAAUAAAAUAAAAAAAUUACAAAGAAAAAUAACAUAAAAAUUAAAUUGCAGAAUUGAAAAGAACAAAGAGAGAAAAGAAAUUAUUACCUCUAAAUGUAGAUUUACUUUUUUUUCUUUUUUUUAAAGAAAAAAAUACAAGAAAAAAAUUAAAAGAAAUUAUUCACAAAAAUUAAUUUUAUGAAUUAAAAUUACUUUAUCUCCCCAGCAACGGCGCCAAAAACUUAUUGUACAAAUUUUAUUAAACUCGCAAGUGCACGAAUCUAUUGUAGAAUAUAUUAAUUGUGACGAGUGUCGAUCCCACAAGGAGGUGGAUUUUAAUUAUAUGUAGAAUUAAUUUUGUAUGAGGGUGGUUGGAUUUAUGGUGGAAGUGAUUUUAAUUAUCCUAAAAUUUGAAUUAAAAUGGCCAGAAGAAAUUAAAGUGGAAACUAUAAUAAUUGAAGUGCUUGGGUAUCUGGAUCCGUAUCAACAUGCACCAUGGGCUAAAUAUUCCUUAUUAAUGCCAAUUAAAUCAUGAGGGGGAAUCCACACCUCAUGAACCACACUCUAAUCAAUAUGGUGCUAAGGGCUUAUCGUGCCAAAUAAUAAUAACUUUGUACUAGGGAGCCGGUGAAACUAGGGCGGUAUCUAGACAAGAUUAGUAUUAUUUGUCGACGAAAAGUCAAAUCAUCCACAAAAAUUAGAGGGGAAGAGAAAAUAAAUUUACCAAAUAAAGUCCAUGACACAUGUUGAGACUUCUUCACUUUCAACCCAAACUUGAAAGAAAAUUAGCUACUCAUAAUUGAACUAGGGGCAAAAUGAGAAUUUAUUAAAAUACAUAGAAAAUACAAGAUGGAGAAGGAAUUAAAGAAAAUGGAGUCCAAAAAUGGAUUCAGAGAUAUCAAAUUUGGGGGGAGAUGUCCCCUUUUUAUAGAUACAUUGAGUAAAUCAUGGCCAUCAGAUUACAAACAGUUUGGACGCUCAGGAUUGUGCCACGUCAUCAGUCAACAGUACGUGGUUUGACCACGCAGUUUGAACAGUAACACGGUUUGACCCGGCUUGAACAGUGACGCGGUUUGGUUGAAAAUAAUCCUGUGUAAUGCAGUACCGUACGCGAGAUUUUUAGACCACUGAUAUGCUGCCAUGUCACCAAUCAACAGUGCAUAAGAAUUUUAGUCCAACAGGAUUGUGACACCUCAUCAGUCAAUGUCACAUCAUCAGUCAAUGCCACAUCAUCGAUCCAUCUAUGUGAACAGUGUCGUGAACAAUAACGUAGACAGUACCGUACAUGUGAAUAGUACUGUACAUGUGAACAGUAAGGGUGUUAGUAAAACUUGAAGUGUAAAAUGACGAUUUUCACCUUUAUAAAUAUACAUUUUCUAACACUCAACAUGCUACUUCCUUGAGAUUCCCUCAACACAACAAAUGACCUCUUCAUUUUGAAAAAAACCAAAUAAUAAUAAAGAAUGUCUAAUGAAAUGCUUGAUAUGAAGAAGAUUAAAACAUUAUAGAGAUAUGAAACCUCAUAUGCGACGAAAUAGUUUUUCUUCUUAUUCUUUGCAUUGGCUAUUUCCCUAAUAUAAAAUAAGAAAUGUCUUCUUCAGUCUUUAAUGUGUGAAAUACUUCCCUUUAUAUAGGUGCAGUAUUUCAUUAGAACAUAUAUUAUUUUAGAGUCUAAUAUUCCAUAAAUACUUAAUAUACUUACCAAUACAACGAUCAUCUUUAUUUAGAAUUCUUUAAUAUGUAAUCCUACUUAUAUGCUGAUUUGCUUCUUUAUGCCUCAAAAAAUAUUCCCCCAUAUUCCACAUAAUCUAAUCUAAUUAAUUCCCAAGACUAGACAAAUCCCUCAUAAAAAGAAUAAAUAAAUUGUAAUAUUAUUGACACAAUGAUGGGAAUAAUAAGAUCCCUAACAAAUAAGAAGAAAAAUAUUUUUCAAUUAUAUUUGAUUGUACUUCAUAUACAAACCAUGAAGAACAAGUGUCUGCUAUAGUAAGAUGUGUAGAUAUUUUAGCAAAUCCAGUAGAAAUGGAAGAAUAUUUUUUCAAAUCUUAAAAGUUUACCAUUGUACUAGUAAAGGGCUCUUUAAUGAACUCAUAGAACUAAUAAAAAUUCUUGAACUUGUCAUUGAUAAUAUACGAGGACAAGGAUACAAUAAUGGUUCUAAGAUGAAAGGAAAACACCAAGGUGUAAGAUAUUAUAAACAAAUUCUAAAGCAUUUUAUACAUCAAGCGGUUGUCAUGGUCAAAAUUUAGUGGUUUGCAACAUGGCUAAUUCUUGUCCUAGAGCAAUUUCAUUUUUUGGAGCUAUGAAACUUAUUUAUUCAUUAUUUUUCUUCUUCAAUGAGGUGAUGGAAAAUCUCACAAAAUAAUAUACCCAAAUUGACUGUCAAAUUAUUUUGACACAUACAUUGAGAAAGUUGUAUUGAAAGUGUGAAAGAAAUAAGAUUUCAAACUCCAUAAAGUAUGAGAUGCUCUACUUGAAUUAGAAGAAAUUAGUGAAUUGAAAAAUUUUAAUUUCAUAUUAGGUGUGAUUAUUUAGUAUGAUAUAUUAUUUGCUAUUAACUCUAUAUGUAAGAUGUUGCAAAAAACAUAUGCAUAUUUAUAUUGCCAUAGAUCGACAUAAAGUUCUUAUUUCAUUCUUUGAAAGCCAUUGAGAAAAUGGAUUUUGUGCCUGUUGUGAUUUUAACUAAAGAAAUUGCAACCAAAAUGGAAAUAGAACCUAAAAUUCAUGAAAAACACUUAAUUCAUAGAAAAAACAAUUUUGAUGAAAGUAUCGGUGAAGGGGGAAUUUUAUCUCUUGAAUAGACUUUCAGAAUUAAUUAUUUUAUAUACAUAAUAGAUCAAACUAUUUCUUCAAUAAUAAGUAGAUUUGAACAAUUUCAAAUGUAUGAGAAUAUGUUAGGAUUUUUGUUUAAUUUCAAAAAAUUACAAUCGUUAAGUGACAAUGUUUUAAAAACUUAUUGUGUUAAUAUUGAAAAUGCUUUAGAAAAACGAUAUGCUUUCUGGUAUAGAUGGUUUAGAUUUGUUUUCAGAGUUAAGAAUUUUUAAAGAAGUUUUACCAGUUGGAAAAUUACCCCGCUUGACAUACUGAAUUAUUUUAAAAAAAUUGAUUCUUUUCCAAAUGCAUAUGCUACUUAUAGAAUAUUAUUAACAAUACUAGAAGCAGUGCUUAUGCAAAAAGAAGUUUUUCAAAAUUAAAAUUGAUAAAAACUUAUUUGAGAUUAACAAUGUCACAAGAAAGAGUAAAUGGAUUAGCCUUAUUGUCUCCUAAGAAAAAUAUAUUAGGAAAUUAUAAUAUAAAAAUUUGAUUAAUAAUUUUACAUCUAAAGCUAGAAAAAUUGAUUUUAAUAAAUAAUGUUUUAGUAAAAUUAAUACAUAUAUUUUACCUCAAAUUUUUUGAAAGGCCUAAUUGAACAAUUCCCUUAAAGCUCCCAAUUAAUUGAGCCGACCUUGCCUAUAAGGCUCGUGAUAAUAAAGACACAAAAAUAUUAGUCACAUUUAUUUAUAUUAUUUUCAUUUUUCACGAGACUUAUCAAAUUGUGAUUUGAUGGUUAAUAAUUUGUUUCAUAUUGUGUAAAAAAGAAAGGCUUCCUGAACAAGCCCCACACCAACUAGUCUAAUUUUGACUUCGCAUGUGCUUGUGUAUUACACACGGUUGCACUCUGUUAUCAGUGUGUCAAAAAGGAGAGGCUCUGACUCCUUGACAUUACGUAUACCAACUAGUCUAAUUUUUCAUACGCAUAUGGUUCAUGUGCUACACUAUAGUGUGUAAUGCCGCAAAACCAAGAAGAAAAAAAUGAAUGCUAGUUCUUUGUUGUGAGAAAUUCUAAACUAAAAUAAAUAAAUCAGUUUAAUUAAUAUAUGUAUAAAAUGUAUAUUUAAAUUUAAUAUAACUACCAAUUAUAUGUCUGUUCUUCAAAAUAAAUGCAUAUAUACUAUAUCAUUAUUUACUUUUUAUAUAACUGAUAUGGUAUAUUAGAGAUAUUUUAAAAUUUCUCUUCUACCCUUCUUGUCAUUUUCGACUACGAGUCAAUGAAGUCUCUUUUGUUUCAAGACAGAUGAUCUCAAGGAAAUGGGGCAAAUAUCUCUUCUAGUGGUAUUUUACAGGCUGUUGAUGAAGAGUCGCACGUGUUUUGGUAUUUUACAUUUGCAUUUUGUUUGCAAAUUUUAGUAAGGUCAGGCUAUACAGGAAGUCUCUCCAGUGUUCUAUGACUCAAAUGGAAAUAUAACGUUGAUUAUUAAACACAUGCUUCCGCACGUUUCUGUUCUCUGUAGUACUAUUAUAAACAAAUAUCGACAUCGUUGAUUACUAUAAACACAUUCAUUGGCGCGUUAGAAUUCCCUCGUGAAAAAAUAUGACUACAUUUUGCGUUCUGGUUUGAGUUCAUAUUUCCUUUUCUUCAUUCUUAAUUUUUAUAACUUGCACAAUUAAUUUCUGUAGUUGAAGCAAUAUUAAAUUGUACUCUAUAUCGCAUCAAAAAAAAAUUUGUAAUAUAUAUAUAUAUAUAUAUAUAUGUAUAUGUGUUUGUGUGUGUGUGUUGCUUAUUACUUUGGAGGACUUAGGAUGUUUUCUUUGUAUGGAUUAAUCCUAACAUAAUUCUGACGUGUUUUUAGUUACUGCAAAAAUUCUAACGCACUUUCACUAACCGUUGUUAAAUGGAUUUUUUUUUUUGAAAUUAUUACAAUGUGAAAAUGAGGAUUACCUUCUAUUUGUCUAGGAAAAUUAAGCAAAACCCUGUUGGAUCAUAAACUUGAUCCAAGAUGAAUAAAUUCAAGCCAAACUCAUGGAAGAUUCCAUGAGUAUAUAUGGUUGAUGAGGUUUGAAUUAUUUGUGUUAGGUGUGUUAGGUGUGGUAGGUGUGGUUGGUGAAGUAGGUGAGUGGUAGGUUUUAAUAAAUGGUGAGGAUUUAUGUAGUAGUUGAAUAAAUGAAUGGUUGUGAUUAGUUUGUAUCAUGUAUAAAUACCCCAUCUCCCCUUUGGUUUAAGUAUCAAGUGAAAUAACAAAAUCUCUAAGGUGUAGAGAGUGAAAAAUAAGAGUUGUAAUUGGUGAGGAGUGUUGUUGAAGAAAUAAAAUAGUGUGUUUUGUGUGUAAAUUCUCCAACAAAGUGGUAUCAGAGCUAGUGCUUGAUGCUAUAAAUAGUUAUAUAGCAUAUCAAAUCGAAUAUCUCGACGAGAGGAACGUGACGCCGCAAAACUUAUCCUGAUCCGAGACCGAACGAGCCCACACUUGUCGCCGAAAGUUUUCUAUCCUGAAGUUGAGCCAACUCACCGAGUUGAACCAAGCUGAGCCGAACUGAACCAAGCCGAGCCGAGCUAAACUGAAUCAAGUCGAACUGAGCCAACUCGAGCUGAACCAAUCCGGACCGAACCAAGCCUACCAAGCCGGUGUUGACCGUUGACCGACGUUGAUAGUUGACCAACGUUGAUAGUUGACCAACGUUGACCGUUGACCAGCAUUGACUGUUGACCGAAAGUUGACUCAAGUCCUUCCCAAAGUUUUUCGACGUGCCGGAUCCAUCUGUGCUUUCAGAAUCUCCAAAUUCUCACUCAAUUUGUGAGUUAUGACAAAUGGUGGUAUGAUGUCAUUUCAAGUUCCACAAUUAAAAGGAAGUAAGUUUGACAAUUGGAGUAUUAAAAUGAAGGCUCUGUUGGGCGCACAUGACGUAUGGGAUGUUGUGGAGAAAAUGAACCCACUUUAACUGCGGCGUAGAAGGAGAAUUUAAAAGACUUGAAGAAGAAAGAGAUUAAAGCAAAAUAUCUCAUCUUUCAAUCAUUAGAUGAAGAUGCUUUUGAAAAGAUUGCUAGUACAACCUCCUCAAAAGAAGCAUGGGAGAAACUAGAGACCUCUUACAAAGGAGCGGAGCAAGUUAAAAAGGUUCGUCUCCAAACAUUAUGAGGACAAUUUGAGUCCUUACACAUGAAGGCGUCAGAGUCAAUUUCUGACUACUUUAUUCGGGUUGUAACCGUUUCCAAUGAAUUAAAAAGAAAUGACGAGGAGUUAAAAAAGAUAAGGAUCAUUGAAAAGAUACUUCGAUCAGUAGACUCGAAGUUUAACCAUAUUGUUGUGACAAUUGAAGAAACAAGAGAUCUGGAGGAUAUGACGAUCGAGCAACUUUAAGGAAGGCUGCAAGCCUAUGAAGAAAAAUAAAAAAAGAAGUAAGGAAUCGAAGAACAACUUCUCAAGAUGGAAGUCAAUCCAAAGAAACGAGAAGAAAACUCCGACAAUGAGAGAAGGCACUAUGUCCGAGGUAGAGGUCGAGGACGAGGUAGAGGUCGUGGUCAUGGACGAGGUUGGAAUUUCAACAACAACAACUCCAAUUAUGCCAAAGGAGAAAGCUCAACCAGAGGACGAGGCAGAGACAAUCCAAGAUCGAGGUAUGACAAACCCCAAGUACAGUGCUAUAAUUGUCAAAAGUUUGGGCAUUAUGCUUCAGAAUGCAGAGCUCCAAGCACCAGAAUUGAGGAGAGGGUGAACUAUGCUGAAGAGAAAAAUGGUGAAGAUGGCACACUUUUACUAACACGCAAUGACACAAGUGGAGGUCAAGAAAAUACAUGGUAUCUUAACACAGGUGCUAGCAAUCAUAUGAGUGGAAACAAAAGGAUGUUCGUGCAACUAAGUGAAUCUGUGAAUGGCAGUGUUGCUUUUGGAGAUGAUUCAAAAGUACCAGUGAAGGGUAGAGGUAACAUUCUUUUUCGUGCAAAAGAUGGUAGUCACCAAAUAAUUUCGAAUGUUUACUAUGUGCCUAAUAUGAAAAGCAACAUCCUUAGUUUAGGUCAACUUUUAGAAAAAUGCUAUGAUAUUCACUUAAAAGAUUAUAGUCUUUUCCUAAGAGAUGAUAAAUGAAAUCUAAUUACAAAGGUGAGAAUGUCGAAGAAUAAAAUGUUUCCAUUAAAAAUUCAAAAUGAUGUUUCAAAAUGUCUCAAAGCCUGUCACAAAGAUCAAUCCUGGACUUGGCAUCUUCGAUAUGGGCAUCUCAGCUUUGGAGGACUGGAGCUACUAUCUAAAAAGAACAUGGUGAAAGGCUUACCAUAUAUCAAUCAACCUGAUAAACUUUGUGAAGGAUGUUUACUUGGCAAGCAGUUCAGAAAGAGCUUUCCAAAUGAGUCAAUCUCAAGAGCUCAGAAGCCACUCGAGCUCAUUCAUACUGAUGUGUGCGAUCCAUUCAAGCCAAACUCCCUUGGUAAAAGUAACUACUUCCUUCUCUUCAUAGAUGAUUUUUCAAGAAAAACUUGGGUGUAUUUUUUAGAACAAAAAUAAGAAGUCUUUGAAGCUUUCAAGAAGUUUAAAGCUGCAGUGGAAAAAGAAAGUGGAUACCAGAUUAAAGCCAAGAGAUCUGAUCGAGGUGGAGAGUUCACUUCCAAAAAAUUUUUAGAGUUUUGUGAAGCAAAUGGAAUUCGACGCCCUUUGACAGUUCCAAGAUCCCCCCAACAAAAUGGUGUUGCAGAAAGGAAGAACAGAACCAUCCUCGACAUGGCAAUAAGCAUGCUUAAGAGUAAGAGGCUACCUAAAGAAUUUUGGGCUGAAGCUGUUGCAUAUACAGUCUACUUAUCCAAUCGAUCUCCAACAAGAAGCGUGUGGGGCAAUAUGCCACAAGAAGAUUGGAGUGGAAGAAAACCCGGUAUGCCAAGCUGGAUGACAAAAGUGAGAAGUUCAUCUUCAUCGGCUACAACAACAACUCCAAAGGAUACAAGCUUUACAAUCUAAACAACGAGAAGAUCGUGAUCAGUCGAGAUGUAGUUUUUGAUGAAGAAGGAGAAUGGGAUUUUGGCUCUGGUGUGGAUAACUUCAACUUCUUUCCCAUUGAAGAAGAUGAUCAUACACAGAUAAAACAAGUAGAUGAACAACAACAUGCUACUCCACCUAUCUCACCAGCAUCAACCACAUGCGGAGAUUCACUGUUGUCUUUCUUAAAUGAAAGAACAGAAGAACGUACAAGGAGUCUUCAAGAUCUCUAUGAGGUAACUGAGAGACAUGAUAAUCUCACUCUCUUUUGCCUCUUUGCUGAUUAUGAGCCAGUCAACUUCUAAGAAGUUGCACUGGAUGAGAAGUGGAGAAUUGCAAUGGAUAAAGAAAUCAAAGCCAUUGUGAAGAAUGAUACUUGAGAGCUUACUACUCUUCCCAAAGGUCAUAAGACGAUCGGUGUCAAAUGGGUGUAUAAAACAAAAAGAAAUGCGAAGGGAUAAAUUGAAAGGCACAAGGUGAGGCUAGUUGCAAAAGGCUAUAGUCAAAAGGCUGGCAUAGACUAUGACGAGGUAUUUGCUCCUGUAGCUCAACUUGAAACUAUUAGACUUAUUAUUUCUUUGGCUGCUCAAAAUAAAUGGAAGAUUUUUCAAAUGGAUGUGAAGUCUGCUUUCUUGAAUGGAUUCCUUGAAGAAGAAGUUUACAUCGAACAACCAUUGGGUUAUGCGGUGAAAAGACAUGAAGACAAAGUUUUGAGAUUGAAGAAAGCUCUUUACGGGUUAAAGCAAGCACCAAGGGCAUGAAAUAACAGAAUUGACAAGUAUUUUCAAGAGAAAGGCUUCACCAAAUGCCCAUAUGAACACGCUCUCUACGUCAAAGAAAAAGAUGGAGAUAUUUUGAUUGUGUGCCUGUAUGUGGAUGAUCUCGUCUUCACUGGAAGUAAUCCAAGCUUGUUUGAAGAGUUCAAGAGAGUGAUGAUCAAAGAGUUCGAGAUGACUGACAUCGGACUGACGGCAUAUUACCUCGGCAUUGAAGUCAAACAAAAGGAAGAAGACAUAUUUAUCUCCCAAGAAAGCUAUGCAAAUGAGAUUCUCAAGAAGUUCAAGAUGAAUGAUUGUAAGCCUAUAAGCACGCCAGUGGAAUGCGGAGUUAGAUUAUCCAAACUUGAUGAAGGCGAAGAUAUAGAUCCAACAUUCUUUAAAAGUUUGGUUGGAAGCCUACGUUAUUUGACAUGCACAAGACCAGAUAUCGUUUAUGCUGUUGGACUUGUGAGUUGAUACAUGGAGAAUCCAAAGACCACCCAUUUUAAAGCUGCAAAAAGAAUCCUUCGCUACAUCAAAGGUACAACUAAUUUUGGCUUAUUAUACUCAUUUUCUAAUGACUACAAGCUUGUUGGAUAUAGCGAUAGCGAUUGGGGUGGAGAUGUAGAUGAUCGAAAGAGCACCACAUGAUUUAUGUUCUUCAUGGGAGAUACUACUUUCACAUGGAUGUCAAAGAAGCAACCAAUUGUCAUGCUAUCAACCUGUGAAGUUGAGUAUGUAGCUGCCACAUCAAGUGUUUGUCAUGCAAUUUGGCUCAGAAAUUUGCUGAAAGAGUUAGGUUUGCCACAAGAAGAGCCAACAGAGAUUUGUGUUGAUAACAAAUCAACAAUUGCCCUAUCCAAGAAUCCAGUCUUUCAUGAUUGAACCAAACACAUAGACACUCGCUAUCAUUUCAUAAGAGAGUGUAUUACAAGAAAAGAAGUGCAAAUCAAGUAUGUAAAAUCACAAGAUCAAGCAGCUGAUAUCUUCACUAAGCCACUCAAGCAAGAAGACUUUGUAAAAUUCAGAAGUUUGCUUGGUGUCACAAGAUCAAGUUUAAGGGGGGGGGGGGUGUUAGAUCAUAAACUUGAUCCAAGAUGAAUAAAUUGAAGCCCAACUCAUGGAAGAUUCCAUGACUAUGUAUGGUUGGUGAGGUUUGAAUUAUUUGUGUUAGGUGUGGUAGGUGUGGUUGGUGAAGUAGGUGAGUGGUAUGUUUUAAUGAAUGGUGAGGAUUUAUUUAGUAGUUGAAUAAAUGAAUGGUUGUGAUUAGUUUGUAUCAUGUAUAAAUACCUUCUCUCCCCUUUGGUUUAAGCAUCAAGUGAAGUAACAAAAUCUAUGAGGUGUAGAGAGUGAAAAAUAAGAGUUGUAAUUGGUGAUGAGUGUUGUUGAAGAAAUAAAAUAGUGUGUUUUGUGUGUUUUAUUUGUAAAUUGUCCAACAAACCCCACCUUAUUUUUUAAUAGAUUCAAAUCUACUACAAUUAUAAUGGUGUUAGUUUUAUAUAUCAUUUUACUAUUCUAUUAUUACUAUCGAUAUGAGUCAGAAAAUUUAGAUAUUUUGAGAAUUUUUUAAGCAAAAUGACUUAUAUAUCCUCAACAAUUAAAUAAAUUUAUUAACCUAUUAAAAAGCAUGAAGAAAAAUUACAAUUUACAAGUAGAGGAAAUAUCAUAUAUACCCCUCAUAAUUAUAUAAAGUAUUUGUUUAAAUGAAUGUAACAAUUUUGAUAUAUUUAAUUUGCUUCUUAAUCUGGCACACGAUCAGUUGUUUUAUUGGAGAAGCAUAGGCUAGGCCAUACCGUUGCAAUUGUAAUUGUUGUUUGCUUACUUGCUUAUGCUAAUUAAAUGCUCUUAAUUAAUUAUUUCUCAUCAAAUAGUUGCAAGUACGUGUAAUUUAUUGUUUUGUUAGUAGUUGCUUAUAUAUCCCUUUCCUAUAGUGAUUCUUUUUCUUUAAUUUAUCAUAUAUUAUUCAUUUGUAGUCUGGGUGAAUUUAUUGCAUUCAGUCCAAUUAUCUAUUUGUCCUUUAUUUGAAUGUAUAUUUGGAUAUUUCCUUCAAUUGUUUUAUUUUAUGUUUUCAGAGAUUUAUUUAGAAUCUUGGACUUCAUACACUUAGGACACAUUUAUACAACUAGUAGGAAUUAUGUCAUUUCCCCUACUUGUAAUUUUUCUCCAUAAUUUGCAAUUUGUUAUUAAAUUAAUUUAAUCGUUAAGGAAAUACAAGUCACUUUGCUUAAAAGAAUAUCUUUAAAAUAUUUAAAUUUUAUGACUAAUAUCAAUACUAGAGAUAGGAUAGUAAAAUGAUAUAUAAAACUAAUACCGUCAUAAUUACAGGGUGUUUGGACCUUUUUAAAAUAUGAAAGGAUUUCGCUUAAUUUAUCUAAACGAUAGGGUUAAUCCUCAUUUUCCUUUAUUACAGUCUAUAGAUAUAUUAUUUAGAUACAUACAUUUGCAGUACAACCGAGAUGCCCUUAGGCAUGAGCUCAAAAAUCUGUUUUCACUAAUAUGAGGGAGACAUAUCUAUCCUAUCCAAUCUAUCUUUUGAUGGUAAUUAUUUUGAAAUAUAUAAUUUUUUUUUCAAAAGUACUUUAUAACUAUAACAAAUAAGAUUUUAGUUACAUUUGUUAAAUAAAACAGGUCUUUAUCUUCUUUUAUAAUUUUGAUUAUUUUGAGUAUUAAUGCUUAACAUUAAGAUAUUCUUUGUAACUUUGCAUAUUCUUAUUUUUAUGUAAGUAAAACAAGUUUUUAAUGUAAUAAAUAGGACUUUUGUAAGCAAAGUUAAAUUUAUGAAUUUUUUUGUCAUUAAUAUGUGUAUUUAUUAUAAUUAUAUGGCUUAUAGAAACAGUCUUUAAAAAAAUUUGUAGCGAAAAAAAUGACAAAUAAAUAACAAUUAUACAACAAGCCAGCCCCCUCAAGGGCGUGGUCGGGUUGGUUGCAUUGCAGCUGUAACCUCUACCAAAAUCCGGGUUCAUUCUUGUGGAUGAUAAGGGGGUUAAAAACUGUAUUUGGGUUUGCCCACCCCCCUUACCUUUAAGGAAAAAAACAAAACAUGACAGCGAAUGUACAUAUUUGAACUUGCUGGCACGUUAGAAUUCCCUCACAAGAGGGAAGAUGUACUUUUUUAUUAAUGAAUAUAAUAUCUUUGUCCUACUAAGACUUACAAAUUAUAUGCUUUGAAAAUCUCAGGGAAAAUGAAUAAGAAAAAUAAAUCGCUUGCACUUCUCUGCUGCCUAUAUAUAUAUAUAUAUAUAUAUAUAACCUUGUGCAUAACCACAAACCAUAGAUUAAUUUGAGAAUUUUUGCCAAGUAUAACUGUAAGCUAGCUUACACUACAUCUGUAUGUCCUAUGUCUUCUUGCAUUGUUCCAUCAACCUCGUUUACCUCUGUAAAUGGUUUCAAAUGUCCUCCUCUUGCAACAAAUCGAGCAGCCACUAGAAUCAUUACCAUAAAUAAGCCAGUCCAAUGCCUUGUCAGCGCCAAAUAUGAUAAUUUGACAGUUGACAGGAGAUCAGCAAACUACCAACCCUGAAUUUGGGACCAUGAUUUUUUGCAGUCAGUGAAUAGCGGCUAUACGGUAUUUAUUAUUAUUCAUUUCAAAUUGGGACCAUGAAUAACUAAAAACUAAAUGCCGUUCAUGUACAGGAUGAAACAUACAAAAGACGAGCAGAAGAGCUGAAGGGAAAAGUAAUGACAACGAUUAAUAAGGAUGUAACCGAGCCUCUGGAUCAGUUGGAGCUGAUUGACAACUUGCAAAGACUUGGAUUGGCUUAUCAUUUUGAGACUGAGAUUCGGAAAAUAUUGCAUAAUAUCUACAACAGUAAUAAAGAUUAUAAUUGGAGAAAAGAAAAUCUGUAUGCAACCUCUCUCGAGUUUAGACUACUUAGACAACAUGGCUAUCCUGUUUCUCAAGGUACAUUUCAUUAACUCGCUUUUUUUUGUCAUGCGCAUGGAAGGUCUGAAUAUUUGAAUCGAUCUCUCUGUUUUUUUCCUUUUUUUUUUAAUUUAAAAGAGUGGACAACACGCAAAUCAAUUUUUUAACUCUCAAUCUCCAGAGAAUUCUAACUCGACAAGGCUGCUGAGACACUUAAAUCAUUCUCUAAUUAGCAUAUUGCGAAAAUUUUGAUGAAAUAGUUCUUUUUGAUUGAGCACUGCAGACGUUUUCAAUGGUUUUAAAGACGACAAGGGAGGCUUCAUUUGUAAUGAUUUCAAGGAAAUAAUGAGCUUGCAUGAAGCCUCGUAUUACAGCUUUGAAGGAGAAAGCAUCAUGGAGGAGGCCUGGCAAUUCACCAGUAAACAUCUUAAAGAACUGAUGAUCAGCAAGAGCAAGCAAGGGGAUGUCUUUGUAGCAGAACAAGCAAAGCGCGCACUGGAGCUCCCUCUGCAUUGGAAAGUUCCAAUGUUAGAGGCAAGGUGGUUCAUAGACGUUUAUGAGAAAAGAGAGCACAAGAACCACCUUUUACUUGAGCUCGCUAAGUUGGAAUUCAAAAUUUUGCAGGCAAUUUACCAGGAAGAACUUAAAGAUGUUUCAAGGUAUCCAUGCUUGGUUGCAUAACUCAUAUUUAUGUAUCAAAGAUUUGAGUUUAUGAAAAACAUAACUUGUACAAAUUAAUCAUAUGCAUAUUAAAUUAUUCUCAGGUGCAGACUACACCUUUUACAGUAAAGGUCUGAGUCUGCACUUUACAAAAUACAGACGUUUGCACCAGAGAUUGACUCUUAAGGAAUCUCGGACUAGAAGAUGACUCUGUAAUAGAUGUAUUGUAAAGCUACGAGUCAUAAUAUUCGUUUUAAUUUUCCUAUGAAGGUGGUGGAAGGAUAUAGGUCUUGGAGAGAAACUGAGCUUUGCGAGGGACAGCUUGGUAGCAUCCUUCGUAUGGAGCACGGGGAUAGUGUUUGAGCCUCAAAUCGCCUACUGUAGGAGAAUACUCACAAUCACGUUUGCACUAAUUUCAGUGAUUGAUGACAUUUAUGAUGUUUAUGGAACUUUGGAAGAACUUGAGCUAUUUGUUGAUGCUGUUGAGAGGUUUUUUGGCAAAUUAAUGUUAUACCUAAUUGAUUAAUUCAACUGCUAGCUAGCUGAUUGCUACUUCUCAAAUUAAUUGACCAUUCAUAUGAUUUAUUUUUUUCGUUUUCUACAGGUGGGACAUCAAUUAUGCUUUGAACCACCUUCCGGACUAUAUGAAAAUCUGUUUUCUUGCGCUUUACAACUUGGUUAAUGAAUUUACUUAUUACGUACUCAAACAACAGGAUUUUGAUAUACUUCGAAGUAUAAAAAAUGCGGUACGUAAAAUAUUAGUUGCACCACUGCCGCCAUUCCUUUUCCUUUGAUUUAUCCUUUUAAAUUACGAUGUUUUUGUCGCAAAAAAAAAAAAAGAAAUUAUAAGUUGUAACUACUGCUAGUUUCUUUGUCUUGUGCAUCAGUGGCUUCGCAAUAUACAAGCCUACUUAGUGGAGGCGAAAUGGUACCAUGGUGAGUACACGCCAACGCAGGGAGAAUUCUUGGAAAAUGGAUUGGUAUCAAUAGGAGGCCCUAUGGUUACAAUGACUGCAUACCUUUCUGGGACAAAUCCAAUCAUUGAGAAGGAACUAGAAUUUUUAGAAAGUAAUCAAGAUAUAAUUCACUGGUCAUUCAAGAUUCUUCGUCUUCAAGAUGAUUUGGGAACUUCAUCCGUAUUUUUUAUUUUUUCUUUUUUUAACAAGACAGAAAUUGAAUUAAUCCUCUAUUUAUGAAUUGACUGUACUUUUUUUUUACCCAAUAAUUCAUCAGGAUGAGAUACAGAGAGGGGAUGUUCCGAAAUCAAUCCAGUGUUACAUGCAUGAAACUGGUGCCUCGGAGGAAGUUGCUCGUGAACACAUCAAGGAUAUGAUGAGACAGAUGUGGAAGAAGGUGAAUGCAUACAGAGCUGAUAAAAACUCUCCCUUAUCGCAAACUACAGUGGAGUUCAUAUUGAAUGUUGUGAGAGUGUCCCAUUUUAUGUAUCUAAAUGGAGAUGGGCAUGGGGCUCAAAACCAAGAGACUAUGGAUGUAGUUUUUACAUUGCUUUUUCAGCCAAUUCCCUUGGACGACAAACACAUGGUUGCUACAUCAUCACCAGGCACCAAAGGAUGAUGAAUUAUAGUGCAUGAUGCGUUACGAAUCCCAAGAGUGCAGUUUCAGUUGAUAUUGGCCUCGACUUUCCAGUUUCUAUUUCUUUCCGAUGAUGAGGUCUCUUUUCGAUGAUUCUAAUAAAUUCCCUCACUCGUCGAGGUUUAUAAAUGAAACAAAAAUGUCAUAUAUGUUACUUUUAUUGAG
rnacentral:lncRNA from 1 species